AAAAACCUCUCUCUAACUUUCUCUCUCUAAAAAUUCUCUCAACUCAUCUCUGAUGCCCUUCUUUCUUCAUCAUCCCUAAACGGCCUUUAUGGCCCCUUCGGCCGCCGGUGAUGGCGAUCGGUCAUCACCGGUAAACACACUACCCCCGAGAAGAGUUUCACAGGUUCUUGGAUCCACCUGGGAAAUCUUUUAGGAAGCCUCCAAAAUUCACCAACGAACCACCACCUGACCUAAGGCUACCAUCACCACCAGAACCUAAGCCGAGACGAUCAAAGAGAUUACUCAACCAACGGAAAACAGCCCAUAAUCCACAUAUACAAUUACCACAUACCCUUACGAACCACCCUGAAGGAGAGUCACCACCAACAUCCACUGCCUCUAUCCUUUCUAAACUUCGUCAGCCAUCGAUUACGGUUAAUGAUCAAGAAGAAAUGUCAGAAGAUCAUGAACAAGGCGCUCCACCUCUCCAUGCAAAUAGCUUCCAUGGCGGCCAAGAGGAUGAAGAAAAUCGCCGUGAGGAAACAAAUCAGUCACCCCCUCAUAAAGGUAAACACCGAAGUCAAUCUCCGACCAAAGGCUUCACCUCCAACCAUGAACAAUCGCAACUUGGUAAAUCUCAAGAUCCAACCUCCAUCGCCCUUGUACAAGAUCCACAACAACUCACGGCUGUUAACCUUGUAACCACCGUGAAUAGCCAAGAUGAAGCUUCUCAACCACCCUUGGAUUGCACACCUUUUGGUCCAAAAACGGCAUCUCCCAAAAGUCAGCAAAGAGAACUAGCUUUAGUCCCACUCACAUGCAAAAUUCCCGAAAUUACCUCACAAAUUUUGACUACAUGCAAUCAUGCCCACCAUUCUCUACCAACGCCAACACAUUCCCAUUUUUUUUUUUUAAAUUAUUAUAAAUUUGAAAUAAAUUAAUAAUCAACAAAUUAUUAUAAUAAUAAAUAAAUUAAAGAAAAUGAAUAUUUUAAAGUAAAAUAAUAAAUAAAGCAAAUAAAAGCUCAUAACUUUAAUUUUUUUAAAUAUUGGAUUCUCUCAUUCCAACGCUCUAUUAAUUAUUUCACACAAAAGAGAGUUUAAUAUCAUAAUUUUAACUUUUUGAAUCAUUAUUAAUUUAUAAAUUAAGAAUUUAAGUUUUUUUUAAGUUACUUUUUAAUUUUAAGUUACUUUUUAAUUUUAAUUAUAUUAUUCUAAUUUAUAAAUUUAUUUUUUUAAAAAAACUGUGGGUCUAGGCCUAGCCCGAACUUUUUUUGCCCACCCGACCCACCACUCACACCUCUUUCCAUGUUUCGACCCCCACCACUCACAUUUCUUUGCAUGCUUUGGCCCCCACCAAUCCACAAACACAAGUCCACAAACAAAGCCCUACCAACUCUUAUCAUGGAAGCCCACCACAUAACCACUCAAACCUUCAAGCCCAUAUUCAACAUUCAGCAGCCCAUUCCAUAAAUAACAAAACACAAACUCUUAACCCACGAGCCCAAAAUCAAAAGCAACCCAUUCAACUCCAGCAAGGCCAAUCCUCCAAUUUAAGCCCACAAGUUCAAAAUCAAGCCCAAUCAACUAAUCCCUCUAAUCCAUUAAACCAUAACCAACCUCAAAGUCAGCCCACUUCUAUUCCAACAUAUGCUUUAGUUUUGAAUUUCGCUCCUAAUCGGAAUUCAAAUUGGCCGAUCAAAAAAAUCUUUGCUAAUAUUAUGAAUGGAUCCACAUCUCCAACAGUUCCCAUCAAGACCAUCUCUUCAUACGAGGGAGAGCCCAACGUACAUUUUUCUGUAGUGGAAGUCAAAGCGAUGGCUAUUCCAUUCAAACUGACUUUAGUCGUAAGUUUUCCUACAAUCGCCCUUGUAUGGAAUUAAUUUGAAAUUUUUUUUUCAUCAUUGGGAUUAAAAGGAAAUUCUCAAAUUUCUCUCUUAGAUAACCGUCAUGUUUUAAUUAAAUUGGAUGUCGAGGAAGACUGCACCCGUCUGUGGGUUAAGCAGACAUGGUACGUUAGUGGAAGUGCCACGAGCAUAUUUAAAUGGACCACAUAUUUUUGGUAUUCUGAGGAAUCGCCCGUUGUUCCGGUAUGGAUUUCACUUCCCUAUUUGCCUAUUCAUUUUGUGCAAUGCACGGAAGCAUUAUUUUCUAUUGCAUUAGUAAUUGGUAAGCCUUUUCGAAUCGACCAAGCCACUGCCUCAUUAUCACGACCCUCUGUAGCUAGGGUUUUAAUAGAAUAUGAUGUCACUCAACCACCGCUAUGACAGAUUUAAAUCGGUGUGGGUAACUCUGGAUUUUGGCAGAAUGUAGUGUAUGAGAAAAUCCUACUUUAUUGUGCUUCAUGCAAGCAUCUUGGCCAUGAUGUUGAGACAUGUUAUGUUGCCAAUCCAGGACUUCGUCCCCAACGGCCAAAUGGGACCAGUCAGAAUAGCAAGGAAAAGGGUAAGGAAACAAGAGAAGCCUUCAGACACUCCACAACAUACUCCCAGUCCAAACCCAGAGUGUUUGAGCUUGGCCCUGCAGAUCAUGGACACUGGGUCUCCGAUCACCAUGAUUUCUCCUGUGGAGAACUAAGCUGAUAAUACAGGAGCCAUCGACGUUCAGGAUUCUAGAGCACAGGUUGAGCCAAGUGAUCAAGGCGUAUCUCUCCGACAGACCAUCAGGACUCUAGAUUAUCGGGCAUCUAAAUGCUUUCGAUCUUUAUCGGAUGAUUUUGGCAUGACAGUUGUGGGCUUCAACACCCACUUUACCGAUAUUCCUGCACAAUCUGACGAGGAUAAUCGUGGGGAUGAGCUUCAACAUUUUAGGUAUCUUGUGAACUGCAAUUUCAUAACAACGAACACGACGAGUUCUCGGGCCAUGAUGGUUCCUUCCUGUCUGCACCUGAGGACACCGAGAGACAUGAUCUGAACCCUAACUUUAGUGUUACUCAGGAACAUUCUAGGAAGGGCUUCAAAUUACUCACCGGUCGCAAAUAUCAAAAAUAAUUUUCUGGUAGACUUCAUUAGUAGCGGAUCGACAUUUGUAUUUUAGAUAUUAGGCUUUGCCUUAGUUGAAGCAGUUUCAGGUUGUUCUAUUUCUUUAACUUGGAGGUUUAGGUUCAUGCCCUCUCCAUAUGUAUUUUUUCAUUUAUCGUUUAACAUUACAGGUAGGGGGAAAAAAACUAAUGGAUUGAAACAUUAAAUAACUUGAAUUUAAGAAUAAAAGCCUCAAUUUUAAACUGUUAAUGCCCGAAAAUUAAAGGAAUAUGUUUAUCGAAUCAAGAUUAUAUAUCUUCAAUUUCUUUUAAUUUACAAAUAAUUGUAGGUAUUGAAAAAUGUUUUAGAAAAAUACCAAAAUUUCCAAAUUAAUAUAAUAAUAUUUUGAAAGAAAAGAGUUUAUUUUUACUAUUACAUUAUCUUGUAAUUACCUACUCCCCAAUCACCCACCUUCGCACUCUCAGCUACUUAAUUCUUUACAUAUACAUUACAUAUAUAUUAAAUCAGACCAGAAGCAAGAACUCGCAAAAGCAACUUAAUUACUUUAAAUGUUUUAUUCCGGAAGCCGAUGCCUUUUCUGAUUUGAAGAUUAUGGAAGGACUAGGAUUCUUUUCUUAUCUGAGCUCUCUUAAGCUUUUAAUAAUCUUAUGUUAUUUGUCAUUUAAUAAGAGUGGAUGGAUAUAAUUUAACUUCUUUAUUUUUUUUAUUUACUAAUCACCAAUCAACGCGUGAAUUUGUAUUUAGGAGAAGUCAAAUCAAGAGAGGAUCUCAAAGCAUUAUCGGAAGCUAUAUGUGUAGGUUUUUCGACCAAUUUCAAUUGAAUAUUGUUUUUUAAUUCUUAUUUUGAUAUGUGUAUUUAUGAUUAAGUUUUCAAAUAUGAAUUUUUCUUGGAUAAUGAUUGGUGGAAGAGGAUCGUCCUAAUAUUUCCUCGUCUCAAUACUGCUGACGAUGACAUUUGCUAGUGACAAUCUUGAUAUAUAUGUUGGCAUUCAAUGUAAGAGAAAUCUCGACCAUACAGGUUAACUGCAAUGUUACUCUUUUAUGUUAUGUUUAAUUAAAUAAAAGAGAGAUUGCCAAUUUUCUUCUUACUAAAAUAAAUAUAUACCACUUACCACACUAUUGUUUCAUAAUAGCCAAUAAUCCCCCUAACAACAUAAUUUUACUGUAUUACUUUUAUUUACAAAUACACUUCUAAUCUAGAUUUGCUUAUUUGCUACUGAUGCAAUUCUAAAGCUGGUUAACAAAGCAGCUAGUGAUCAUCAUUGUUAGCAAAAUAGAGAGAGCUAUAAGAGAGAGAAAGUUCUAGCUUGUUUUCUAUAAUCUCUUAUAAUUUCUUUAUAAAAGAUUCUCUAUUGAUCGUCAAAAAAAAGAUCACCAAAAAACUUCUCCCGUGGAUGUAGGUUGUGCCAAUCUUGGUACAGCUGAACCAUGUAAAUUCAAAUCACUCUUUGGUUCUUGGAUGUGAUUGUUUUCAAUUUGGGGUUUUGUUUGUCAAACUUGUUGUUUUGAAUUAGAAUGGGAGCCUUGCUUGUUACUUAAGGAUUAGAAGAUGCAACUGAACCAGUAUCCAAGAAAGAAGGAAAAGAAGUUCCAUCAUCCAAGCCUUGCUUGUUUCUCGUGAUUGAAGUGCUAGAUACAAAAAUCUGUCAUUCAUUUACAUAGGAUUACAUCGUUUCCCUUAAAUGUAAUUGUUUUACUGGAUAUUUUGGUAAUACAAUUUUUUUUUAAAAAUAAUGGUUGUCAAGAGUAUUUGGAUAGGUUUAAAUAGCCCCUUGCUUGAUUGUUUAAAACUUUACUUAUGCAUUCUCUGUCUAUGCUUGAUAAACACUUUCAUAAUAUGUAGAAAUAUUUUCACUAGUUAAAUUCCCUUUAAAGUUUAUAUUAUCCUUUACGAUGUUAAAAUUUUAAUGACACUUUUUUAAAAUUAAAUGAGACAUCUGCAUACAAAUGAACUAAUUAUAAUUUAGACAAUUGUCAAAAUUUUAGCUGACGAUAAUUGCUACAUUUAUUUGUCAAUUUCAAUUAACAUCUUAAACCAAGAGAAAGUUAUAUGAAAAGUUUAUAAGAGAUCCACAGGGUUAAAAAAGGAAUGGGACUAUUUGAUCUCAUAAUUUUUCUUUUAACAUUUAUUUUCUUAAGAAACCCAUUAUUAAAAUUUAAAACUCGAGUUUUUACUCUAGACACCCUCUAUACUUCAAAAAAUUACCUUAAUUGAAGAUAGACGCUUCAGUUACCUUUUUCCUUCUUGCAAAAUUUUUCUACAUUGCAACCACUUUUUAUCACUUUUACUGUUGUUCUCACUUUUUUGUUUCAUCUCAACAACAUAUUUAAGUUGUUCUCUUUCCAAACCUCCAUGUGAUCACGCAUAUUAAUAAGGAGAAUGAGAUAAAAAAAUUUAAUAUGUCAAAAAGUGGCAUGCCGACACCACCAUUCUAGAAGGCGGUGCCCACUAUUGUUAGAGUAGGAGGUGUUGCCGUGUUGCCUCCUUCUUCGACCCAAAGAAAAAGACAAAAUGUACAGUGACGAAUAAUAGCCAUUGAAGGAGGAGGUGUUGCCUCCUUCUUUACCCCAAAGAAAAACCCAUAAAAUGUACAGUGACGAAUAAUAGCCACUUGGUGGCUAUAAAUAAAGAGGUUCAUUCCCUCAUUUGAUUCAUCCCCAAAUUCCUCUUCAAUUAUUAGACAAAAAUAUAGAAUUGUACGGGAGUUUGGGAGUUUUAAUACUCUUGUGUGAUUAGUGAUUUAAGAGAUUCAGUGUGUUGGGGUUCUGGGUAGUGAGCCAAAAAUAUUACAGUACUUGCUACCCUCAUUUCACUAAUAAAGUUUUAUCCUUCUAUUUUUGCGCAUGAACGUGAGCUAAAAGUUGAACCAAAUGUUUUCUAUGUAGUAAUUUCUUCCAAUUUCAUUUUAGCUAUGGGCCUGCUUCACACAUCAAUUUCCUAACAGUGAUAUCAGAGCUUCAGCUUGUAUUUUUGGGUUAGGGCACUAUUCACACAUAUGACACUGUACUGUUCAUGUAUAUGGUUACUGUUCAUGUGAAAUGGUAGGAGCCGCAACUCAUUGUAAGAAACAAUGGCGAAAAAAUAUGAAAUUGAGAAGUUCAAUGGAAAUAAUUUCUCAUUGUGGAAAAUGAAAAUAAAGGCUAUUUUAAGGAAAAACAAUUACUUGGCAACAAUUGAAGAAAGGCGUAUGGAGAUAACUGAUGAUACCAGGUGUAACGAGAUGGAUGGUAAUGUAAUUGCCGAUCUACAUUAACACUAGUUGAUGAAGUGUUAUCUAGUGUGGAGAAGAAAAAGAGAGUAAAGAAAAAAUAUGGGAUACUCUUAUAAGACUGUACAAGGCCAAAUCAUUACACAAUAAGAUUUUCUGAAAGAAGAGAAUUUAUACUCUUCGAAUGGUGGAAACCACAUCAGUGACUAACCAUAUCAACACUCUCAAAACUCUCUUUUCACAACUUACAAUGUUGGGUAAUAAAAUAUAAGAAAAUAAGUGUGUAGAGCUUCUACUUCAAAGUCUACCAGAUUCGUACAAUCAACUUAUCAUCAAUCUGACGAACUACAACAAAGCAAAAAGUCUAGUCUUCGAUGUCGAAGCCUCUGUAUUAAAUGAAGAGAGCAGGAAAAAAAAGACAAGCUGGCGAGUUCGUAGCAAAUGGAAGCGCUAUCGAUAACUAGAGGGAGAUAAAUAGAGCGUGGCCCUAAUGAGAUUUACAAUAAUGGUAGAUCAAAAUCAAGAAGUAAGAAGUAUGUCAAAUGCUACAAUAGUGGGCAGAACAGACAAAACUACCUGUUAUGUAGUAAAUCAAUCGCCAUCCAAAGUAAUUAGUUUGAAGACUCCGAUGGAGAUGUAGACUGGAAAUUCAGCUGAUUACUCUGAUCUACAUUCAUUUGGAUGACAUGUGUAUGUGAUGUACAAUACCCAAGAAAGAACAAAGCUAGAUCUAAAAUCCAAGAUAUGUAUUUUCUUAGGGUAUGCUCAUGGAGUGAAGGGGUAUUGUUUGUGGGAUCCCACUACCCACAAGAUUGUCAUCAGCAAAGAUGUUAUCUUUGUAGAAGUGCAAUUACAAUGGAAAAAAAAAGAAAAUGAUAGUACCGUGAAGAAAAACCCUUAGAUAAAACAAACUCAAUUUAGACCAUUGUUGAUAUUAUAAGAGAUUUGAAGAUAAUGAUUUCAUCAUUUUACUAUUAUAUGUGGAUGACAUUUUGGUAGAGACCCUAACAAAGAUCAAAUCCAAGAAUUGAAGGCUCAGUUGGCCAGGGAGUUUGAAAUAAAGCAAACAAGAUUAUAGGGAUGCAAAUUUACCGAGACAGAAAUAACAUGAAGAUUUAGCUUUCUCAUAAUAAUUACUUGAAGAAAAUCCUGCGACACUUCAACAUGCAAGAUUGUAAGCCAAUUUCUACUCCAUUUCCUGUUAAUUUCAAGUUAUCCUCAAGUAUGUGUCUUAGCAAUGAACCAGAGAGGAAAGAGAUGCCUUCAGCACCGUAUGCAUCAACAGUGGGAGCAGUUAGUUGAUACAUGGCGAAUCCUGGUGGAGAGCAUUGGAAAACUGUGAAGAUGAUUCUGAGAUACAUUAGAGGAACCUCAGAUGUUGCAUUAUGUUACUGAGGAUUAAAGUUUACUGUCAGGGGCUAUAAGGAUUCAUAUUUUGCAGGAGACCUUAAUAAAAGUAAAUCCACUACUAGCUAUAUAUUUACACUUGCAGGUGGAGCUGUAAGUUGGGUUUCAAAACUGCAAAUUGUUUUGGCUUUAUCCACAACGGAAGCAAAAUACAUAGCAGCUAUAUAAGCUUGCAAGGAAGUUGUUUGGAUGCAAAGGUUAUUGGAGGAGCUUAGGCACAAAUAAGAGAAUUUUUUUGUAUUUUGUUACAGUCAGAGUUCCUUACACAUUGCAAGGAAUCCAGUCUUUCAUUCCCAGACGAAGCACACAGGAGUUCAAUAUCAUUUUGCUCAAGAAGUAAUUGAAGAUAGAAAUGUAGAUUUAUAGAAGAUCCAUACCAAGGAGAAACUAGCAGAUGCUUUGACCAAACCAAUCAAUACUAUCAAGUUUGUAUGGAAUUGAUUCUCUUAUGGCCUAGCAGAAACGUAAAUAAUAUGACAAUGGCGAAGCAGAAAGGAUGGUGUGGAGAUUGAUUAGUUCUCAAUCUAAUCUCCAAGUAGGAGAAUGUCAAAAGUGGCAUGCGACCACCACUCUUCUAGAAGGCAGUGCCCGUCAUUGUGGAAGUAGGAGGUGUUGCCUCCUUUGAAUAUAAAAGAAGACAAAGCAAAAGAAGAAGAAGCCACAGAAUGAACAAUGAUGAACAAUAGCCACUCCAUGGCUCUAAAUAGAGAGGUUCAAACCCUCAUUUGAUACAUCCCCAAAUUCCUCUUUAAUUUUUAGGGAGAAGUAGAGAAUUGUGUGGGAGUUUCACAGUUUUAAUACUCUUGUGUGAUUAGUGAUUUUAGAGAUUAGGUGCAUUGGAUUUCUGGGUAGUGAGCCAAUAAUAUUACAAUACUUAUAAUCAUCAUUUCACCAGUAAAGUUUUAUCCUUGACGUAGGCUAAAAACCGAACCACAUAAACUCUUGUGUUCUAUGUGUGCUCUUAUUCUUUAUUUUCUUCCAAUUUCAUUUUAGUUGUGACCGUACUUCGCACAUCAAUUUCCUAACAUAAUAAACACGAUACAAACUAGAAUAUUUAAGGUUAUUAUAAUGAUAAUAUUCUAGUGUAAAAAGAAUCUCUUUGCAACUUCUAUGUGGUGCUAUAACGCUGCCUUAGUUCUUCUUAAAAUUUUCUGCGUAGCAAACUCACUUCCCUGUAUUUUUAUUUGAUUUGUGUAAGGUCCAUAGAUGAGAAAGAAAAUAUGAUAACAGAAGCACCAAUUAUGUUGACAUUUGUUGAGUUCGUAUGAUGUGCAUUCGUUUUGAUUAUUAUUAUAUUGUGAAAUACUCAUUUCAAUCGUGAGAAAAAAAAAGAAAUAAAUCAAGAGCCCUAAUAUGGAUAAGACAACGAAUUAGGAUUUUAUGUUGGAUGACUUUCUUAAGUGAGUGUCAGGAGAAUUAUUAUUAUAUUUUUUGCUCAACAGUAAUUUUCUUUAAUGAUUAUUUAGGAAUAUAAUUUUUAUUAAAAUAAUGCAUGUAAAAAGCAUCUUUAUGGUAUUAUCAAAUUACCUCUCCGUAAGAAAACUACAAAAGACAUGGAGGUCAUUCUCUAUACAAUUAUUCUCCAAGAAAGAAACUCUAAACUAAGGAUAAUAACAAAUUAGAAGUAGCUGAUUACUAAUUUGAAAAUUUUAAGCAAGGAUGCGAAAUUAGUUGAUAAGUUUUGAGAAGUUGUUGAAACGAUUGUGAAAUAAAUUUCCAAUGAUUAAUGAUUACGUUUUCAGAAUAAGAUGAUUAAGAAUUGCAGAACUAGCUGAUUACUAAUUUGAAAACUUUAGGCAAGGAUGCGAAAUUAGUUUAUAAGUUUUGAGAAGUUGUUGAAACGAUUGUGAAAUAAAUUUCCAAUGAUUAAUGAUUACGUUUUCAGAAUAAGAUGAUUAAGAAUGGCAGAAUUGGGCAACUACAUAUGACAAUACCGGCAUAAGCCUAGAUCAAAAUUCGAUAAUUGAUUAAUUUGCAUCCCAUUAUUGAUUACACAGUGUAAAUUUAUAAUUUUAAAGUUUAGUCGGCUUAGGCUUAUCAACAUGAUCUUCAGCCAUCAUCACUGUUUGUUAACUAUUUUGUUAAAUAAUGGGAAGUUAAAAAUUGUCUCUGAAUGCGGAGUUAAAACCUCGCAUUAUAUAUAUGGUCCCUCAUCUGAACAUUAUUUGUUAAUAAUUAUGUAGAUGAUCUAUUAAUUAAUGGAUUGAAACGUUAAAUAACUUCAAUUUAAAAAUAAAAACUUCAAUUUUAAACUGUUUUGCAAAUUAAAGGAAUAUAUUUAUUGAGUCGUAGAUCAUAUAUCAUCAAUUUUGUUUUAAUUUACAAAUAAUUGUAGGCAUUGAAAAACGUUUCAGAAAAAUACCAAAAUUUCCAAAUUAAAAUAAUAAUAUUUUGAAAGCAAAGAGUCUAUUUUUGAUAGAUUAUUGUAAAUAUUUUAUUUUUCCAUGCUAAAGAUUUUUUUUUGAUAAAAUCCAUGCAAAUAAAAACUCAAAGCGGUACUAAUAAUAAAUGACAAUUCUCAUUAAAAUUUCUUUUCACAUUUACAAAAAGUUACAUAUGAGGUUUAAAUCAAAAUCAAUUUCAAGAAGAAUCAAGCAACACUGAGAACCUAUUUUUUGAAAACCACCUAGACAUUUUAUAUGGAUUUAGAUUCAAAUCAGACAAUUAUUAAUUCAUAUAAUAUGUGGAUCCUUAUUGGAAAAUAUGAAUCUUUUAAAAAAAAUUAUUAUCUUAUAAAUUUCUCGAAUUUUUAAUUUAGCACGUUGCUUCUAAGUCGAGACACAAAAAUUGUUAUUUAAUCGAGAUUACCAAUUUUAUUAAGAUUCUACUCUAUAUAUUUCACCCGACUAACUGGGCUUUCGCUUAGAGAUAUCUAAACUAUUUUGGUUAAUUUUAAAAUGUAAUGAAAAUAACUUUAACCAAUUAUUUUUUUUAAAUAUAAAAUAAUGAAAAAAAAUAUCAAUUAAAUCCCUUAAAAGUUUUCAAAUUAUUAUUUUAUAUUUAAGAAAAAUAAGAUGUGAAAUUAGUUAAUAAGUUUUGAGAAGUUGUUGAAACGAUUGUGAAAUAAAUUUCCAUUGAUUAAUGAUUACGCUAUUAGAAUAAGAUGAUUAAGAAUUGCAGAAUUGGAAAACUACAUAUGACAAUACCGGCAAAAGCCUAGAUCAAAAUUCAAUAAUUGAUUAAUUUGCAUCACAUUGUUGAUUACACAAUGUAAAUUUAUAAUUUUAAAGUUUAGUCGGCUUAAGCUUAUCAACGUGAUCUUCAGCUAUCAUCACUGUUUGUUAAUUAUUUUGUUAUAUAAUGCGAAGUUAGAAAAUUACUAAUUCAUUUAUAUAGGAUAACUUCCUUUCCCCUAAAUGUAAUUGUUUUAAUGGAUAAUUUGGUAAUUCAAAUUUUUAUAAAAUAAUGUGCGUCAAGAGUAUUUUGAUGUAUUCAAAUACCCACUUGCUUGAUUGUUCAAAAUUUCACUUAUGCAUUCUCUAUCUAUGCUUGAUAAACGCUUUCAUAAUUUGUAGAAUUUUUUUCACUAGUUAAAUUCCUUUUAAAGUUUUUAUUACCCUUUACGAUGUUAAAAUUUUAAUGACACAUUUUUAAAAUUAAAUGAGACAUCUACAUACAAAUGUACUAAUUAUAAUUUAGACACUUGUCAAAAUUUUAGCCGAUGACAAUUGCUACAUUUAUUUGUCAAUUUCAAUUAACAUCUUAAACCAAGGGGUGGGAUUAUUUGAUCUCAUAAUUUUUCUUUUAACACUCAUUUUUUUAAGAAACCCAUUACUAAAAUUUAAAACUCGAGUUUUUACUCUAGACACCCUCCGUACUUAAAAAAUGACCUUAAUUGAUGACAGACGCUUCAGUUACCUUUUUCCUUCUUGCAAAUUUUUUCCACAUUGCAACCACUUUUACUGUUGUUCUCACUUUUUUUUUUCAUCUCAAUAGCAUAUUUAAGUUGUUCUCUUUCCAAACCUCCACGUUAUCACGUAUUAAUAAGGAGAAUAAGACAUAAAUUUUAAUAUGUCAAAAAAUGGCAUGCGGGCACCGCCUUCUAGAAGGCAGUGCCCGCUUGCCAUUGUUAAAGUAGGAGGUGUUGCCUUUUUCUUUGAUUAAAAAAAAGAAGCCACAAAAUAAACAGUAACGAACAAUAGCCAUUUGGUGGGUAUAAAUAGAGAGGUUCAUCCCAUAUUUGAUUCAUCCCCAAAUUCCUCUUUAAUUAUUACAGAGAAAUAGAGAAUUGUGUGGGAGUUUGAGAGUUUUAAUAUUCUUAUGUGAUUAGUGAUUUGAGAGAUUGGGUGUAUUGGGGUUCUGGAUAGUGAGCAAAAAAUAUUACAACACUUGUUAUCCUUAUUUCACUAAUAAAGUUUUAUCCUUCUGUCUUUGCCAGUGGACGUGGGAUAAAAGCCGAACCACGUAAACUCUUAUGUUUUCUAUGUGUGCUUAUUCUUCAUUUUCUUCCAAUUUCAUUUUAACUGUGACCCUAAUUCACACAUAAAUUUCCUAACAGUGAUAUCAUAAGUUCAGGUUGUAUUUUUAGGUUGGGGUACUAUUCACACAUACGACACUGUUCACGCAUACAAUAUUAUUCACAUAUAUGGUUAUUGUUCACAUGAAACGGUGGGAGCCACACCUCGUGGUAAGAAGCUGACACGUCUUAAAAGUGAUUUCUAGUUCUCAAGUAUAAGAGUGUCUUGUUAUAUUAUAACUGGGUUAGUCUGAGGUCGAUCCACAAAGAAAGGAUUUAAUUUGUUUAUUUAAGUUUAUAAAAAAAUUAAAAUUAAAAUUAAAAAUAUGCAAUUUAAUUUAGGAAAAAACUAUGAAAUUGAAUUAGUUAGGGUUAUGGAUCCACUCCUAGUAAUAAAUACAAUUGAUCAAAUUCUUUAUAUUUUUAUUUUAUAUCCCAAAAGAUUAAUUGUAUAAAUUACAAUUAUUUUCCCAUUAAUUUUUAUUAUGGAUUAAGAACUUAAUGUGCCAAAACUUAGCUUGUCCACAAUAAGGCAAAAUACCAUUUUUCCAUACUUUAUACUAAGAUAUUAAGAAUUCAUUGUGCCAAAAUCUCAUGUUUGUCUACAAUGAAUCAAAAUUUCAAAAUAUAAAAUAUGGAUAAAAUUAAAUAGAAAAUAAUUUAUUUUAUAUAAUUAAAAAUAGAAUUUGAUUAAAUCAUAUUUAUUUCAAAGAGCUUCACCUUCCCCAAAUUAUUAGUAUUUAGCUAAACAUAAUUGAAAUAAAGGAAUUUAUUAAAAAUUGAAAAACACAUAAAAAAUGAUAUUUGAAAAUUGAAAUAAAACUAAUUUUCACUACAAGAAAACAAACAAUAGAUGACAGACAAUUUAUGACAGAUUCAACUUAUAUCAUAAUAGUAUGACAGACUCGUGAUAGAAUUUUCAAUCUAUCAUGAAUUAAUGAUGAUUUUGUGACAAUAUGAUUUUCUAUCACAAAUUUAUGAUGGUUUUGUGAUAUAAUUAUUGUUUAUCACAAAUUUAUGAUAGAAUCGUGAUAAAAAAUUUCUCUGUUAAGAAAUUAUGAUAAAAAAAAUUCUUUGACUAUGUUUGACCUAAAGUUUAAUAUAUUAUUUUAUUUUAAAAAACAAAAGGGUGCAUUUUAAUAAUUCAAAAAAGAAAAAAAGAGAAAAGAAAAACACUACUGUCUUGACCCACCAAGCCCCAAAAUCACUAACACUCACACCCAAACACUCAUCACUCUCUCACGACCAAACCCUAGAAAUCAACCUUGCACUCAAUCGAUCGAGCAAAACACCAUCCUUUCGCCGCCAUUCAAGUAUAUUGUAACUAUGCCGGCAAUGUUGUUUAAAAAUUGUAGCUCGUUGCUGUCGGCACCAUUUUGCUAGUAGUAUUAAAAUGUUGGGUUUGUUGCUGUUGUGUCGCACAGGGUUCGAGUGGCUGCUUCUAAGUCGCGUUGCUGCUACGUUGCGCUGCUGAUGCUGUUGGGUCGCUACUGCAUCGCGUGCUGCUGGGUUGUUGAUGGGUGAUGGCUAUAAUUGUUGUUUGGGUGUGUGAGGUAGUGAAGGUGUGGCUGUCGGCUGUUGUUUGUUGUUGCUUCACGGAUGGUAGGGUGAGUGAUUUUGGGGAUUUAGGAUUUUGGCUGUUGCUUCGUGUGAGAGAGAGGGCGGCUGAGGGAGGCAAUUUGGUUAUUUGGGGAUUUAGGUUUUUGGUUGUUUUAUUUUGCUUUUUUUUUAUUUUCUAGUUUUUUUCUAUUUCAAUUUUUUUAUAUAUAUUAUAAAGCCUCUUUGUAAAAAAAAAAACCAAUAAUAUAUGUCAUCAACUGCAGUGGUAUUCUUCUACACCAUUUUUUUGACAAUCAAAUUCCUCUUUUCAUCUUGGCUUCCACUUGUGAAUUUCUAUCUGGUUCAUGCUUUUCCUGUUACCUGUGCUAGGUGGUGAAAUUUUUGGUAGAACAGAACAACAAUAAUGCUCUUCAUGGUCAAGUUACAAUUGGAACACUUAUUUUACAGGUACUGUUUAAAAAUAUAUUAAUGAUAUUCGCUUACAAUUUAUGGACGUGGACUAGUAAGAUUCAGGUUUUGAAGCAUAUUUAGCCGUUUCUUGACCUUGGGUUAUUUCAGGAUUGUAAAUAGUUCAGUUAAUCAAUUUCUUGGAGUAGAAUGUAUAUUUUGUAGUUUAUGCAUUGGCACCCUGAUUAUUUCUUCUUCUAGCUAUAGUUAUUCUAGUUACUGCUAAAGAAAAUAAACAAAUAAAUAAUGGCCAGUUGGUAAUGUGUAUGGGGACACUUAGUUCAUAGGCUAUUUUGACAGGAUUUUCUUGGAAGUAGUUGGAUGAAUAUAAAAGGAUGCAUAAAGGUGAUAUAAUGUUGAGUGAGUAAAUUAAUUCGAGAAUGGUUGUGGUACUGCUUUAGUUCUGAUUUGAUAAAACCUAUGGUAAUCGGUCCCAUAAUACUUCACUGUAAAAUUUAGUUUUUUGUUGUGAAAGCUGAGAACUUUCACAUCAAGAGAUUUUGAAGAAAAUCUGGCCUAAAAAAAAAGUAUGUUCCUCUUUAACUUUUCCAGUUUUUUAACUAUCAAUCCCUCAUUAUGAUAUUAACUUUCUGAUGAAAAGUUUUUCAUUUAGCUCAUUAAGCCUAGGUGAAUUGGUAGAUAUUCAGUAAACUACUAUUAGUUAUUAUCUGGUAGAGAUUCUUGUGGUGUAUUUGUUCUUCUGUUUAUUUUGCGAUCAUUAUUCCAGGUAACAAGUUCCUUUUUGUUUCAUUCAUCACAGGUUGAAACUUUUGCACAAUUUGGUGUUGUCUUCCUUCUUUUUGCUUUGGGGCUAGAGUUUUCUUUGACAAAGGUACAUCAUUAUGUGCUUGGAAAGUGUAUGAUAAUUAUUGAUAACAUUUUCCAUCUUUGUUCAUAAAAUCUAUUCCAAUUCCAUAAUUCAUCAUCAAUGCAGUUAAAAGCAGUGGGACAUGUCGCUGUUCUUGGAGGGCUACUACAAAUUGCAAUAUUUAUGUUCUUGUGUGGCAUAACGGCUGCAGUAUGUUGCUUAGCCUCUGAUUUGGUUUUUGUUACAAUUUCUGUUUGUUGUAUUUCUUGUCAAAAUUGAUGUUAAACUUGGACUAUUUGCUUAUGCUGCAGUUAUGUGGAGCCAAAUUGUCAGAGGGAGUAUUUGUUGGUUCCUUCUUAUCAAUGUCAUCAACUGCAGUGGUAUUCUUCUACACCAUUUUUUGACCAUGGGUUAUUUUAGGAUUGUGCUGUUGGGUUACUAUUUGCUCUACUCCCAGUCUUGGGUGGUAACAGUGGCCUUUUGCAAGGAAUGGUUUCAAUGGGGAAGUUGUAAGUUCAUUUGAGCUCUUUAAAUUUAGAUUUUAAUGUGAUUGCUCUUGUUGUUCUCCUUUUCUUUUUUAACAAUGUUUCCUUGUUGUUGUUGACCGGUGCCCUUGUGCAAACAUUAUUUGUUGAAUGGUGACAUUUUUCUUUUAUUAACUUCAGGCUGCUAGUUUUGUCCAUUUAUCUCACUGUUACAUCUAUUUUAUCCUGGUCUUUUGUUCCCUACUUUCUAAAGCUCAUGAUACAGCUGUCAUCUCAAGUGAGUUUUGUACAUAUAUUUUGUUUUUGUGCCUUGAUUUUGAUAAAUUUAUUGUCCUUUAUUAGCUCAUUUUGAUUUCUUUUCACCUGUCUAGACAAAUGAGCUUUAUCAGCUUGAUGCUGUAGCUUUUUGCUUAUAAUCUGCUUGGGUAAGUGCAAUAUGUAAUUACCUAUUUUGUCAAGGUUAAUACAUCUUGCUGGUAAUCGAUUAAUGGGUUCUAUUUUCUGCUUUGUUAAUUUACUGUUUAUGCACUGGAUGAUAUGCUUUUAUGCUGUUAAGUGAUCAUCUGCUUGGACAAUGUAAUACCUUUGGAGUUUCUUUUCAGUGCAGUGAUAAGCUGGGCCUCAAUCUUGAGCUGGGUUCAUUCAUAGCUGGAGUGAUGAUAUCUAGCGCUGACUUUGCUAAACAUACUUUAGAUCAGGUACUUUUUUGUGCUAGUGAUAAUUCCUCCACUUAGAUUUUAUUUUUAUUUUGUCGAUGAAGAAUGUCAUUUUAUUAAAAAUCCUGACAUAUAUAUAGUCGUUUCCAUUUUCCAGAAAAAGGGUUGUUAUGCUAUUUUAAAUACGAGGCAAGUUACAGGCCUAUAAUUGGUGCUGUUGGUUAAGAUAAGCUUGUCAAAGUUGGUUGUUUGGUUUUCGUUUCAUUGGUUGAUCAGUUCAGUUGGAUCUGGAUGCCAUUGCUUUUUUAUGACUUUAUGAUUUAUUUUUGUCUCCUCACACUGGUCUAUUGUUGUGGCUUCCUUUGGAUUUUUAGCUACCUUGCUGAUUUUGAUGAAUUCCUGUUCACCAAAAGUAAUUUUAAUCCAUUGAGUUUGUACAUUUUGCUCAUUCCAUAAAAGUGAAGAUUGCAGCCUCUUAAUUUUCCUUAUUCUAUGAUGCCCACAUGUAUUGCAGCCUCUUAAUUUUCCUUAUUCUACUUGGUGUUUGAAUCAAUUUUGUUCACAGGAAGCUUGCAGGUCGCUAGUUUUGUUGGGUAACUUGGCUUGGUGGCCGGAAUUCUUAUUGCUUUUCUUAGAGUUUGAUUGGAAUUUGACUGCAAUUUUAUACUUUGGGAUGGCUUUUUCAAUUUGGGAUGUUUUAUUAUGUAUUAGUGGAGAUUACAUUGGAUAUUAGAUGUAUUUCAAUUUUGGAUUGAAUGAAUGUUAAUUGAUAUUAAUUUUUUUAUGAUAUUUGUUUUAUUAAUUAAUUAAAUUUGUAAACAGGAAUUCAUCAAUAAAUUAUAAUUAUAAUAUAAUUUUAGAAAAAAAAUCAAAACUUUAUGAUGGAAAAGCCAUCAUAUAUUCUAUCAUAAAUAAUUUCCCGCCAAAAUUGAAUAAUAAAUUUUCAAAUAAUAAUUGAAUUUCUCACUAAAAAAUUAAAAAAAAUGGCGCAAAAAUUUAAAUAAAUUUAAUUUUUAAUUUAAUUAUUUUUUACAUUAAAAUAUUAUGUGACAGAUAUAUGACUAUGAAAUGCUAUCAUAAAUUCAUGACGGAAAAUAUUUUGUCAUAAAUUAAUGACAGUGACAUAGAUGACGGAUGAACUGUCUGUCAUACACCCCAUUUUAUGACAGUUAUUUCCCGUCAUCUAUUGCAUGUUUUCUUGUAGUGUUUAUUUAUUAAAAAUAUAUUACAAAGAGAGAUGAGAAGAAGAAUUUGGGGGGAAAAAAGAGAAGAAAAGGUGUGAAGAGGUGUGUUUCUAGUCCCCUCUCUAUUUAUACUAUUAUAUCGUAAAUCUAUACCACACAAAUAAAUAAAUCUAAUUACAUCUUAGCCUUACAUUUGUCCCACUAAUAAAACAUAAACCUAACUUAAUCCACUCAAGCAUAUCCAACACAUUCCACUAACAAUUACCAUACCUAACAUGAUAAAAACUUAUAAUUUUAUAAUUACCAAAUUUACCGUGGUAAAAACUUAAAAAUUUACAACAAAAGUCUCGGAUCCUCCUCGACAAUGACAUAAUUUCUCGGACUUCCGAAAUUCAAAUUUGACAUCCGUACAUUUGUUUGGAGCCUCAAAUUGCAUAAAAUUAUUAUUUUUUCUAAUAAACACACAAAAUCAAAUAUUCAGAAAAAUAAUUAGAAAUUCACAACAUGUUACACAAUUACAAAUAUAAAUCACAUUAAUUGCACAAAAUAACAUUUUACCCCUUAAUAAACAUACAAUUUUUAACACUAAUCAGAAGCAAUGACAAAAAAAAAAGAAAUUGAGAAGUCCAAUGGAAAUAAUUUCCCGUUGCAGAAAAUGAAAAUAAAGGCUAUUUUAAGGAAAAAACAAUUAAUGACAGUGACAUAGAUGACGGAUGAACUGUCUGUCAUACACCCCAUUUUAUGACAGUUAUUUCCCGUCAUCUAUUGCAUGUUUUCUUGUAGUGUUUAUUUAUUAAAAAUAUAUUACAAAGAGAGAUGAGAAGAAGAAUUUGGGGGGAAAAAAGAGAAGAAAAGGUGUGAAGAGGUGUGUUUCUAGUCCCCUCUCUAUUUAUACUAUUAUAUCGUAAAUCUAUACCACACAAAUAAAUAAAUCUAAUUACAUCUUAGCCUUACAUUUGUCCCACUAAUAAAACAUAAACCUAACUUAAUCCACUCAAGCAUAUCCAACACAUUCCACUAACAAUUACCAUACCUAACAUGAUAAAAACUUAUAAUUUUAUAAUUACCAAAUUUACCGUGGUAAAAACUUAAAAAUUUACAACAAAAGUCUCGGAUCCUCCUCGACAAUGACAUAAUUUCUCGGACUUCCGAAAUUCAAAUUUGACAUCCGUACAUUUGUUUGGAGCCUCAAAUUGCAUAAAAUUAUUAUUUUUUCUAAUAAACACACAAAAUCAAAUAUUCAGAAAAAUAAUUAGAAAUUCACAACAUGUUACACAAUUACAAAUAUAAAUCACAUUAAUUGCACAAAAUAACAUUUUACCCCUUAAUAAACAUACAAUUUUUAACACUAAUCAGAAGCAAUGACAAAAAAAAAAGAAAUUGAGAAGUCCAAUGGAAAUAAUUUCCCGUUGCAGAAAAUGAAAAUAAAGGCUAUUUUAAGGAAAAAACAAUUACUUGGAAACAAUUGAAGAAAGGCGCACAGAGAAAAUUGAUGCUGCCAGGUGUAAUGAGAUGAAUGGUAUUGUAAUUGUCGAUCUACAUUUAGCACUAGCUGAUGAAGUGUUAUCUAGUGUGGAGGAGAGAAAGAGAGCAAAGAAAAAAUAUGGGAUACUCUUAUAAGACUGUACGAGGCCAAAUCACUACACAAUAAGAUUUUCUUGAAGAAAAGACUUUAUACUCUUCGAAUGGUGGAAACCACAUAAGUGACUGACCAUAUCAACAUUCUCAGAACUCUAUUUUCAUAACUUACAAUGUUGGGUUAUAAAAUAGAAGAAAAUAAACGUGCAGAGCUUUUACUUCAAAGUCUAUCAGACUUAUAUGAUCAACUUAUCAUCAAUCUGACAAACUACAACCAAGCAGAAAGUCUAGUCUUCGUCGAUGUCACAGCCUCUAUAUUAAAUGAAGAGAACAGGCAAAAAAAAAAAAAAGGAAGACAAGUGGGCGAGUUCGCAAGCGGAAGCGCUAUCGCUGACUAGAGUGAGAUCAUGUGAGCGUGGCCCUAACAGGAGUUACAAUUAUAGUAGAUCAAAAUCAAGAUGUAAGAUGAAUGUCAAAUGCUACAACUGUGGCAAGAAAUGGCAUGUCAAGAAAGAGUAUUGGAACACCAAAAGAGAAGAGAAUGUAAAGAUCUUGAGUCAUCAAAUGCCCAUGAUUGUGUAGCGAGUACCUCAAAUGAUGGUGACGUUUUACACAGUGAGUCAGCAAUGGUUUCAAAAGGCAAAAAAUGGAUAUAUGAAGUCUGGCUCAUAGAUUCAAGAGCUACCAAUGACCUCUUGGAGAGAAUGGUUCCGUAAAUAUUAACCUAUCUCAGGAGGAUCGGUAUAUAUGGGUAAUGAUCAUGCCUUAGAGAUUAUUAGUAUUAGUACUAUCAAAAUAAAAUGGUUUAAUGGCACAAUUUGUAAAAUUGAGGAGGCACGACAUGUCAAAGGUUUGAAGAAAAAUCUAUUAUCUUUGGGACAAAUAGAUAGUCUCGGCUGCAAAGUUCAUGCAAAAAAUAAGAUCAUGAAGAUUGCUAGACGCGUGCUUGUAUUGUUGAAGGCGGAAAAAAAUUGGUGCUAAUCUAUUCAUACUUAAGGAGGAAAUAAUAUAAGAAGCUGAUUCACGUGUCACGUCAAAUGGAGAAGAGUCAGCAAUGUUAUGGUAUCUCAAGCUUAGCCACAUGUCAGAACAAGAUUUGAAGAUUCUCUCCGAGCAAAAGUUGAUUCCAAGGCUUAAAACGGUGAACUUACUAUUUUGUACGCAUUGUGUUAUAAGUAAACAAUAUAGAUUGAGCCCCACCAUUUGUUUAUUAUUAUAUUAUGAAAUACUCAAUUCAAUCAUGAGAAAAAAAAAAAAAACAAGAGCCCUAAUAUGGAUAGGAAAAGAAACAAGGUUUAAUGUUGGAUGACUUCCUUAUGUGAGUGUAAGGAGAAUUAUUUUUUUUUCCAACAGUAAUUUUCUUUAAGGAUAAUAUAGGAAUAUAAUUUUUAUUAAAAUAUAUGGAAGUAAAAAGUAUUUUUAUGGUAUUAUCAAAUAACCUCUCGCUAAGAAAUCUACAAAAGAGAUGGAGGUUAUUCUCUAUAUAAUUAUUCUCCAAGAUAAGGAUGAUAACAAAUUAGAACUAGCUGAUUACUAAUUUGAAAACUUUAAGCAAGGAUGUGAAAUUAGUUGAUAAGUUUUGAGUUGUUGAAACUAUUGUGAAAUAAAUUUCCAUUGAUUAAUUAUUACGCUAUCAGAAUAAGGAAAACUACAUAUGACAAUACCGGCAUAAGCGGUAAGCCUAGAUCAAAAUUCAAUAAUUGAUUAACUUGCAUCACAUUGUUGAUUACACAAUGUAAAUUUAUAAUUUUAAAGUUUAGUCGGCUUAGGCUUAUCAACAUGAUCUUCAGCUAUCAUCACUGUUUGUUAAUUAUUUUGUUAAAUAAUGGGAAGUUACAAAAUUUGUAAUUCACUUCUAUAGGAUAAUUUCCUUUCCCCUAAAUGUAAUUGUUUUAAUGGAUACUUUGGUAAUUCAAAUUUUUAUAAAAUAAUGGGCAUCAAGAGUAUUUUGAUGUAUUCAAAUACCCCCUUGCUUGAUUGUUCAAAAUUUUACUUAUGCGUUCUCUAUCUAUACUUGAUAAACGCUUUCAUAAUUUGUAGAAAUUUUUUCACUAGUUAAAUUCCUUUUAAAGUUUUUAUUAUCCUUUACGAUGUUAAAAUUUUAAUGACACAUUUUUAAAAUUAAACGAGACAUCUACAUACAAAUGUACUAAUUAUAAUUUAGACACCUGUCAAAAUUUUUGCCACAUUUAUUUUUCAAUUUCAAAUAACAUCUUAAAACAAGAGAAAAUUAGAUAAAACAAACGUUUAUGAGAGAUCCACAGGGCUAAAAAAAAGGGAUGGGACUAUUUGAUCCAUAUUUUUUCUUUUAACACUCAUUUUCUUAAGAAACCAUUAUUAAACUUUAAAAAUCCGGUUUUUACUGUACACAACCUCUAUAUUUCAAAAAAAUGACUUCAAUUAAGGAUUUACAGUUCUUUUAUUUUUUUUUCCUUCCUGCAAAUUGUUUCUACAUCGCAACCACUCCUCAUCACUUUUACUAUUGUUCACACUUUUUUUUUUUCAUCUCAACAAUAUAAUUAAGUUGUUCUCUUUUCAACAUACACGAGACCACGGAUAUUAAUAAGAAGAAUGAGACUUAAAUUUUAAUAAACAUGAUACAAACUAGAAUAUUUAAGAUUACUAUAAUGAUACUAUUCUAGUGUAAAAGAAUCUCUUUUCAGCUUCUAUGUGCUGCUAUAACGCUGCCUUAGUACUUAAAAAUUUUUGGGUAGCAAACUCACUUGCAUCUGUUUUUAUUUGAUUUGUGUGAGGUUAUUGGAAAGAAAAUUUGAUAUCUGAAGCACCAAUUUCUAUUAUAUUGACACUUGUUGGGUUCGUAUCAUGUGCAUUCGUUUUGUUUAUUAUUAUAUUGUGAAAUACUCAUUUCAAUCAUGGAAAAAAAAUAAAGGUUUUAAAUCAAAAGCCCUAAUAUGGAUAAAAAAGCGAAUUAGGGUUUAGUGUUGGAUGACUUCCUUAAGCGAGUGUAAGGGAAUUAUUAUUUUAUUUUUUUGUCAACAGUAAUUUCCUUUAAGGAUAAUUUAGGAAUAUAAUUUUUAUUAAAAUAAUGGAUAUAAAAGUAUUUUUAUGGUAUUAUCAAAUAACCUCUCGCCAAAAAAAAAAACUACAAAAAACAUAGAGGUCAUUCUCUAUAUAAUUAUUCUCCAAGAAAGAAACUCUAAAAUAAGGAUAAUAACAAAUUACAGCCAAUUGAUUACUAAUUUGAAAACUUUAAGCAAGGAUGUGGAAUUAGUUGAUAAGUUUUGAUAAGUUGUUGAAACGAUUGUCAAAGAAAUUUCCAUUGAUUAAUGAUUACAUUAUCAGAGUAAGAUGAUUAAGAAUCAGAAUUAGGCAACCACAUUUGACAAUACCGACAUAAGCCAAAAUCAAAAUUCAAUAAUUGAUUAAUUUGUAUCACAUUAUUGAUUGCACAAUGUAAAUUUAUAAUUUCAACCUUUGAAAUAGUCAUGCUGUUUAGUAGGCUUAGGCUUAUCAACAUGAUCUUCAGCCAUAAUCAUUAUUAAUUUGUUAAUUAUUUUGCUAAUAAUGCGAAGUUAUCUGAAUGCGGAGCUAAAAACCUCUCAUCAAUAUGGUCCCGUCUUCUGAACAUUUUUUUGUUAAUAAUUAUGUAGAAGAUCUAUUAAUUAAUGGAUUGAAACAAUAAUAACUUUAAUUUAAAAUUAAAAACUUUAAUUUUAAACUAUUAUUGCCCAAAAUUAAAGGAAUAUAUUUAUUGAGUCAAAGAUUAUAUAUCUUCAAUUUUCUUUUAAUUUACAAAUUAUUGUAGGCAUUGAAAAAUGUUUCAGAAAAAUGCCAAUUUUCCAAAUUAAAAUAAUGAUAUUUUGAAAGAAAAGACUCUAUUUUUGCUGACCUAGGAUUUCCAUGUAUCCAACCCAAAAGACUAGCCUAUUGGGUGGAGUCACCUACUCCAACUUAUAAACUCAAGUGUCUCCUCUUUACUGGCAAAUAUGGGACACAACUCAAGAAUCUCCCCGCCCCGUCCCCAGACAAAACCACCUUUCGACCCCAAUCCUUUCGUUCGACACACCUGAGUUGUUCUAUCACUACAUUCAAGCUACUAGGGUCUAACUUUAAUACCAAUUGUUGGGGGCUUGGUCUAGGAUUUCUAGGGUAUCCAAUCCAAGAGACUAGUCUAUUGGAUGGAGUGACCUAAUCCUACUUAUAAACUCAAGUAUCGUCAUUUUACUAUCCAAUAUAGGACACAACUUAAUAGAUUUAUUUUUCCACAUUAAAGAUAAUUCUACGAUAAAGUCUGUGCAAACAAAUACUCAAAGUGGUACUAAUAAUAAAUGACGAUACUCAUUAAAAUUUCUUUUCUUUCAGAUUACAAAAAGUUACAUAUUAGAUCUAAAUCAAAAUCAAUUUCAAGAAGAAACAAGCAACACCGAGAAUGUACUUUUUGAAAACUACAUAGACAUUUUAUAUGAAUUUAGAUCCUCAGACAAUUAUUUAUUCAUCUAGUAUAUGGGUCGUUAUUGGCAAAUAUGAAUUUUUUAUAAAAAAUAAGCAUGUUGAUUCUAAGCCAAGACACAAAAAUUGUUAUUUAAUUGAGAUUACUAAUUUAUUAAGGCUCUAAUCUAUAUGUUUCAUCCGACCGAUUGGGCUAUCCCUCAGAGAUAUCUAGACUGUUUUGGUUAAUUUUAAAAUUUAAUGAAAAUAAAUUUAACCAAUUAUUUUUCUUAAAUAUAAAAUAAUGUGAAAAUUAUCAAUCAAGUCCCUCAAAAUUUUCAAGGUUACUUUGUCUUUUAGAGAUUGGAUAGAGAUAUGUCCACCUUAAUAUUUGCACAAUGCCAAUGUUAAACUCAGAAUAACAGUUCCUGAAAGAACAAUCAUUAUUCAAUAUAUAUAUAUUCUGGAGUUUAGAGUCUUAAAACACUUAAUUACUUGUACUGAUAGCUGAACGUUAAGAAUACACUACCAAGACAGAAAUGAGGUUACUGCUGAUACUACAGUAUCACUAUAGCACACAAAACGAUAGCAUUGUUCAUGCUAACUGCAAGAAUUAGAUAACUAAUCCGUGGAGUUUAUUUUAGGUAAAUAUUCAAGAAGAAAGAGCAUAAUUAAGCUGACAUGGUAAACUAACUUAUUCAAUGUUAACACUUUGACACACACUAAUUUUUAUUUAUUUACUUAUUUCCUUUUCAGGAAAAUAUGGUACACGUAGAUAUCAAAGAAAAUCUCUUAUAUAUCUCAAGAGAUCUUCUCACCCUUACAAAUUUUGAAAGUAAUAAUAUACCCAUCUUGUUAUUUAAUUAGAUAUAAUGCAAAAGAGUUACACUGCAUUUACCAAUGUGGUUGGGAUUUCUAAUAUAUUUAUGGACAACAAGAAGAUCAAGAUUGUCAUUCGCAAUGUCAUCAUCAAUUGUUUUUGAGUAAACAAAUAAAUAAUAUAACAAGCCCCUUCGACCAAUCAUUAUUACUUGAAAAAUCAUAUUAGAAAAUUUAAUCAUAUGUAAAUGUAUCAAAAUAAGAGUUACAAAUGAUUUUCAACAGAAAUUGAUUGCCUAAAACCUGCGAAGAUAGUUUCCAUAUUCUUUCAGUUAGAUAUAUCUCUGCCUCUGGAAUCAAAACUCAAAAAGUAAUCAUGUUGCUUUGGCGAGAUUUUGAUAGUUUUUGGUUUGGUAUAAUACAUCAAUAUAUUGUGUGCAGAACUGGCAAAAUUUGACACGAUCUAAUUACCCAACUCUAAUAUGAUACGAAUAAAUAUAUACAGUCGUUAAAUUUGACACGAUUAUUAACGAUUUUUUCCUGUGUUAAGUUAAAGUUAAAGUUCUUGACCCAUUAACCUUAUUAAAGACACAAUUAUAUUUUUUAUUUUAAAUUAAUUUGUUUGUUCUUGUAAUCAAAACUUAAAUAUUGAAGAUGAUUCUCUCCUUUUAUAUUUUUUUUGGAAGGAUAAAAAUAUACAGUGUUUCAUUUAUAAUAUUAUAUAUAUAUAUAUAUAUUUAGAACUUCAAUAGUAUAAAUGUAUAAAAUAUUGUGGUAGGGCUUGGGGCAAAACUAGGGCCAAUUUUUAUUAAUUGAAUUAAAAGAAAAAAUAAUCCUGACCUACAAUUUGAGAGGUAGGUCAAUCUCUUCUAAACUCGUAAUUACUCUUAAUACUUGUCAAAACUCAGUAUAAACCCUAAAUGACUCCUUAAUCUCUUAUUUAUACCGGAUCCUUAAUUAGAGAAUAAGUAAAAUUACUAAACUCUAAUUGCCCUUUUAUAUUUGCGUGUAACAUUAGCUUUCAUCAGGUUUAACAUUACUCCCCUCCCAAAAGACACUUUGUGCUUAAGGUGGAAUCUAGGAAACUAUUGUUGUAUCAACUCAUAUGGCUCAUACGUCGCCUCCUAGUCUAGCAAGUCCUUCCAUGUAAUCAACACUUUUUUAUUAGCUGGUUGUCCUAUCGUCCCUUAGCAUACUCCCUUGAGAGCAGUCAGUUCUAGCACUGUCUUCAUGUCCUUAGUCAAGGUCGGUGAAAGCAAAGAAAAGGGUAUAUGUUCUCUAAAAGCUUGUCUCAACUGAGACACAUGAAACACCGAGUGAAUGACUGAUGUUGGUGGCAAUUUCAAUCAGUAAGCCACCUCUCUAAUCCUUUACACAAUCUCAUAGAGCCUAAAAUAUCGAGGGGAGAGCUUCUCAAUCCUCCAUCGCACCAGAGACUUUUGUCAAUAUGGCCGUAACUUAAGAUAAACCCAUUCCCUACCUCAAACUAUAUGUCCCUCCUAUGACCAUCAGCUUGCUUUCUUAUUAUCUGCUGUACCUUAGACAGAUGCCUUUCAACUCUUCGAGUAUGCAAUCUUGUUCCUCUAAAUACUGAUCUACAUGUGAUGCAGGCGUCGAACUCUAUCCAUAGUACACCAAAUACUGAUCCACCUGUGAUAAGAAGUAUUGUACCAACACUCUGCCAAUGCUAAUCACCUCGCCCACUGCAUUGGCAUGUCCGACAUAAAAACACCGCAGAUAAGUCUCUACACUCCGGUUUACUACCUCAGUCUAUCCGUCAGUUGAUGGGUGGUAAGUAGUGCUCCUCUUUAAAACUAUACCUUGCAUCCUAAAUAACUCCCUCCAAAAGUGGCUUAGAAAAACCUUACCAAGUCCAUUACUAUCGACUCUAGAAUUCUAUACAAAUGUACCAUCUCUUGCAUAAAAGCUAGUGCAAUGGUCACAGCAGUAUAAGGGUGUCAUCGGGGUAUGAAAUUAGUAUACUUGCUUAGUUGAUCAACCACGCCCAAGAUCACCAUGUACCCGUCUGAUGUGGCAAUCGCUUAAUAAAAUCCAUUGUCACCUCCUCCCAAACCUUAUCGAGUAGUGAUAAUGGCUAUAAUAACCCUCCUAGUGCCAUUGCUAUGUAUUUAUGGCGUGAUGACAUACAUCACACCUCGCUACCAUCUCCUCGACAUCCUUCUUCAUCCUCGCCCAAUAUAGCUCUAUUACCAAACACCGAUGAAUUUUUAGAACAUCAGAAUUUCCCCUAAUAGCACGCCCAUAAAACUCGUGCAACAACAUCAUUAUAUUGGGUGAUGUCCUCGGCAGUACAAGACUUCUUUGAUAUAACAGUCGUUGUCCAUUCAUAGAAUAGCCUAGAUAUCCUAUCUCCCUAUAUAAUAAUAUAGCCUAGAUCUUCACAAACUCCUUAUAUGCCUCAAUCUUUUGUGAUAAUGUGUCUUAAUUUAUCACCAAAGGCACCGAUAAAGCUACCAACAGAGGUUCCUCAUCCCGUCGCAAUAAGACAUCUACCGCAUUAUUCUUUAACCUGGCCGAUACUAUAUCUCAAAAUUAUAGCCUAGUAACUUCGACAAUCAGUAUUAGUGUUCCUUAGUCACCAUCCAUUUUUUCAAUGGGAACUUAAGAAUCCGUUGAUCCGUUCAAAUGAUGAAAUGUAGCCCCAAGAGGUAUGGCCUCAAUUUCUAAGUUGCUAACACAAUCGCCAUGAGUUUGCACUCAUAAAUAGACUUGAGUCACAACCUAGCUGUUAAGAUUUGGUUGAAGUAGGCAAUCAGAAGCUGAUUUUGAGUGAGAACUACUCAUAAUGCAUACCCCAAGGCGUUUGUCUCUUUAAUAAAUGAUUGGCUAAAAUCUGGUAAUGUUAGCAUUGAAACACUAGUCAUGGCCCUUUUCAAUUUCUUGCAAGUUUGCGUCGUUAUGUCCCCAUAUAGAAAACUAUCCUCCUUCAACUACUCUGUUAAAAGUCGUGCUAUGGUGCUAUAACCCUUUACAAAAUUCUGGCAGUAUUCAGUGAAGCCUCAAAAAAACCCUAAACUCUUUCUUUAUUUUAGGUAGAAGCCACUGCAGCACCGUCAUUAUCUUAGACUGAUCUGCUGAAAUCCUCUUAGCCGACACCACAUGCCUUAAAUACUCUGUUAACAUACAUAUUUUCAUAACAUUGAUUUUAAUGAUAACAAACAAGGUUAAAAUGUUGGAGAUAGUAAAAUUGGUUAAGUUCUUAAAGCCGUAUAAUGUUUUUUUGGGCAAGUUUAAGAAUCUGAACAAAAACGGAUAACCGUUAAUCUUGAAACGGAAAAUCGAUAUUAUAAGGAAAAACAUGUAGUUCCAGUUCUGAAAGAUAACAAUUAACCAUUUAUUAGAAAAUGAUUAAUCGACAAUUCACCACCUUCUUAGGUUGCAUAACUAGUAUUUCAUACUCCACUAUUGUCUACACAAACAAGCACUUUUUCCGAUUAGCAUACUACUGAUGAUUCUGUAACUCUAUCAACAUUAACUCCACGUGACCCACAUGAUCCUCUAAAGUGCAGCUAUAGAACAAAAUGUCAUAAAAGAAAAUAAGGGCAUUUGUCAAGCCAAACGACAUGACCAUAAAUUUAUAAUGUCCCUCGUGAGUCCAAAAUGCAAUCUUAUGCGCAUCCUAUAGUCGCAUCUGAAUAUGGUGAUUUCCCAACUUCAAAUAUAACUUUGUUAACACCGUCGCCACGUGCAACUCAUCUAACAACUCAUCGAUCACUGGAAUAGGAAACUCACAAGCACCGUUUCCUUGUUCAGGGCUUGGUAGUCAAUAAAAGAUCUUCAACUCCCAUCUUUUUUCUUCAAUAACAAGAUCAAACUCGAAAACAGACUCACGCUCGAUUGUAUUAUCCCAACCUUCAACAGUUCCAUAACUAUCCUCGCAAUCUCAUCCUUUUGUAUCUAGGGAUACUGAUAUGGCCGAACACUAAUAGGGGAGGCCCCUUACUUCAACAUUAUUGCAUGCUCAUGUUCCCAUUGUGGAGGUACACUUUUGGCCAUCUGGAAAACCUCCUUAAAUUGCUCCAACAGCUGUUGAAAUUGGUCCCGUAAUCACUGUUGAUGUCUUUAUUCGUGCCCUUUUCCAGGCUAUGCAACUCCGCCAAGAAUCCCUGCCCGCAUCUUAAAUCGUCUUUACCAUGGUUUUAAGUGAAAAAGGUUUUGCAUAAACUCGAAUUACCCCAUAGCAUUACCCCUCAACCGCCCACCCGAAACUCCAUUGUUUAUAAUUUCCGAAUAGCUUACAAUACUCCUCUUAGCAUGUUCCCAUACAAAAUUGUUUAUGGGAAAGCUUGUCAUUUACCCUUAGAGCUGGAGUACAAGGCAUAUUGGGUAAUAAAACAACUGAACAUGGAGAUGACUGCUGUAGCAGAACAGAGGAAGCUACAGCUCUGUGAGCUAGAAGAGUUGAGGUUAUUCUCCUAUGAAAAUGCAAUAAUCUAAAGGAAAGGACCAAGCAAUGGCAUGGAAAACAAAUCCAGUAAAGGGAGCUCAUUCCAGGCCAACAUGUUCUGUUAUAAUAUUCACGACUAAAGCUUUUCCCUAGAAAAUUAAAGUCUAGGUGGUUAAGUCCUUUUAAACUUAUCAAAGUUUAUCCUCAUAAGGCCGUAGAGCUUCAAGAUGAAAUGACAGACUAAAAAUUCAAGGUGAAUGGACAAAGAGUAAAGCAUUACAUUGGAGCUUCUGUGAACAAUACUAUGGAGGAUUUGUUCCUCAAGCAUCCAUCUUGAGAAAUCAUGGAUGGUCAGGCUAAAGGACAUAAAAUCAAGCGCUGAUUGGGAGGCAACCCCAUAAGGAAAGUUGUUUAAAAUUUUUAAAGAAUUAAAUUUAGUCUUAAUUAUUUAAUUUUUCUUUCUAUUAUUUUUAAUUGUGCAUCUAAUUUCCUUUUAUUCCAUUGUAUUAAUUUUUAGCAAGUAGAAGUAAAAAAAAAAUGUUUGGGCAAAUAGGCUGACAAGAAUUACUGCAACAUCACGUAUAGCAUGGCAGUUAGAAGGCAAUUCUCAACCAACGAGGGAAUUUUUCACAAUUGCUGGGGCAACGGUUUUUUACCGUUGCACUUACAACUUUGGAUUUUUACUUUUGAAGGGACGGACACGCUUAUGUCAACUUAUCAGACUUGGUGAUAAGGAUAAUUCAGAAAUCGCUGAUUUGCCGUGACACAUAUACUUUCUUUUCCUUUUAAAGUGUUUUGAAAAUUCAAAAAUAUAUUUCCAAGAUUACCAUAUUAAUUACCUUCCUCUUUUUACUUUCCCUUUUGGCUAUAAAUUAGGGAUUUACUUUAACUUUUUUCAAUUUCACUACAACUCUUUCUUUCCCUAUCUGUAACUCUCAACAAUCUUUACAAUUCCUUUUCAUGUUGUACUUUUCUUUUUAGCGAAAUAAAGCUUUGGUCAAACUACUACAGCAAUGCCGAAAAUUAAAACACGUGCUGUUAGAUUGAAGGACCCUGCACGCUUUUAUAGUUACAAAGCUGAGGAAAAUUUUGACGACAUUAUCGAGCCUCGUUAGAUAUUGGAAUGAUGAACAACACAUAUAAUGUUGUAGCACGAAGAGGAUGGAUGAAAUUUUGUGCUUACCCCCAAGACCCUGUUGUUCCUGUCGUUAAGGAAUUUUAUGCCAACAUGUUACGGUAGGAACAACGUAACAUCAUUAUGAGGAAUUUGUGCAACCUCUGGGGUGAAAUUUGAGGCCAAGGAUCAAAGAGUGAAAAAUGAGGGCGACAUCACAACCAAGACCGUUAAAAAAGAUUGCUGUGGAAUUUACUACUACAACAACCCUAGAACACCAUAUUGCAGCUAAAGCAGAGCAAGCCACAUGGAUUGAGGAUAUGCUGCAGGAGCUCAGUGACAACAAAAAUGCAUGUGUCCAAGCACAAAAAGAAGAAAAUCGGAGGUUUUGGACAUAUUUAUGCAUCUGGAAGCUCAUAAGCAUCAAUUUGCCAAAUAUAUGAAGAAUAAGCAUGCAGAUUUUCCAGUUUCUGCUCUAGCAGCAGAAAGUGAAGAAAUAAAGAGUGAAGGAGAGUUUGAAUAAGAGCGGUGUUAUUUUAACUCAUUUGCUAUUGGUGUCAAUACGCAAGUGUACACACCAAGUAAUAUAAUGAUGAGUAUCCAAGAUCGUCUCCGCAGAGAUUGAUGCUAUCAGACUUGCUACAACAAUUUCACAAUGCAAUAUAUAUUCGAAUGUAAAACAAGGCAACUAAUGAACUAAAAGACUAAGUAAAAAAAAUAAAAACACAAUAAUAAAAAAAUGCAUUGAAUAAAAUUUGCAUGUUAAACAUGAAGGUAAAAUCAAUAGGAAUAUAGUAGUUGAGUGAUUAAACUCUCUUGAUGAUGUUGACUGUUUUAUUCAUGCUAAGUUCAGUUGCUACAGCAUCUGCUACAACACUGGGCAAAAACCAUCUUUAUCCUCAGCACUAGGAUGUUGGAUGUCUUUUAUCUUUAUUCAACCUAAUAAUGACCAGUUGCUAUGUCAACAUAAGAUAUAACAUUACAUGUUUAUGUUCUCUUUACCCUACAAGGUGAAUCCCUAUAACUAGUGCAUCACUAAUCUUAGAUUAAGCGUGACCCUUUUUGGACUCAAGUUAAACUCAAUCCACGAAACUCAAUCUAAGACCAAGUAUUACUCUAAUAUAUUCCACUAAGAUAGGCCAUUUUGCGGCUCUUUCUUAACUUGUAUCAUUAAAUGGAUGGUUAAUCGAAAUAAUGAAUGUAAAUAAUUGUUUUUAAAACAACAUGCUAUAGCAAACAUGCAACAACACCUAUAUUCAGUAAAUUAACCAUCUAGAUAGUUUAAUACUCAACCACAAAUAAAUUUAGUUCUUAAUUUCUGAAAGGAAAUUAAACAACCAAGUUCCAGCUAUCGAAUACAUCUUCAUGAUCAAUGAAUAACAAGUAAACAAGAAAAAGAAUGAGAAAGAGCGAAUUCCAAUUGAUUCUGCAAAUUUCGUCUACUAGUGCGGCCUUGAAUUCUGCUCGGGAAUUCUAUUUCUUCGUUGUUUCUUUUCUGUUUAGACUGUAAUAUUGUAAAUAUCUCGCCCAGAUUUUUCUCUGUCAAUGCUCUAGGAUUGUUACAGCAAUGGUUGCUACAACAAUGGCUGCAACAUCUUUUCUGUUUCUGACUUGCUCCAAUUCUUCUAUAGCCAUGCUUGUUUGUCCUCUUUAUAAGUCCAUUGCAAUAGCAUCUUUCCCAUAAAAUUCAAGUUUCCAUUUACCUACAGUUAAACAUAUGUUUUAGGCAUACAAUUAUUCAAAAAUCACACAAACUUUAUUAAACUUAAACUAAAAUGAAUGUAAUGCAAACUAUCAUUAAAAUGCACUAAAACACAUCAAUUACUCUCUAAGUAGUCUUAAUUUAAGCCUAAAAAUACCAUGAUAACUCUAAUUUCAUAGAGUGAUCACACCCCCAAACUUAAACCAUUACUUGUCCUCAAGUAAUGAAAACAACACUAACACUACAAUCACACAAUCAUGCAAUAAGUAACCUAGCCCUAUCAUCAAAUUUGCAAGGAUUCUUCAACCCUCAGAUCACAUUCUUAAUCAUGCAAAAUUUUCCAUACCAGUUCAAGUUCUAGACCUAGGCCUCAUUUUGUCUAGAGUGUGUGUGCGCCACUUUGAUCAAAUUCUGAAGGUGCUAUAGCAUUAAACAGACAUUGCAUAAAAUUCAGAGGUAGAAAACAAAUAUAUUUACAUCUAGGGGGACAAAAGUUACAAUUCAACUCAAACUAUACUAUAUAUUUACAUCUGUCAAGAAACUCUCUUCAAUAUAUCAUUGAUUACAGAAUUUUGUCAAAGCAUGGAAAACCUUUUGGAUAUUAAGUAAUAAUUACGCUUCUAAGAGUAAAUGAUGAAAACGACACAAGGGUAGUCCAGCCCAUAAUACGAAUAAGAAAAUUGAAGGAUGUACUUUCAGUUGUUUGAUGAGAACCUUUCAUUAUGUUGCACAAGAAUAAUAUAAUAAAUCUCAAUUGAUAAUCACUUUUUCUCGUAAGGGAGAAUGAAGGAACAAAAGGGGAAGAAAUGCUUUGAUGUUAUGGUUCAAUUUCUGGACUCGACUAGCUUACAGAAUCUGUAAGGUACAGACUGCAGCAUCAGCCUCAAUUUCUUGGUGGCGGUAGGUGGAUAGAACAAUAUGAUUACGACGUUGUUUGGGUUCCCAAAUCCUUACGAGAUCGAUCCUACCGAUCUGGUCUUCAAUAUAUUUUUCAUAUGAAUGUCAAUCACUUGUAAUAAUGAUACCCAAUUACUUUACCAGUGCACAAAUUAGAGUUGUUGCAGCAAUGUUUACAAAAUAGUCAUAUCUAUAGACAUCUUUUAGAUCAAGGCUAAACAUGGGGCUCAUGAAUAGACCUGGCUAUUUCAAUACCUUAGACAAAGGACUUUCUCCAGAGGGAUUUUUUAUUUUUAUUUUUUGAUGCUAUAGCAAUGCUCAUAGCUCUUAUUUCUUUUGGACUCAAGUCUGUAUAUGGAGUACAUACUUAGCCCUAGUUACUCAAAAACUUUAAGCCAUUGGAGCAACUAUUAUUUAACAACAAGCACAUAUUAAAAAUAUUUUCCCCCCAAACUUGAGAUUUUUCUACCCUUUUUUGUGUUCUCUUUUUUUGCUACUGCAUUCUAAUAGGACUUACUCAAAGCUUAUGUGUAAUGACAAAAUUUAGCCUUUGUCCAUGAACUGUUCUAGUUGGUACUUUAAAAUUAACAUUCAAGUUAUCCUCAUUGGUUUUUUAUUAGAUCCACUCACAAUUAGAUAACAAAGUUGCAUACCACACUAAACACACAAUGCAAACAUACACUCUAAACACAAUAAUAUAAGUUAGCACAACUCCCCCCAAACUUAAGAGGUGUUGUGUCCUCACAUGAACGCCAAAAAUAAUCAAACUACACAUUCAGAUGGUGGUAAAAAGCAUUAAAACUAAAAGAAAAGUUUUGGAAAGGAAAGAAAGUAAAUUGAGCUAGUAAGGGGGACUCCCUUGGUGUGGCUUAUUUUGCUGCAGCACAGAUUCACGUCUUUUUUCAUAGCGUUCCUCAAACGGUCUUUAGGGAAAGCUUGGGGUGUGGCUGCAGACUUCUAUUUCUUCGGGCGGGGUGUUGGACUGGUUGAGGAGUACCAGCAGUGGUGGGAGGUGUAGGCUGAGUGGUUCUUGUGCGUUUUUGCUUUGGUUCUUUUGGUGUUGUACCACCUCCAGAGGUGGCCCCUCUGCGUUUGCUGGUUAUAUUGGUGGUGGUUGAAGAAGAUUUAGCUAGAGGUUGGAGAGAUGUAGCUGAGGCAGAUUUUACUGCAGUAACAUCCUCAGUAGUUAUUUCAGCAAUGAUGUCCAAAAGGCACUUCUUUGCUACAGGUGCCUGAGUAACCCUUUCAGCAGUUGCUCUAAAUCUGCAUCGAUAUCUAUUGAAACAUCCUCAGAGUCAUCUUCACUUUCAACUUUUUCUUUGGCCUUAUGAGAUUGGACUGGGACUGGUGCUUCCUCCUCGACCUCACAUCAUCAUCAUGUCCAAUGGUGUGUUUUCCUCUUUUCCUGGGGGGUAGGAUCUUUGAUGGCUCAACCUUUCAUCCCCGAAUCCCCCUCUUCCUCCUUUUUUGUGGAGCUGUGGGCUUCUAACUCAGGACACUCUGCUUCUGUUAGCGUUGGCUGGUCUUUCUGUUCUGGCUCAGCUUCACUAUGUGGUUCUGUUGCAGCUUCCUCGCUCUUUGCUGCUAGCUCUCCAAAGUUGAAUUACCGCAACAGAGAGUCUGAAAAAUCCAGGUGUUGGUUUUUUAUGAACACAGCAAACUGAUGCAGAUGGUUCUCUAAAUGUAUUAAGUAUGCCCAGAAUAUGUUAUUCUCUCUUUGUUGUGCAGCAACACACUAGGUAAUGCUGUCACUCAGUUCUUGCAGUCUUCUCUCUACCCCAAUAGCUCUUCAUGUACUUGUUACAACAACUAGUUAUGGUUAUGCUGCAGCAGUGUCUCCAGCAAUUCUCUCAACUGUUCGAGCAUUCACAGCUCCUGCAUUCUUAAUUUGCUCAUCUCGAACAGCGGAUUGUACCCUAGAUACUAGACAUAGGCUAGUAAUAAGAGAUGGAAACAAGAGGGCUGUUGUUUUAUGUUGUUUCAUGGCACAUUCUCUAAUUUACCUUUCAAUAAUGGCUCUCACAUCAAUUGGUAACCUCCAAACAAUGACAUAUAAAAGCACCAAUCAUUCUUGUGAUACAGUGGUAGUGUGUGUAGUGGGCAUCAAUCUAGAUUUUAAAAAUUUGAUCCACACUUUAGCAAUAGGUUUAAGGUCGAUUCUAUUGAUCACUCAACCUUCCUCAUUAGCCCAUGAUGUCCCUUCUACAGUAAGGGUUUUUAAUACUUGAUUCAAUGUUUUAUUAGUCAUGUUUGCAAUAAGCUUAGAAUAUUCACAGUCCACGUUAGAGGGCAAGUUGUAAAAAGUGUUAACAACUCGUGGGUCUAAAGGGACGAGGGGGUUUCUUACCCAAAUUAUUUUUUGAUUCUGUCCCAGCAGGUUGGCAUAGAAUUCCUUUACUAUUGCUAGCACAGGGUCACUUAGAUGUUGGCAAAAGUCCAACCAUCCCCGUUUUGCUACAGUAACCUGAAUAGUCUGAACGAUUACCGAGGGCUGUGGUGGAAAUUGGAAGCCUUUUUCUUCUAAGAUUUUCCUAGGCUCGAUAAAUUCUUUAAAAUUUUCUUCUGCCUUAUAGGCCUGGAAGCGGGAGGGGUCUUUAAGACGUUGUGCUCUGAUCUUGAUCUUGUAUUUAAGCAUUGUUAGAGCAAGUUGAAGAUACUUGCAAAAUAAUGAAGGUGCAGUUGCUAUAGGGAGUCGUAAGAAUGUCAAAUUGGUUCCUAGAAAAGAAAGAUAAAAUAGAAUUAGGGUGUCUCUUUCUGCACAGUAAAACCCAUAUUUAUACAUGUUGUAAAAAAAUUAAAUUAGGAUGGAAAUCAAUUCUAAUAAGAUAAACUUGGAAAUAAGAAUUUUAAAUUUAAAACAAUUCUAAUAUGGAAUGGAGAGGGAUUGUGAUGCGGUAAUUUAGGGAUUGUAAUCCUUUCAAAUCGUGAUCCAUAUUAACCACGGCAGCUAUCAACAUUUUGUAGCCUCAAUGGUAGAAAGAAAUUUCCCUCAGUGUGUCUUUGAAACGGUAGUCUUUAUGCUGCAGUAAUCAAUAUGCGCGCUGUAAUAGGUUGUUGUAAAGCUGCAUCUGUCUGGCCUGUUAAGCGCUAUGCUGUAGCAAUAAGCAUUGGAGUCCAUAUCCUUUUUCCACUAUGCUCUCUCUUUUUUGUUUUUUUUUCAAAAGGUAGGCAUGAAAGGAAAUUGGUUAAUAGAAUACAGAAAUUGAUGAAAAUUAUAAAGAAAAAGAAAAAUCAAGAUAACUUCCCUAAUUGUUGGGUUGCCUCCCAAUCAGCGCUUGAUUUUCGGGCCUUCAGUCUAACCUUUCUUAAUUUCUCACAAUAUUGGAUUUUUGAGGAGCAAGUCUUCCUUUGAGUGGUCCACAGCAGCAUCCAUGUAAUGUUUUACUCGGUGCCCAUUAACCUUAAAUUCCUAACCUAUUUUUUCAUCUAAAAGGUCCGCAGUCCCAUAAUGAUAGCUUCUGAUUAGCUUGAAAGGUCCUGACCACCUAGAUUUCAGUUUUCCCGGAAAUAACUUUAAUCUUGAGUUAAAGAGCAAAACUAGUUGGCUAGGAAUUAAACUUCUUUACUGGAUGUGCUGGUCAUUCCAUUUUUUUUGUUUUCUCCUUAAAAAUCCUUGCAUUCUCAUAGGAGAACAACCUUAGCUCUUCAAGCUCACAAUGUUGAAGUUUUCAAUGUUCUGCUGCAGCUUGUAAGUUCAUGUUUAGUUACUUUAAUGCCGAAUAUACUUUAUGUUAUGGCUCAAGAGAUAGGCGACAAGCUUUUCCAUAGAUGAUUAUAUAUGGAGACAUGCCAAGUGGUGUCUUAUAUGUUGUUCUGUAAGCCUAUAAAGAGUCAUGAAAACAUAGGGACUAGUCCGUUCUAAUGGGGUUCACCACUUUCUCUAAAAUCUUUUUAAUUUGUUUGUUAGGCACUUCGACUUGACUAUUGGAUUGUGGGUGAUAUGCUAUAGCAAUCUUAUGCUUAACUUCAUACUUAGCCAACGCUGCAGCAAAGAGCUUAUUGUAAAAGUGAAUACCUUCAUCACUAAUGAUUGCUCUUGGAGUUUUAAAUCUUGAGAAGAUAUUUUUCUGAAAAAAGUUCACCACUGCUUUGGCAUCAUUUAUUGGCAAUGCGGCAACCUCUACCCAUUUAGACACAUAGUCUACAGCAACUAGAAUAUAUAAGUUCCCAAAAGAUUGUGGGAAUGGGCCCAUGAAGUCUAUCCCCCAUGCAUCAAAGAUCUCUACCUCCAAAAUGUUUGUUAAUGGCAUUUUAUGUCUUUGAGAUAUGUUUCUUGUUCUUUGGCACCUGUCACAACAUUCAGUAAACUCAUAAGCAUCUUUAAAAAUAAAAGGCAAGUAAUAACCUGAUUGUAGAACUUUGGCAGUUGUUUUGUGGCCUCCUAAAUGUCUUCCACAUGCUGCAGCAUGGCAUGACUGUAGGAUGUGUGGAAUUUCUUCAUCAGGUACACAUCUUCGGAUCAUAUGGUCUGAGCAUAGCUUGUAUAAAUAUGGAUCAUCCUACUGGUAGCUUCUAACAUCAUGAAAAAAUUUCUUCUUCUGCUGAUAAUUCAAAUCAGGUGGUAACAACCCACUCACCAAGUAACUAGCAAAAUCUACCUACCAUGGCAAUCCAGCUUGCUGCAGCAUCUACGCACGCUGUAGCAUUAACAGUUGCUCAUUAGGGAAUGUUUCAGUGAUGUCUUGUUUAGUCAAUGUGCUGGCAUCUGCUUCUAGCCUUGAGAGAUGAUCUGCUACUUGAUUUCCAGUCCAUUUUCUAUCAUUGAUCUCCAAAUCAAACUCUUGUAACAAUAGGAUCCAUCUUAUCAAUCUUGGUUUGGCAUCCUUUUUUUAAAUCAGAUAUUUUAUUGCUGCAUGAUUUGUGUAAACUAUCACUUUGGUACCCACCAAGUAGGCUCUGAAUUUAUCAAAGGCAAACACCACAACUAGCAACUUUUUUUAGUAGUGGUGUAGUUGAUCUAAGCAUUGACAAAGGUUUUGUUGGCAUAGUAAAUGGAGUGAAAAUUCUUGUUCUUUCUCUAUCCCAACACUGCUCCAACAGAAUGGUCACUAGCAUCACACAUCGGUUCAAAAGGUAGACUCUAAUCUAGUGCUAUAACAAUCGGUGUUGUUACUAGAGCUUUAUUUAACUCAUUAAAGGCUUUAAAACAAUCUUUAUCAAAAUUAAAAGGCCUGUCAUGCUCCAGCAACAUACAUAAAGGUUUAGCUAUUUUGCAAAACUCUUUAAUGAACCUUCUAUAGAACCCAGCAUGUCUCAUAAAACUUCUAAUACCCUUAACUGAAGUUGGAGGUGGCAGUUUAUCUAGCACAUCUAUCUUUGCCUUAUCCACCUCUAUCUCAUUCUUGGAUGCUCUAUGACCCAAUAUUAUACCUUCUUGUACCACAAAGUGGCAUUUUUCCCAAUUGAGUACCAAGUUGGUCUCCUCACACCUCUUAAGCACAUCUUCCAAGUUGUGCAAACAAUCAUCAUAUGUCUAUGAAAUACAAGUGUGCAACCCAAGAGGGGGGUGAAUUGGUAUUUUAAAAAUUAUCCUAACAAAGCCACACAACAAUCCAAUCUAAUGCCUUAAUAAAUUCGAAAGCAAUAAGUUCAAUAAAAGCACAAUAACAAAUGAGUAAGAGAGAAGAGAAACAAACACACGAAUUUUUACGUGGUUCGGCAAUCCCCGCCUAAGUCCACGCCUCCAAGUGAUCCAAGCUUGAGGAUUUCACUAUCCAAGCCUUCCAAGGCUUCAAAUGUUUACAAUUGACUUCAAGGUGUCAAUGAACCUUUACAAUAAAGAGAUUAUCUCCCAAUCUCUUCACUCAAGUGUCUCACACACUCAAAUACUCACAAUUAAGAUGAGGAAUUGAAGAUUACAAUAAAAACUCUCUUAAAGAAUAGAUAUACAAAUUGAAGAACAAAAGAUGAUUCAAGGUUUUAUGAUUUGCGAAAUGAGAGCUCAAUGAACGUUGUGUGCUUUUUGAUUUUGCUUGCUAGAGAGCUUUAAAAUGAAUUGGAUUUGAGUUUAUAUAGUUUGAGCUCAAAAACUAGCCGUUAUGCACAUUUUGGUGAUAACCGGCUUACCAUUUAUGGAAUCCGGUUUGCCGCUUGUAUGUUACCGUUAAGGCAAAAAUUUGAAUUUUAGAACAUCUCGCAUGCCGCUUACGAUAUCCGGAUAGCCGUUUAUGCUCCAGAAGCUUACUGCCUAAAAUUUGGAUAGCUGCUUAUCAUAUCCGAUUAAUCGGUUGCUACAGUAACUGCUACAGUAAAAUAUUUUUUGAAAUUAUUGUUUAACCCCAAAACUUUAUAAAACUAUAUUAUGGCCCAAAACGUUAUGAACGUUUUAAAAUAAGUCCAAUUCUAGAAUUCCUAAAUAAUAUUUUGUCAAUCCCAAAACUUUAUGAAAUUAUGAUAUCACCCAAACUAUGUGAAAUUAGCUCCAAAACGCAUCCGGCUUUCCGGUUUUGCUCUGCUGUACCGUACAUCCGCCUUGGCCGUACAGCAGCAAUUCAUAAAUCUUUGUUUAACUAACACAUGUGGUUUGUUAUCAUCAAAAUUAAUAUUUAUAGUCAGAUAGACUAACAAUCUCCCCAUUUUUUAUGAUGAUAAAACACAUUAUAAAAAUUUAAUUUAGUUAUGAAAAACUCCCCCUUAAUUAAUGUAAGGUUAAAAAAAAAUGAUUCGAAAAUUAUUUAAAAGGCUCCCUCUGCAUACAUGCAUAUUUUUAUAUCACAUAUUAUAUUAUUCUCCCCCUUCAUCAUAAAAAAGAAUAAAAGCUCCCCCUAUCAAUCAUCAAAAACUCAAUGCAAGCAUAUUAGUUCAAAAAUAUCCAAAUCAUAAGAAAUUAUAAGAAAUCAUAACAAACAAUCAAAACAGAUCCAUAUCAUCCAAAACAAAUGCAUAAUCCAACAACAUAACAACCAUCCAUAAAAUCGGAAAUAAAAGUACAUAAAGCAGUAAAUGAAAUGUAGGUGUGUCCAAAUACAAGCAUAAGAGACUACUGAGGUGGUGAUGGAGGAGGAUACGGAUACAGAAUGCCGAAGUGCUCAAAGAGGAGGCACUAUCCAUGAAUGAGUUGCUGCUGCUGAAACUCAGUCUACCGCACAGAGAGUGUCCGCACCUCAUCCAUAAGUUGCUGAAGAGUAACCUCUUCAGAGGUAGGAGGCUGUGGAGGUGAUGAAGCGGAUGCAAAGGCACCAGGAGCUGAAGCAAUCACGAGAGGAUCUGGGCGUCUAUGCUGGCCCCGAAAUGAGAGUGAGAAAAUAGGAAGUUGAUCAGCAAGAACCACAACGUUGAGUGGCCGAUCAUCACUCAGAGCAAGAAAAGUAAACUUGUUUUCAGUUAAUUUUACCCUAGUGUCAUUACUCAACUCAAAACCUAAGCCAAAUACAGCAUCAUCCCCUAUACCCUUAGACGGUUUACACGAUGGUUCUUGAAGCGGUACAUCAAAAUAUUUAAGGAUUCAGGUAAUGAAGUGACCAUAUGGAAAGGAGCGGGUAAUCAAGGCAGGUAUGGUCAACAUAGUUCGGAUGAUGGUAUAUCCCAAGUUAACCGAACGACGUCUAAGAAUACAAUCAAUCAAAGCAACGUCCAUGUGGGAAACCUAGUCCAAAUGCCCUGAUCUAGGAAGAACAAUGGAUUGAAUAAAGCGAAGCAAAAUGCAAGUUUGAAGACAAAGACACUGAGUACGGAAAUGAAUGGUGCAAUCUUCACAGAAAGAUCAUUACGCCGACAAUUAUUACGAACGGCGUCAACAUGAACAUAACUAUCAAGUUUGGGAGAUUUCCUAGGCGAAAAAAUUUAUAGGCCAAAAUCGGAUGAUCUUAGGAUAGAGUUUAACAAGGAAAAAUCAAUAUCAAUCAUAACUCCUCCAACAUUGGUGAUUACUCGAGUCUUGUUCUCCGUGGAAAUGUUCAUAUUCGAGUAAAACACUUUCACCAAGUCGGGAUAAACAUUCUCCUCAAUCAUAAGUGCUUUAAUCCAACCAAUAUUUCCCAACAAUUGAAAUAAGUUUCUAUGGCUAAUAUUGAGAGUAUUAAUCCAAUUCGGUAAAACAUAAAACGUAUUGAGUACCUCACGAGUCCUGAAGCUUUGGUGAAAUCGUUUGGCUAAAUGUUUGUUGUUCUAAAAGUGUGAAGACUCAAAAUUGGAUUGAUUGGAGAUGUCCCCUGCUUGCCGUGACCGGUUGGUUUGUUGAACCGGUUCUUUGCCUUUUCUUCAAACCGGCCAUGAGCUUGACAUGGUGAUUUUGAUUGAUUUGAAGUUAAAAAAAGCAAUGAGAAGGAAGAUAACGAGGAUUGAAAGAGAGUUUGGGAGGUAAUUUGGAUAAAAAACGGCUUAAAAGGAAGAAAUUUAGAGAGAGAAGAAUUCGGUAAAACCCUAGAUUUGAGUUCGGAUCUAGUGAGUUUGAGAUUGAAAAUGCAUUUGAAAGAUGUUUUUAGGCAUAAGAACGGAUAGGAAACAAGUUUAAUGGUUCGAUUUGCAUUAAAAAUGAGUAGAAAUGAUGGAUUUUGGAGUGAAAAAGAGAGAGAAAGAAACGGCUUUAGAGAGAGAAAGCUUAUCCGGUUGACCGAAAGAUAGAAGAGGAAUAACUGUUCUAAAAAACUGCAAAUCCGGCUAACCGGUUAGCCGAUUAGUGGAUAGAAUGAGUAAAGCCGUAACUGGCUUACCGGGUUUGCUAACCGGCUGUCCAGUUUAAUUCCAGAAUGUGUCCAUACAGUAACUGGCUUGCCGGUUUGAAGAACCGGCUGUCCGGUUUUUAGGCAGAGAAUGAGCUUUGCAAAUUCAAUUUUUCGGAUUUCAUAACCGGAUGACCGGUUUUCGUCCAGUAAGCUCCAAAACGCAUCCGGCUUUCCGGUUUUUCUAAUCGAUUGACUAGUUUUCUUCCUGAAAUUUUGCAAAGCAAAUCCUGCUUACCAGUUUGGUAAAUCCGGUUAUCCGAAAGUUGACCCAAGAGCAACCAAAGCUAAUCUGGCUUACCGGUUUGCUAAAUCCAGUUAUCCGGAAUUUUUCCCGAGAGCAAUCAAUAAGAAAAACGGUUGGCCAGUUGAGAGAAAGCGGUAUACCGGUUUUAACUUGAAUUUUUUUUUCCUCUAAUUGAAUUUUGGCAAACUCUUAUACUUGUAUUAUACACACCGAUUUGUUUUUGGCUUAAAAAUUGAUCAAUUUUAAAUCAUUUUGUGAUUUUAAACUUUCAAUAAGCCAUUUUAAAAAUAAAUGAAACACAAAUGCAUUCAAGAACAAACAUAUCAACUUAAUCAUCAGAUCAUAAUUCAAGAUGCAACAUUCAUCAUUCCAAGCUCAUGUCUUAUCUUUAUAAAAUGCUCUUCACUAGUAGGUUUUGUAAAGAUAUCAACAAGUUGAUUUUCAGUAGAAACAAAUUUAAUUACAACAUCUCCUUUUUGAACAUGAUCUCUAAGGAAGUGAUGCCUAAUUUCUAUAUGCUUAGUCCUAGAAUGUUGAAUGAGAUUCUUGGAUAGAUUAAUAGCACUAGUAUUAUCACACAAGAUAGGUAUUUGAUCAAGAUUAAUACCAUAGUCUCUAAGGGUUUGUUUCAUCCAAAGAAUUUGUGCACAACAACUUCUGGCGGCAAUGUAUUCGGCUUCGGUGGUUGAAAGUGCAACCAAGUUUUGUUUCUUACUAAACCAAGAGACAAGUGGAUGGCCUAGGAAAUGACAUGUUCCACUAGUAUUUUUUCUAUCAACCUUAUAUCCGGCAAAAUCAGCAUCCGAAUAAUAAGUUAAGUCAAUAUGAGUUCCCCUAGGAUACCAAAGGCCAAGAUUAAUGAUGCCAAUCAAAUAUCAAAAAAUUCGUUUGACAGCAAGCAUGUGUGACUCUUUAGGACAAGAUUGAAAUCUAGCACACAAGCAUACACUAAACAUAAUAUCAAGUCUACUAGUAGUCAAAUAGAGUAAGGAUCCGAUCAUACCUCGAUAAGUCUUGAUGUCAACUUCCUUACCUUUCUCAUCUUUGUCCAGCUUGAUGAUAGUACUCAUUGAAGUGCUUUUUGCCAUUCCAUUAUCAUAGCCGAAUCUUUUGAGUAGAUCUUUCACGUACUUGGCUUGAUUUAUGAAAAUUCCUUCCUCGUUUUGUUUGAUUUGGAGUCCAAGAAAGUACUUCAACACUCCCAUCAUACUCAUAUCAAAUUCUUUGCUCAUACAAGAUGAAAAUUCUUUACACAACAAUUCAUUAGUAGAACCAAAGAUAAUGUCAUCAAUAUAGAUUUGUACUACAAGUAUAUCUUGGUUCUUAUGCUUAAGAAUGAGAGUAGUAUUCGCUUUUCCCAUUGAAAAACCAUUAUCCAAUAGAAAAUUCUUAAGCCUAUCAUACCAUGCUCUAGGUGCUUGUUUUAGUCCAUAUAAUGCCUUAGACAACUUAUACACAUCAUUUGAAAAUUUUCAUUUUCAAAACCAGGAGGUUGUUUUACAUAGACUUCCUCCAUAAUGUAACCAUUUAAGAAAGCACUUUUGACAUCCAUUUGAUAUAAAAUAAAAUUUUUAUGACAUGCAAAAGCUAAGAGCAUUCUAAUGGAUUUUAGUCUAGCUACAGGUGCAAAUGUUUCAUCAAAAUCAAUUCCCUCUUCCUGGUUGUAACCUUGAGCCACUAAUCUAGCUUUAUUUCUUACAACCACACUGGAUUCAUCCAUUUUGUUUCUAAAUACCCAUUUAGUGCCUAUAAUGGAUUAAUGUUCCGGAUUAGGAACUAAUUCCCACACAUUGUUUCUCUUAAAUUGAUUCAACUCCUCUUGCAUUGCCAUAGUCCAAGAUUCAUCAUUUUCCGCAUCCGCAAAGGAUUUUGGUUGAAUUUGAGAAAUAAAUGCAGCAUGCUCACAUGUGUUCCUAAGAGAUGAUCUAGUUGUAACACCUCGUGAGGGAUCUCCUAAAAUUACAUCCUUAAGGUGAAAAGAAACAUACCUCCACUCCUUAGGGAGUGUUUGAGAAGUACCUUCAUUUUGCUCUGCAUUCGUUUCUUCAUGAUGUUCCUCUUGACUUCCAUGUGGUGCAUCUUUUUGGUUGUCAUUUGAUGCUUCUUCUUGUUGUUCUUCUUCUGCAUUAUCAUCAACAACGACUUUCUCCGUAGAGGAGGGGUUAGAGUUAUCAAAUGUCACAUGCAUAGAUUCUUCCACAACCAAAGUUCUUUUAUUAUAAACUCUAUAAGUUUUGCUUGAGUUUGAAUAACCAAGAAAAAUACCUACAUAAGAUUUUGGAUCAAAUUUACUAAGAUUAUCUUUUGUGUUCAAAACAAAACAUUUGCAUCCAAAGACUUUAAAAUAGUCAAUGUUGGGUUUUCUAUCUUUCCAAAGCUUAUAUGGAGUUUUAUUAAGAUUAGGUCUAAUCAACACAAGAUUCAAAACAUAACAAGCGGUGUUGACGGCUAGAAUUUUCAUUCAACAUGGUCCUAGCCAUUUCUUGAAUAGACAUAUUCUUUCUCUCUACAACUCCAUUUUGUUGAGGAGUCCUAGGUGAUGAAAAUUGAUGCUCAAUGCCAAAAUCAUUACAAAAGUUCUCAAAUGCAUAAUUUUCAAAUUUUCCGCCAUGGUCACUCCUAAUACAAGAAAUACUACACCCCUUUUCAUUUUGAACCUUUUUGCAGAAAACUUUAAAUACAUCAAAGGCAUCAUCUUUGUUAGCUAAGAAUAAUACCCAUGUGUAUCUAGAAUAAUCAUCCACAAUUACAAAAGCAUAAUAUUUGCCAUUUAAACUAGCAUAUCUAGAAGGUCUAAACAAGUCUAUGUGAAGUAGUUGAAGUGGUUUUUAAGUAGAAAUUUUUUUCUUGCUUUUAAAGGAAGUUUUGAUUUGUUUUCCAAAUUGGCAAGCUUCACAAAUUCUAUCUUUUUGAAAACUGAUUUUUGAAAGACCUUUAACCAAAUUAUUUUCACGAUUUUUGAAAUCAAAUCCAUGCUUGCAUGACCUAAUCUUCUAUGCCAUAACCAACCAUCAUCAUACAAUGCGGAGAAAAAUUUAUCAUUUGUAGAAGCACAAUCUAUAUUAAUGGUAUAGACAUUAACACAUCUAUUUCCUACAAAUAAAAUCUUGCCAUUACAUGCAUUCUCAAUAACACAUUUUGAUUCAUCAAAGAUAACUCUAUAUCCUUUAUCACAUAAUUGACUAAUGUUAAGCAAGUUGUAUUUUAAGUUUUCAACCAAACACACAUUUUCAAUGAGAGUAGAGGAUAUAUUACUGACAUUGCCAAUGCCAAUGAUUUUUCUUUUGGAAUUAUCUCCAAACGAUACAUCUCCACCAUUUUCGAUCUUGGUAAAACUUGAAAACCAAGAAUAAUUCCCUGUCAUGUGUCUUGAACAACCACUGUCCAAGUACCACUUAUUAUUAUUCUUCUUCUUCUUCAAGCCCUGCAGAGAAAAUCUCAAGUUUUAAGUACCCAAACCUUUUUGGGUCCUUGAGAGUUAGCAAUGGUUCCUUUCGGAACCCAAACACAUUUCACACUAUAAUAUGCAUUUCUCUUCACAGGACAUCUAUUUUUCAUAUGACCAUCUUGAUUACAAUAAUGACAUACAAUUUGAUUGUUAAUAGAUGUAUUCUUCACAAAAUAAAUUUUGUAAUAUUUUUGUUUCAAAUUUGGCUUAUAACCAAUGCCUCCUUUGUCAAAUACACAUUUUUGUGAGUUUAGCAAGUUAUCCAACAUCUUUUGCCCAUUUGUGAAUUUUAGCUCAAUCUCAUUUAGUUCAUUGCUCUUCUUUCUAAGCAUUUCAUUUUCAUUUUCAUUUUUCAAGUCAUUCACGUGUGACUCUAAGUGCUAGAAUUCUCAAAUAAUGCAACUCUAUCACGCAAUGUUUUAUUCUCUAAUUCUAGGCAUGUAAUCUUUGCACUAAAUAAUUCAUUUUCAUUUUUAAGCUCUAUCAUUUUCUUUUUAAAACAUAUAUUCUUUUUACCAAUCUUCAUCAAUUCAUCAUGCAAAUCCUUAAAGGCAUCAUGUAAAUCCUUAAAGGCUAACAGUCUCUCCAAAAACUAAGAAAUCAUCAAUGAAAACUUCCAAUGUCUGCUCAACUAUAUCUGAAAAGAUGGACAUUAUACACCUCUGGAAGGUUGCUGGAGUAUUGCAUAAACCAAAUGGCAUUCUUUUGAAAGCAAAAGUUCCAUAAGGGCAGGUGAGUGUGGUCUUCUCCUGGUCCUCUGGUGCUAUAGCAAUCUGGUUUUAGCCUAAAUACCCAUCUAGGAAGCAGCAGUAUUGUUUUCCAACAAGUCUGUCCAAUAUAUGUUCUAUAAAUGGUAGUGGGAAGUGAUCCUUUCUCGUGGCUUUGUUAAGUUUCCUAUAGUCCAUACAAACUCUCCUUCCAGUUACCAUUCUUGUGAGAAUAAGUUCAUUCUUCUCAUUUGCUACAACAAUUACUCCACCUUUCUUCGGAACACAUUAUACUAGGCUCACCCAAGAACCGUCAGAUAUCGGGUAUAUGAUCCCAGCAUCCAACCAUUUGAUGAUCUCAUUUUUCACAACUUCCUUCAUGCUAGGGUUUAGUCUCCUUUGUUGCUCUACUGAAUUACUGUAAUAGUUAUCCAGCAGAAUUUUGUGCAUGCAUAUGGAUGGGCUGAUUCCCUUAAUAUUUGUCAUAGUCCAUCCAGUUGAUCUGCAUUGAGAGAAGAUGAAAUGAUUACAAAAAGUGUAUUACUUUUACCAAGAUAAACAUAUUUCAAGUGUGAAGGUAGAAGAUUUAAUUCUAAACUAAAAGGUGAUUCAAUAAUGAAAUUGUUGGUUUUACUUUCCUGUUUGAAAGAUCUAGAUAUUCAAAGUGUCUAUUAUAUCUUACAGAUUGCUUUUCUCCUAACCAUGCUAUCUGGUUUGGUGCAACAUCCUCUUCUUCAAGUUCUUCAAAAGUGGCAGCUUUGAUGUCUUCAUUGCUGCAGCAACUGUCUAUUCUUUUUGUCACAACAAAGUCCACAACACUCAUAAAAUUACAGUCUUCAACCUCAUCUGGACUCUUCAUAGCUUCCAGCACAUUGAAGGUGACUUGUUGGUCAUUCACCCUCAUGGUUAACUCUCAUUUCUACAAAUCAAUAAGGUUAGGGUCUUUUCUGUUGCUAGGAAAGGUCUACAAAGUAUAAUUAGUACUUCCUUGUCUGCCUCAAAGUCUAGUACAAAAAAAUCCACUGGAAAAAUGAAUUUAUCUACCUUUACCAAUACAUCUUCAAUCUUGCUCUCAAGACAUGCAUGAGAUUUGUCAGCAAGUUGUAAAGUUACUGUUGUUGGUCUGCAGUCACCAACUCCUAAUUGUUUAAAUACAAGUAAGUACAUUAGAUUGAUGCUUGCUCUCAAGUCACAAAGUGCUCUAGCAUUGUAUCUAGUUCCAAUAGAACAUAGAAUUGUAAAGUUUCCUGGAUCUUUCAACUUUUGAGGAAUCUUAUUCUGAAGGAUAUGCCUGCAUUCUUGUGUUAGAGCAAUAGUUUCAAAUUCUCCAAGCCUUCACUUUCUUGUCAAAAUAUCCUUAAAAAUUUUCAUAUAAUUGGCCAUUUCUUCUAAGGUUUCCACAACGGGAAUGUUGAUAGUUUCAACACUUCUAAGAAUUUGCUGAACUGCUUGUCUUGUUUUUGUUUCUAGAAUCUUUAUGGGAAAGGUGGUGGAUGUCUAAACUAUUGAACUACAACCGGAAGUACAAGUUGUUGUUCUUUUGGUCGACUUUGUGUUGUUACUGCUGGUGUUCCAGCUUCUGCUUCAACAGGUAUGAGUGAUUUCUUUCUGUGGUUGCUAUCGCCUGACUACUUUCACCAGUGUUUUGAUAAUUGGGUUGCUGCAAUUCUUUUUCAACUUGAAGCUCUUCUGGAGAUGAAAUAAGUUCCAUACUUUUUUCUUGGGAUACCAAUAAGGAUAUCAACACCCUUCCCAAACCUUAAAUUGAUUACCUUGCAAUGUUUCUUACCUUCUCUCCUUGGAUCUUAUGUGUUGCUGGGUAAACUCCCUUAAAGCCUGUUACUUAAUGCUGUGGUAAGCUGUCCAAUUUGAUUUUCUAAAUUUCUCAAUGAUACAGCCUGACUUUGGACAACUACUUUAUUCUUCACAAUGUACUCCUUAAUUAGUGUCUCCAGAGAACUAAAUUGAUCAUUGCUGGUGUUAUUUUCCCCUUUAUUUUGCUUACGAAAACCAGGUGGUGGAGUAGGUCUGUUUUGUCCGCCGGGUGCUGUAGAAUGCUAGUUCUAGUUGCUCCAUGAAAAAUUUAUAUGCUACUUCCAUCCAGGGUUGUAGGUAUUAAAGUUGCCCACAUAAUUGAUUGAUGCUGGAUUCCCUGGGCAAUUAUCAAAUAAAUGCCUCUCUCCAGAAUACACGCGAGAAACCUCAGCAACUUGAUUGACUGUUGCUGGAGUAGUGGUCAUAGCUUUCACCAUAUUGGUCAAUGAUGUUACUUGGGCUGAUAAUGCUGUAAAUCUAUCCACAUUAUGUAUUUCCGCUGCUCCUCUUGCUGCAGUUUGUCUACUCGAUGGCAACUGAUAGUUGUUAUUAGUAAUCCUCUCUAAAAUUUCAUAUGCUUCAUUGUAAGAUUUAUAUAAUAAAGCCCCAUUUGCUCAAGCAUCGACCAUCAAUCUAGUACUGGAGUUUAACCUAUUAUAGAAAUUUUUUAACUGUACGCAACAAGGAAUGCCAUGAUGAGGACAUCUCCUAAGCAAUUCCUUAAAUCUUUCCUAAGCCUCAUACAAGCUUUCAUCUUCUAGUUGGUGACAAGAAGUGAUCUCAUUCCGCAACUUUACAUUCUUGGUUGGUGGGAAGUACUUCAUCAGAAACUUAUCAGCCAAGUCAUUCCAUGUUGUGAUGAAGUCUGGUAGUAAAGAGUUCAACCAUGCUCUUGCUCGAUCUCUUAGGGAGUAAGGAAAGAGUAUGAGUCGCAAUGCAUCCUGUGAUGCUCCAGUAAUUUUAAAAGCUUCACUCACCUCCAAAAACAAUUUAAGGUCGAGAUGAGGGUCUUCUAAUGGCAAUCCAUUAAAUUGCUCCAUUGUUUGCAACAUUUAAAACAUCAUUAGUUUGAGUUCAAAGUUGGCAUCUUCCACCUUAGGUCUAACUAUUCCAGGAUGUAUAACUCGAGGGGCCAACACAACAUAAUCUCUAAUGGCUCUGCCAUGUAGAUAAUAUUAUUAUUCCUUGGUGGUCUCUGAUUGAUUUGCCCAUUCUGACCUUCUUGAACAUUGACAGGUUGUAUUAGUCUGUGAGGGUCUAAGUUUCCUAAGAUUUGCAAGUCAUCCAUUGCUACAACAACUUUUGAAUUUCUUUGCUCUCUUCUUAAUCUCCUUGCAAUUCUUUCAAUCUCUGGAUCAAAUUAAAAUUCAACAAGUUUAUAUUUGCGCAUGCAAGAGUGAUCUGUUAACAAAGUAAACAAAUCAGAAUAAAAUCAAAGAUUGGCACUGUUAAAAUUAAUUUCACAACUCAAAAAUAAACAAUCAAUUCCCGGAAACGGUGCCAAAAACUUGUUAUUUUAACUCAUUUUCUAUUGGUAUCAAUGAGCAAGUGUACAUAACAAGUAAUAUAAUGAUGAGUAUCCAAGAUCGUCUCUACAUGGAUUGAUGCUAUCAGACUUGCAAUAGCAAUUUCACAGUGCAAUUUAUGUUUGAAUGUAAAACAAGGCAACUAAUAGAACUAAAAGACUAAGUAAAAAAACUAAAAACACAAUAAUUGAAAAUGCAGUAAAUAAAAUUUGCACGUUAAACACAAAGGUAAAAUCAAUAGGAAUGGAUUAGUUGAAUGAUUAAACUCUCUUGAUGAUGUUGACUGUUUUAUUCAUGCUAAGUUCAGUUGCUACAACAUCUACUACAGUACUGGGUAAAAACUAUCUUAUCAUCAGCGAUAGCAUGUUUGAUGUCUUAUAUAUUUAUACAACCUAACAGUGACCAGUUGUUAUCUCAACAUAAGAUAUAACAUUACACGUUUAUAUUUUCUUUACCCUACAAGGUGAAUCCCCAUAUCUAGUUCAUCACUAAUCUUAGAUUAAGCAUGCCCAUUUUUGGACUCAAGUUAAACUCAAUCCAGGAAACUCAAUCUAAGACCAAGUAUUGCUCUAAUAUGCUCCACUGAGAUAGGCCCUUUUGCGGCUCUUUCUUAACUUUUAUCAUUAAAUGGUUGGUCAACCAAAAAAAUGAAUGUAAAUAAUUGUUAUUAAAGCAACAUGCUAUAGCAAACAUGUAGCAACACCUAUAUUUAGUCAAUUAAUCAUCAAGAUAGUUUAACACUCAACCAUAAAUAAAUUUAGUUCAUAAUUUGUGAAAGGAAAGUAAACAACCAAGUUCUAGCCAUCAAAUACAUCUUAAUGAUCAAUGAAUAACAAGUAAACAAGAAAAGAAUAGGAAAGAGCAAAUUCCAAUUGAUUCUGCAAAUUUCUUCUACUGGUGCAGCCUUGAAUUCUGCUUGGGAAUUCUAUUCCUUCGUUGUUUCUUUUCUGUUUUGAUCUUGAUUGACAACCUCCUUUUUCCUUUGCAUGAUUCCCCUUUUGUAAUCAUAACUUAGGGUAACUAGAAACUUCAGAGCGCGCAUCUUCCAGAUUAAGAAAUUGCAUAUCGCAAUAUUAUGAAUAUCUCACCCAGAUUUUUCUCUGUCAAUGCUUUAGGUUUGCUACAGCAAUGGCGCCAGCAUCUUUUCUGUUCCAUACUUGCUCAAAUUCUUCAAUAGCCAUGCUCGUUUGUCAUCUUUAUAAGUCUAUUGCAACAACAUCUUUUGCAUAAAAUUCAAGUUUCUAUUUACCUAUAGUUAAACAUGUGUUUUAGGCAUAAAUUAUUCAAAAAUCAUACUAACUUUAUUAAACUUAAACUAAAAUGAAUGUGAUGCAAACUAUCAUUAAAAUGCACUAAAACACAUUAAUUACUCUCUAAGUAGUCUUGAUUUAAGCCUAAAAAUGCCAUGAUAACUCUCAUUUUAUAGAGUUAUCAAGCAGCAGCAGGAGCAAGGGAAUGCUGAAGAGGCUAAAGUAGAAGAAGAAGAAAAUGUGAAGAAGAGGAAAAAGAAGCGGAAAAGGAAGAGAAACCACUCGUUCAGACUCCCAAGUGCAAAAGUAAAGAGAAUAUUUUGAUUGAGGAGGAAAAUACUGAGUCAGAGUGGGAAGAGGAUGUUGAUAUAGCAAUUGAAAAGGCCAUCAGGAGGGCCGCAAGGACAAAAGAAGUAAAGAGGAGUUUAAGGGAAAUCAUUGCAAGCAUCACUGCAGAACAAUCAACAACAAGAACUCCCACUCGUGGUGACGGAGAGAAAUCAAGCUAAACGUCAUGAUUAUCCAAAGGUUGAUCAGCGGUGAAAACGACCAGUAUGGGGCUUGGAAUUGGUCGGAAAAUGAAGAGAGGAUCUCAGAUAACCAAAUUUAGGUGGUGGCAUUGACGAAAACCGGCUAGAUCAGGCCAAAAUGAGAGGCAGUUGACAUUAUUUUUUAAGCUCGAUUUGCAGUCUUCUGGUUGUUUUAUGGCAGCGUUGACGCCAGAUAAACGACCAACGUAUCGCAAGCUUCCGAUCAGUGCCUCCCUUGGCCGGUGAAGUGAACGGAAUCAUGAGAUCCGUCUAGGUCGGAUUGUUGUUGUUUGGGUCAGAUCGGAUUGUUGGUGUAUUAGCAGGACAAUGGCUGGGGCUAAGUUACAUAUAAUGUAACAUACAUUACAAAAAAUUACAUCUAAUAAUUUAAUAUAGUUUAACAAUUAAACAAUACUUGAAUAUUUUGGAUAUUAAUCUCAUGUUGCCAUAUACUACAUUAUAUCAAACAUUGCAUGAUCUUUAAUUUGAAUUCAGAAAAUUACUUAUUCUAAGAUAUUUAAAUUUUAUCGAUUGUUGGUUUUCACUAAAUAUCACUAAUUUUAAGACGUUUCAUCGAAAUCCAUUAUCAAGAAUUCUGACUUUUAUUGGCUUAUUUAAGUUUAAAUACCUAAUUAAAUAUACUCUAUGCAAUUAAUUGACUUCCUGUUUAUAUUUUAAAUUUUUUGCACUAUUGUUUAUUUUUCAAGAAAGUGCGUGAGGCUUUCUUCUUGUUCAAAAAAGAUUUUCGCAUGUGCAUACUGUUCUUGAGGGUUUUCUUAUGUUGCCUGCGCAUACUACAUAUACACUAUUUUUUAGGGUGUGCUUAAGUUCUGGUUUUCCUUUGAUCUUGAAUACUCAAAGAGUAAUUCAAAAAAAAAAAACAAAGGAAUUCAGGUUAGUCACUCGCCAAAUAUUCUAAACAAAGAAUUUCUUUAAGGACGCAAGAUUUCCUCAUUGGCUUUUCCUUAGCCCUUAAACGCCUUGUCUGAGAUUUUGAUAUCAUAAUCUUAAAUCCAUUAACAACAAAAGGCUUAAUAAGAAUAGAAGAGUCUCUGUGAAUUUCCUAUAUAAUAAUGGGGUCAACAACUUCUUUUGAAGGAGUAUAUAUAUAUAUGAGAUUCUUGGAUAGUCUCUCUCAAAUAGUUAACUUAAAAAAUAGACGGAUAUGGUUCAGCUAAGAUAGAGUUCCUAAUAGAAUUUUGUAAGUUAGCUCCAAGGACAAGUACGAAUAAGGUUUGACUAGGUAAUGGAUCAGGUAUAGCUUUAGUAGGAGGUUUUAAGUAUGAUUAAGAUCUUCACCUGAUGUGAGCUAGCUCUCUGGAGCUUUUAAAGAUCUUGUGCUACCUUAAGAUCUUAAACUUUCUAUAUCUAUAUACUAAUGGAAUGUCAGGUAAAUCAACAAGUUCACAUGGUCAUUCAUCAACAUGCCUGGUGUGUAUAUGAAUCUAUGGAGUUUCUUCUUCAAAUAAAGUCUAUUUUCAAGGCUUUUGGUCAUGUACUUAUCCUCCAGUAUCUUUCAUAGUUUCUUUACUGAUGUCUCUUUUAUGACAAAAUAUUUAUGAUCUUUAGCCAAACACAAGUGAAUGGUACCACAUGCCUAUCUAUUGAUCUUUAUUCACUCUUUGUUAUCCAUCUUGUUAAUCUUUUCUUCAAGAGCGAGCUCCAACUCUUGCUAACAUAAGAUCUCUAACACCUCACAUUGCUAUAUACCAAAGUUAUUGGUAUCGUCAAAUUUCUCUACUUCAAACUUUGCAUUAGUCAUAAUAGUCUUUACUUAUGAAAACGAUGACAACGUCACCUUUACCCUCCAUUUUCUAACCACUUAACCUAAAUGACUAGUAUCUACGCGUCUAUUUGUAUAGACAAUGCACUAAGAAAGUUCCAAGGAAAGACUGCAUGGGUCACAACAGUCCCACUUAAAACUAGACUCCUUAGGCAAUUUUAGCCUUGUUGACAGAACUUUCCUGGACAUGCAUUUAUCCACACAACCACGUGAUAAUGAUCGCGACUUCUGGGGAAAUAUAAAUAUAGUGAAAAACAAAUGCAAAAAGACAAAAUAAUUUACAUGGUUCAGCUUAUAGCCUACGUCCACGAGUAAAAACUGGAAGAUAAUUUUAUUAACAAAUGGCUGUUGCAAGAUCAAGAACUACUCUUAAAAUGAUCAUAUACACCCAUAUGGAUCCCUGUUGUUCAAAUUUUAAUGUACUCGCAAGCGCACGAAUCUAUUGUAGUAUAGAUUAAUGGUGACGAGUGUCGAUCCCACGAGGAGGUGGAUUUUAAUUGUGUGUAGAAUUAAUUUUGUAAAUGGGUGAUUGGAUUUGUGGUGGAAAUGAUUUGGAAUAUGCUAAAACUUAAAUUAAAAUGGCCAGAAUAAAUUCUAAAAUUGGAAUUGAAAUGGCGAGAAUAAAUUGAAGAGAAUUCUAUUGAAAUGACGUACUUGGGUAUCUGGAUCUGUAUCAACAUGCACCAUGGGCUAAAUAAUCCUUAUUAAUGCCAAUUAAAUCAUGAGGGGGGAAUCCACACCUCAUGAACCACGCUCUAAUCAAUAUGGUGCUAAGGGCUUAUCGUGCCAAAUAAUAAUAACCUUAUACUAGAGAGCCGGUAUAACCAAAGCGGUAUCUAGACAAGACUAUUAUUAUUUGUCGACGAGAAGUCAAAACAUCCACAAAAACUAGAGGGGAAAAGAAAAUAAAUUUACCAAAUAAAGCCCACUGCUGUACGGCCAAGGCGGAUGUACGGUACAGCAGNNNNNNNNNNNNNNNNNNNNNNNNNNNNNNNNNNNNNNNNNNNNNNNNNNNNNNNNNNNNNNNNNNNNNNNNNNNNNNNNNNNNNNNNNNNNNNNNNNNNNNNNNNNNNNNNNNNNNNNNNNNNNNNNNNNNNNNNNNNNNNNNNNNNNNNNNNNNNNNNNNNNNNNNNNNNNNNNNNNNNNNNNNNNNNNNNNNNNNNNNNNNNNNNNNNNNNNNNNNNNNNNNNNNNNNNNNNNNNNNNNNNNNNNNNNNNNNNNNNNNNNNNNNNNNNNNNNNNNNNNNNNNNNNNNNNNNNNNNNNNNNNNNNNNNNNNNNNNNNNNNNNNNNNNNNNNNNNNNNNNNNNNNNNNNNNNNNNNNNNNNNNNNNNNNNNNNNNNNNNNNNNNNNNNNNNNNNNNNNNNNNNNNNNNNNNNNNNNNNNNNNNNNNNNNNNNNNNNNNNNNNNNNNNNNNNNNNNNNNNNNNNNNNNNNNNNNNNNNNNNNNNNNNNNNNNNNNNNNNNNNNNNNNNNNNNNNNNNNNNNNNNNNNNNNNNNNNNNNNNNNNNNNNNNNNNNNNNNNNNNNNNNNNNNNNNNNNNNNNNNNNNNNNNNNNNNNNNNNNNNNNNNNNNNNNNNNNNNNNNNNNNNNNNNNNNNNNNNNNNNNNNNNNNNNNNNNNNNNNNNNNNNNNNNNNNNNNNNNNNNNNNNNNNNNNNNNNNNNNNNNNNNNNNNNNNNNNNNNNNNNNNNNNNNNNNNNNNNNNNNNNNNNNNNNNNNNNNNNNNNNNNNNNNNNNNNNNNNNNNNNNNNNNNNNNNNNNNNNNNNNNNNNNNNNNNNNNNNNNNNNNNNNNNNNNNNNNNNNNNNNNNNNNNNNNNNNNNNNNNNNNNNNNNNNNNNNNNNNNNNNNNNNNNNNNNNNNNNNNNNNNNNNNNNNNNNNNNNNNNNNNNNNNNNNNNNNNNNNNNNNNNNNNNNNNNNNNNNNNNNNNNNNNNNNNNNNNNNNNNNNNNNNNNNNNNNNNNNNNNNNNNNNNNNNNNNNNNNNNNNNNNNNNNNNNNNNNNNNNNNNNNNNNNNNNNNNNNNNNNNNNNNNNNNNNNNNNNNNNNNNNNNNNNNNNNNNNNNNNNNNNNNNNNNNNNNNNNNNNNNNNNNNNNNNNNNNNNNNNNNNNNNNNNNNNNNNNNNNNNNNNNNNNNNNNNNNNNNNNNNNNNNNNNNNNNNNNNNNNNNNNNNNNNNNNNNNNNNNNNNNNNNNNNNNNNNNNNNNNNNNNNNNNNNNNNNNNNNNNNNNNNNNNNNNNNNNNNNNNNNNNNNNNNNNNNNNNNNNNNNNNNNNNNNNNNNNNNNNNNNNNNNNNNNNNNNNNNNNNNNNNNNNNNNNNNNNNNNNNNNNNNNNNNNNNNNNNNNNNNNNNNNNNNNNNNNNNNNNNNNNNNNNNNNNNNNNNNNNNNNNNNNNNNNNNNNNNNNNNNNNNNNNNNNNNNNNNNNNNNNNNNNNNNNNNNNNNNNNNNNNNNNNNNNNNNNNNNNNNNNNNNNNNNNNNNNNNNNNNNNNNNNNNNNNNNNNNNNNNNNNNNNNNNNNNNNNNNNNNNNNNNNNNNNNNNNNNNNNNNNNNNNNNNNNNNNNNNNNNNNNNNNNNNNNNNNNNNNNNNNNNNNNNNNNNNNNNNNNNNNNNNNNNNNNNNNNNNNNNNNNNNNNNNNNNNNNNNNNNNNNNNNNNNNNNNNNNNNNNNNNNNNNNNNNNNNNNNNNNNNNNNNNNNNNNNNNNNNNNNNNNNNNNNNNNNNNNNNNNNNNNNNNNNNNNNNNNNNNNNNNNNNNNNNNNNNNNNNNNNNNNNNNNNNNNNNNNNNNNNNNNNNNNNNNNNNNNNNNNNNNNNNNNNNNNNNNNNNNNNNNNNNNNNNNNNNNNNNNNNNNNNNNNNNNNNNNNNNNNNNNNNNNNNNNNNNNNNNNNNNNNNNNNNNNNNNNNNNNNNNNNNNNNNNNNNNNNNNNNNNNNNNNNNNNNNNNNNNNNNNNNNNNNNNNNNNNNNNNNNNNNNNNNNNNNNNNNNNNNNNNNNNNNNNNNNNNNNNNNNNNNNNNNNNNNNNNNNNNNNNNNNNNNNNNNNNNNNNNNNNNNNNNNNNNNNNNNNNNNNNNNNNNNNNNNNNNNNNNNNNNNNNNNNNNNNNNNNNNNNNNNNNNNNNNNNNNNNNNNNNNNNNNNNNNNNNNNNNNNNNNNNNNNNNNNNNNNNNNNNNNNNNNNNNNNNNNNNNNNNNNNNNNNNNNNNNNNNNNNNNNNNNNNNNNNNNNNNNNNNNNNNNNNNNNNNNNNNNNNNNNNNNNNNNNNNNNNNNNNNNNNNNNNNNNNNNNNNNNNNNNNNNNNNNNNNNNNNNNNNNNNNNNNNNNNNNNNNNNNNNNNNNNNNNNNNNNNNNNNNNNNNNNNNNNNNNNNNNNNNNNNNNNNNNNNNNNNNNNNNNNNNNNNNNNNNNNNNNNNNNNNNNNNNNNNNNNNNNNNNNNNNNNNNNNNNNNNNNNNNNNNNNNNNNNNNNNNNNNNNNNNNNNNNNNNNNNNNNNNNNNNNNNNNNNNNNNNNNNNNNNNNNNNNNNNNNNNNNNNNNNNNNNNNNNNNNNNNNNNNNNNNNNNNNNNNNNNNNNNNNNNNNNNNNNNNNNNNNNNNNNNNNNNNNNNNNNNNNNNNNNNNNNNNNNNNNNNNNNNNNNNNNNNNNNNNNNNNNNNNNNNNNNNNNNNNNNNNNNNNNNNNNNNNNNNNNNNNNNNNNNNNNNNNNNNNNNNNNNNNNNNNNNNNNNNNNNNNNNNNNNNNNNNNNNNNNNNNNNNNNNNNNNNNNNNNNNNNNNNNNNNNNNNNNNNNNNNNNNNNNNNNNNNNNNNNNNNNNNNNNNNNNNNNNNNNNNNNNNNNNNNNNNNNNNNNNNNNNNNNNNNNNNNNNNNNNNNNNNNNNNNNNNNNNNNNNNNNNNNNNNNNNNNNNNNNNNNNNNNNNNNNNNNNNNNNNNNNNNNNNNNNNNNNNNNNNNNNNNNNNNNNNNNNNNNNNNNNNNNNNNNNNNNNNNNNNNNNNNNNNNNNNNNNNNNNNNNNNNNNNNNNNNNNNNNNNNNNNNNNNNNNNNNNNNNNNNNNNNNNNNNNNNNNNNNNNNNNNNNNNNNNNNNNNNNNNNNNNNNNNNNNNNNNNNNNNNNNNNNNNNNNNNNNNNNNNNNNNNNNNNNNNNNNNNNNNNNNNNNNNNNNNNNNNNNNNNNNNNNNNNNNNNNNNNNNNNNNNNNNNNNNNNNNNNNNNNNNNNNNNNNNNNNNNNNNNNNNNNNNNNNNNNNNNNNNNNNNNNNNNNNNNNNNNNNNNNNNNNNNNNNNNNNNNNNNNNNNNNNNNNNNNNNNNNNNNNNNNNNNNNNNNNNNNNNNNNNNNNNNNNNNNNNNNNNNNNNNNNNNNNNNNNNNNNNNNNNNNNNNNNNNNNNNNNNNNNNNNNNNNNNNNNNNNNNNNNNNNNNNNNNNNNNNNNNNNNNNNNNNNNNNNNNNNNNNNNNNNNNNNNNNNNNNNNNNNNNNNNNNNNNNNNNNNNNNNNNNNNNNNNNNNNNNNNNNNNNNNNNNNNNNNNNNNNNNNNNNNNNNNNNNNNNNNNNNNNNNNNNNNNNNNNNNNNNNNNNNNNNNNNNNNNNNNNNNNNNNNNNNNNNNNNNNNNNNNNNNNNNNNNNNNNNNNNNNNNNNNNNNNNNNNNNNNNNNNNNNNNNNNNNNNNNNNNNNNNNNNNNNNNNNNNNNNNNNNNNNNNNNNNNNNNNNNNNNNNNNNNNNNNNNNNNNNNNNNNNNNNNNNNNNNNNNNNNNNNNNNNNNNNNNNNNNNNNNNNNNNNNNNNNNNNNNNNNNNNNNNNNNNNNNNNNNNNNNNNNNNNNNNNNNNNNNNNNNNNNNNNNNNNNNNNNNNNNNNNNNNNNNNNNNNNNNNNNNNNNNNNNNNNNNNNNNNNNNNNNNNNNNNNNNNNNNNNNNNNNNNNNNNNNNNNNNNNNNNNNNNNNNNNNNNNNNNNNNNNNNNNNNNNNNNNNNNNNNNNNNNNNNNNNNNNNNNNNNNNNNNNNNNNNNNNNNNNNNNNNNNNNNNNNNNNNNNNNNNNNNNNNNNNNNNNNNNNNNNNNNNNNNNNNNNNNNNNNNNNNNNNNNNNNNNNNNNNNNNNNNNNNNNNNNNNNNNNNNNNNNNNNNNNNNNNNNNNNNNNNNNNNNNNNNNNNNNNNNNNNNNNNNNNNNNNNNNNNNNNNNNNNNNNNNNNNNNNNNNNNNNNNNNNNNNNNNNNNNNNNNNNNNNNNNNNNNNNNNNNNNNNNNNNNNNNNNNNNNNNNNNNNNNNNNNNNNNNNNNNNNNNNNNNNNNNNNNNNNNNNNNNNNNNNNNNNNNNNNNNNNNNNNNNNNNNNNNNNNNNNNNNNNNNNNNNNNNNNNNNNNNNNNNNNNNNNNNNNNNNNNNNNNNNNNNNNNNNNNNNNNNNNNNNNNNNNNNNNNNNNNNNNNNNNNNNNNNNNNNNNNNNNNNNNNNNNNNNNNNNNNNNNNNNNNNNNNNNNNNNNNNNNNNNNNNNNNNNNNNNNNNNNNNNNNNNNNNNNNNNNNNNNNNNNNNNNNNNNNNNNNNNNNNNNNNNNNNNNNNNNNNNNNNNNNNNNNNNNNNNNNNNNNNNNNNNNNNNNNNNNNNNNNNNNNNNNNNNNNNNNNNNNNNNNNNNNNNNNNNNNNNNNNNNNNNNNNNNNNNNNNNNNNNNNNNNNNNNNNNNNNNNNNNNNNNNNNNNNNNNNNNNNNNNNNNNNNNNNNNNNNNNNNNNNNNNNNNNNNNNNNNNNNNNNNNNNNNNNNNNNNNNNNNNNNNNNNNNNNNNNNNNNNNNNNNNNNNNNNNNNNNNNNNNNNNNNNNNNNNNNNNNNNNNNNNNNNNNNNNNNNNNNNNNNNNNNNNNNNNNNNNNNNNNNNNNNNNNNNNNNNNNNNNNNNNNNNNNNNNNNNNNNNNNNNNNNNNNNNNNNNNNNNNNNNNNNNNNNNNNNNNNNNNNNNNNNNNNNNNNNNNNNNNNNNNNNNNNNNNNNNNNNNNNNNNNNNNNNNNNNNNNNNNNNNNNNNNNNNNNNNNNNNNNNNNNNNNNNNNNNNNNNNNNNNNNNNNNNNNNNNNNNNNNNNNNNNNNNNNNNNNNNNNNNNNNNNNNNNNNNNNNNNNNNNNNNNNNNNNNNNNNNNNNNNNNNNNNNNNNNNNNNNNNNNNNNNNNNNNNNNNNNNNNNNNNNNNNNNNNNNNNNNNNNNNNNNNNNNNNNNNNNNNNNNNNNNNNNNNNNNNNNNNNNNNNNNNNNNNNNNNNNNNNNNNNNNNNNNNNNNNNNNNNNNNNNNNNNNNNNNNNNNNNNNNNNNNNNNNNNNNNNNNNNNNNNNNNNNNNNNNNNNNNNNNNNNNNNNNNNNNNNNNNNNNNNNNNNNNNNNNNNNNNNNNNNNNNNNNNNNNNNNNNNNNNNNNNNNNNNNNNNNNNNNNNNNNNNNNNNNNNNNNNNNNNNNNNNNNNNNNNNNNNNNNNNNNNNNNNNNNNNNNNNNNNNNNNNNNNNNNNNNNNNNNNNNNNNNNNNNNNNNNNNNNNNNNNNNNNNNNNNNNNNNNNNNNNNNNNNNNNNNNNNNNNNNNNNNNNNNNNNNNNNNNNNNNNNNNNNNNNNNNNNNNNNNNNNNNNNNCCACGUCAUCAGUGAAUAGUACGCGGUUUGACCACGUGGAUGAACAGUAACACAAUUUGACCCGGAUGAACGGUAACGCGGUUUGGUUGAAAAUAAUCUUGUGUGUUGCAUGUACCGUACGUGAGAUUUUUGGUCCACUGAUAUGCUGCCACGUCAUCGAUCAAUAGUGCAUAAGAAUUUUAGUCCAACAAGAUCGUGACACCUCAUCAGUCAAUGCCACAUCAUCGGUCAAUGCCACCUCAUCGAUCCGUCUAUGUGAACAGUGUCGUGAACAGUAACGUAGACAGUACCGUACAUGUGAAUAGUACCGUACAUGUGAACAAUGCCAUUUUUCCUUUUAUGCUCCUCCUAAGGUUUUCGACCGUCCUGAGUUCAAAAGUGAUGUCCGUUUUACCGUCUGAUCUCUCGUUUAUUGUGAAAUGACUAUGACGCCCCUAAAAUACAUAAAAUACUUAAUUAAAAUAAAACACACAAUUAAAUUACAAGAAGCUUAAACACAUAAAAGUAAGGGUUGUUAGUAAGACGUGAAAUGUAAAAUGAUGAUUUUCUCCUUUAUAAAUAUGCAUUUUCUAACACUCAACAAUCCCCUUUAUACUCAAGGAAAUGCUCUUUCAACACUCUUGAAGAUGCUCUUAACUCUCACAAUUUGGGAUGCUUUACUCUCUCGAAAUGAAGAUCUAUUUAUAGUGAAUGAGUGACCUUGAACUUUAAGAAUUGCAGUCCAAAAUCCAGUGCAAUAGCCACCAUUUCCAUUUACGAAUAUUGACAAAUAAAGCAUGAAUUACUGACUAUUCAUAAUGGUGAAAGAUCACGUGAGAAUUUUCUGCCAAAUUUCAUUUGCAUGCAGUAAAGUCAUGCACACUUUGUCAAAAACUUAUGCGUGCAAUUUGCUGCCAUCUUCAAUUUUCAACAACAUCACUGUAUAACAUUAAUUGAAUAAACAAAUUUGUCAAACAAUUUUACUAUUUCACUUUCACGCUUUAAUAAUUACCCUUAUUCAAGUCAAUAUUUCAACAAAGGGUUGUGGUUGAUUUUAAAACAAAAAAAUUAGUUAAAUAAACAAAAAUAGAGGUUGUAAUUUUUUGAAAAAGUUCACAAAAUAGCCUCCUACCUCCUUUUAUUAGCUGCGCCAAAAUAAAGAAAAUUAUCAAAUAAGUGGAUCUUAAAAUAUUUACAAAACAUUCUUUCUUCUUUUUUUUUCAAAAUAGGCUCCAUAUUUAUGUAUUUUAGAGUUUAGAGUUUCACAACAUUUAUUCACCAGUACUGAUAUUUGAACAUUAAGAAUACGCCACUAAAACAAAAGUGAGGUUAUUGUUUGUGAUGGCACUAUUCGUACUACAGUAUUGUCGUUUCUAUCUUGUGGUGCUAGUUGCAAGAAAUAGUGUACUAGCAUGUGGAGUUUAUUUCAUCAUGAUAUUCAAGAAGAAAGAGUUGACACAUUGACACAUAAUAUUUUUAUUUCUUUAUUUCCAUUUUGGGGAAAACAUGGUACAAGUAGAUAAAUAAAGAAAAUCUUCUUGUAUAUCUCAAGAGAUCUUAUCACACUUAUAUAAUGAGCAAGUAAUAAUACACCCAUCUUUUUAUUUAAUUAAAUAUAACAUAGAGGAGUGACAUUGUAAUUCACCAGUGUGGUCAGAAUUUCUCCCAUAUUAAGGGCCAAUAAAAAGAUUAAGAUUGUCAUUCGCAAUGUCAUCAUCAAUAACAUUGAGUAAAUAUCUAAUAUGACAAGUCCCUCUGACUAACUGUUAUUAUCUGAAAAAUUCAUAUUAGAAAACAGAGUCAUUUAGACGCUAUUAAAACAAGAAUUAUAAAUGAUAUUCUACUGAAAUUAAUUGUCCUAAAAACUUGUGUAGGUACUUUCCAUAUUCUUCAAAUCAGAAAGCUCUCUUCUUCCGAAAACAAAGCUUAAAAAGUAUUCAAGUUACUUUUGCGAGUUUUUGCUAGUUUCUGGUUUGGUAGAAUGUGCUUGUAUAGUAUGUGUAUACAUAUAAAAUGAAGUAGCAGAUAAUAGUGCCAAGUUGGGUGAUUGGAGCAUAGUUAAUUAAUUACAAGGAAAACUAAUAGUAAUAAUACAUUAGAAAAAAUUUUGUUUUAUUAAGGAUAUAUUUGAUAUUUAGAUGUAUAUGUAGAGUGAAAUUUCAAUUUUUAAAUUUUAAAGAUGGGUUUAAAAAUCAAAUGGUUUUAGAAAGUAUCUUAGUGGGUUCAAAUAGACCCACCCAAUCAUAGGAUGUGGAAAAAUUAUAUAAUUAGCAUAAUUUUAAAAUGAUAUAUUAGAUAGACAUGAUCCAAAUGCUCAUCUAAUCUAAUCAUUUUUAAGAUUUGCCAAGUUGUUGAAUACAUGUCAUUUUUUUUAAAAGAUGGGGCUCUAAAAACAGCUAGUACAAAACAGAGAGGGGGUAAGCCACCCUAUACAAGUCAUGGUACAGGAGAGGAGUAACACUAAGUGGGGGACUAGAAAGAUGAUGAACACCUAGAGGAAAAGAUAAAGCAUAAUUAGCAACUUAGUCUACUAUGUAGUUCGCCUCACGAUGGACGUGGUUAAUGAUAACAUUCCAAUUACGCUGGAUAAUCUCCUUGAUAGAUUGAAUAAGAGAAGUGUACUUAUUGAUAAUAUCCACAGGCUUGUUAACCAGUUGAGUGAUGCAUAGGCUAUCAAUUUCCACCACCAGACACUUUAUCCCAUGUUCCCAUGCCAGUUUUAAACCUUGAUAUAAACCCCAUAACUCAACCAUCAUAACAAAACAAUGACCUAUAUUCAUUCCAAAACCAAAUAUCCAAACCCCAUUAUGAUCACGAAUUACACCACCAGCACUUGAUGCUCUUGUUCGCUUACAAGCUCCAUCGGUAUUCAACUUACACCAUGGCCAAGUGGGGGCCCUCAACACAAUCCAUCUCCAAAAUCAAUUAGAGAAGUUCAAAGGUUAACAAUGAAAUUCUAGUUAUGCAACCCAAGAGGGGGGUGAAUUGGAAUUCUAAAAAUUAUUCAAUUUAUAAAGAAAAAAACUGAAUGCAAAUAUAAACCAAAUUCAAAGCAAUAACAAAUAAGGUGAUCACAAUAUAAAAAGAUAAGGGAAGAGAGAUUCAAACACAGAGAUUUUUACGUGGUUCGGCCAACCUCGCCUACGUCCAUGCCUCCAAGUUUUCCGGGCUUGAGGAUUCAACAAAGCAAGCCUCAAAGGCUUCAAAUGCUUACACUUGACUUCCAAGGUGUCAAUAACCUUUACAACAAGAGAUUAUCUCAAUCUCUUUAACACAAGUGUAUCCCAACACUUACAAUCACUCAAAACAAAAGAUUACAAAUUUGUUUUGCCUCUCACAAUAUUUAAGAUUACACAAUUAUGCCCAAUAUGUGAAUAGAUGAAGUAAGAAUGUGUUCAAAGCUCUAUGAAGAUUGUAUUCUCGAGUAUAAGCUCAAUAGUCGUGUUGUGAUUAAUCUUGUUUGAAUUUGAAUGAGCUUAUUUAUAUUUGGAGCUGAUAAACUAGCCGUUGCAAACUGUCGGCCCGAAAAUGGUUCGCAGUUAACCAUUAACGGUUAACCGUUUAGGCUGGUCAAAAGUUACCGUUGGGCCAAAUUUCAAAUAAACGGUUUGCCGUUUAGGAUUACCCUUUCGCCAUUAAAUUCCAGAGACCUGCAAGAUGAAUAUCAAUUAUCCGUUUAUAUUAAACGGUUAAGGAUUUGCAUGAAGUGACUUCUCUGGAUAUUAUCGGUUAACCGUUUGUAAUAAAUGGUUCGCCGUUUGUUUCCAGUAACCUGCGAAACAAUUUAGCCUUAUCCGGUUUUGUUAAACGGUGUCAGAAGAGUACAACCUUCAAUUCUGAAUUUUAUCGGUUAACCGUUUAAAUAACCGGUUCACCGUUAAAUUCCAGUAGCCUUCCCAACUUUUUUGUGUUUUCCUUUUUUCUUAAUCGAUUAGAGUUUAUCGGUUAACCGUUUAAAUAACCGGUUCACCGUUAAAUUCCAGUAGCCUUCCUAGCUUUUUUGUGUUUUCCGUUUUUCUUAAUCGGUUAGAGCUUAGGCAAUAUGUUGUUAUCUGGUUUUAAUCGGUUAACCGUUUGUAAUAAAUGGUUCACCGUUUAUUUCUAGAAUCACAUUUUAAACCAGAUUUUGCAGAGAGUCAUUUUCUAAUUUGAAAGUCCAUCUUUUAUGAUUUUUUGGGUCAUGCUGGAUUCUACAGAAGAUUCUGCUGUACGGCCAAGGCGGAUGUAUGAAUAUGAUUGGAAUGAUUAUAAGGCUUUCAUUUAUUAAAGAAUAACUCCAACAUUUUAAUCAAAAAAACCAUUUAAAGUAUGUUAUCAUCAAAAUCAAUAUUAUUAACAUAUUCAUGUUAACAAACAAGAAGAGUUGCAGCCUUGAACCAAUUUAUUUCACGAGCAACAGAUAAAUGCCUACCAUUCUUCAAAACCCUUAGAGGGGGGAAAAGAAAUGAUAUGGACAGAGGAAUGUGAGAAAGCCUUCCAAGAGUUGAAGAGGUAUCUGAGAAGUCCUCCAAUUCUUUCUAAACCAAUACCAGGAGAAUAUCUUUACUUAUACCUGGCCAUUUCAGACUCAGUAAUAAGCUCAGUAUUGAUAAGAGAAGAAAGUAAGGUGUAGAAGCCAGUCUAUUAUGUGAGCCAUACAUUCCUAAAUGUCGAGACAAGGUAUCUAGCUAUAAAAAAAAUGGCUUUAGUGCUAGUACUAUCUGCCAGGAAAUUAAGGCCUUAUUUCAAAGCUCACACCAUAGUGGUGCUAAAAUACUAGACCUUGAGGCAGCUAAUGCAACAACCAGAGGUGUCGGGAAGGUUGGUGCAGUGGGCUGUAGAACUGGGAGAGCAUGAUAUUAGGUACCGACCUAAAACAAUAAUUAAAGGGCAAACAAUUGUUGAGUAUUAGAAAGUGUAUAUUUAUCAAGGAGAAAAUCGUUAUUUUACACUCCUAGUUUCACUAACAUCCCCGCCGUACAGCAGACUAACAUCCCCACUUUUAUGUAUUUAAGUCUCUUGUGAUUUAAUUAUGUGUGUUGUAUUAUAAUAAAUUAUUUUCUGUCUUUUAGGGCCAUCAUGGUCAUUUCACAAUGAAUGAGAGAUCAGACAGUAAAACGAACAUCACUUUUGAACUCAGGACAGUCGAAAACCUUAGGAGGAGUAUAAAAGGAAAAAUGGCACUGUUCACAUGUACACUACUGUUCAUGUUACUGUUCACAUAUACGGAACGAUGAUGUGGCAUUGACCGAUGACGUGACAUUGACUGAUGAGGUGUCACGAUCCUAUUGAACUAAAAUUCUUAUGUACUGUUGAUCGGUGACAUAGCAGCAUGUUAGUGGACCGAAAAUCGUGCGUACGGUACAUGCAUAUACACGGAAUUAUUUAUAACCAAACCAUGUCACUAUUCAAGUCGCCUCACUGUUCAUUUCGCGUUACUAUUCAAACCGCGUAUUGUUGACACGUGGCGCAAUCCUGAGCGUCCAAAUUAUUUUUAAUUUUAUGGUCAUGAUUCACUCAGUGUAUCUAUAAAAAGAUGGCUCCCCCCCUCACAUAAUUUGACACCCCUAAAUUCAUGUUUGACCUCCAUUUUUUGUAAUUCCUUCUCCAUCUUGUAUUUUCUAUGUAUUUUAAUAAAUUCUGAUUUUACCCCUAAUUUAAUUAUAAAUAGCCAAUUUUCUUUCAAGCUUGGGUUGAAGGUGAAGUCUCAACAUGGGCCAUGGGUUUUAUUUGGUAAAUUUACUUUCUCAUCCCCUCUAAUUAAUGUGCAUGCUUUGACUUUUCACCGACAGAUAAUAACAAUCUUGUCUAGAUACCGCACUGGUUUAACCGGCUCCCUAAUAUAAGGUUAUUACUAUUUGACACGAUAAGCCCUUAGCACCAUUAUAUAAGGUUAUUACUAUUUGACACGAUAAGCCCUUAGCACCAUUUUGAUUAGAGUGUGGUUCAUGAGGUGUGGAAACCCCCCUCAUAAUUUAAUUGGCACUAAUAAAGAAUAUUAAGCCCAUGGUGCAUGUUGAUGCAGAUCUAGAUACCAAAGUGCUUCAAUUUUAAUAGAUUUAACUUCAAUUUAUUCCCACCAUUUUAAUUUAAAUUUUAGGACAAUCUAAAUCACUUCCACCACAAAUCCAAUCACCACUUAGAAAAUUAACUCUACACAUAAUUAAAAUUCAUCUCCUCAUGGGAUCGACACUCGUUACCAUUAAUCUAGUUUACAAUAGAUUCGUGCACUUGCGAGUUCAAUAAAAUUUGCACAACAAGUUUUUGGCGCCGUUACCGAGGAGGUAAGUUAUUUUAAUUAGUAGAAUUAAUUUUUGUAAAUAAUUUCUUUUCGUUGUUUUCUUGUAAUUUUUUUCUUAUUAAAAAAAAGAAAAAAAGUGAAUAUGUAUUUAAAGGUAAGAAUUUCUUUUCUUUUUCUCUUCUUUAAAAUUCUGUAAUUUAAUUUUCAAGUUAUUUUUCUUUGUAAUUUAUUUUUAGUUAAUUUAUUUCACGUAUUUUUUUAGUGUGUUUUCAUAAAAAGGUUGUAACAGCGUGAUAAGGUUAGUACCGUAAUUUCUUUCUUCUUUAUUUUUAUUAAUUUUGUUCUCGUUUCUUUUUGUAUUCUUUGCAUGCAUGGUCAAAGGUCACUAUUACCUAAUCUUGAGCCUAUAGAUUUUGAACUGGAAAAAACGCUUCGCACGCACAAACACGUUGCAAUUAAAAAUAAAAUUGAAAUGGAUUUGCAACAACAAGAAGCACUACAGGAGAGGCCAUUUAAGGACUACUUCAGUCCCUUAGUUAACUUGAGCACAUCAUGCAUAAGAUACCCAAAUGUAGCUGUUAGGAGUUUUGAGUUAAAAUCUAGCGUGCUAAAUUGUCUCCCAACAUUUUAUAGCCUAGAAAAUGAGGACCUAUAUAAUCAUCUGAAUGAUUUUCAUGCUAUUUGUCAAACUUUUAAAUAUGAGAAUUUUUCAGAUGAUGAUGUUAAACUCAGAUUAUUCUCAUUUUCUUUAAAGGAUGGAGCUCCUUCAUAUUCAAUACAUUGCCUGCUAAUAGUAUUACAUCAUCAGAAUAAAUGGUAACAAAAUUUUUGAAUAAAUAUUUCCUAGUAGAUAAAACCAAUGUUAUUCGUAGGGAAAUUUCAGAGUUUACCCAGAGAGAAGACGAUCAAUUUUUCAAAGCAUGGGAACGAUUCAAUGGGCUACUUUUGAAGGGUCAACAUCAUGGGUACGAGAAAUGGCACCAAUGCCAAUAGUUUUUGGAGGGAUUAUUACCGCAUGUACAAGAAUGGCUAAUGGCAACAAGUGGAGGAGAGCUAAUGUCAAAAAGUGCAUAAGAGAUUUAGGAUUUCUUCCAGCGACAAGCGGAUAAUUCCCAACAACGGAGUCGAUCACUCAGGAAUACUAAAAGAAUUAAAGGAGUGAAUGAGGUUCACAUUGGCGAGUCAAGUUCGGAAAUUAAAGAAGUCAAAGCGAUAAUUGAAGGUCUUUCCCAACAAAUAGUAUCAUUAAUGACUACUAAAUCAACAGAGUCAUAUGACCAUGACUCAUACUCAGAUCAAGCCAAUGCCAUAGGUGUAAUGAGAAAACCAUUAAACCAUAACCCAUAUUCUAACACAUAUAACCCUGGAUGGAGAGGCCACCCCAAUUUUUCUGGUCUCAAGGAUUCCAACAGAAUAGACCAGCAACUCCAGCUCCACCAAUGCAACCAAUUCCUCAAGUUCCUCAAGCCUUUCAGCCACCAUUUAGACCAUAUAAUCAGAACUAGAAUUACUCUCAACCCAGACCAUAGGAGGAUGCAUUCCAAAAUUUCAAAAAUCUUACUCACUCCACGAUUGAGCAACAGAACCGCACCAUUGAUGAACUACGAAAUGAGAUGAGAGCAUGCUUCAUCUCACAAACCCUAUUAGUUUCAAACCUCAAGAAGAUGGUGGGAUAGCUUGCCUCUUCAGUUUAAACUUUGGCAAUGACUGUUGAGAAAGACAAAUUUCCAAGUCAACCAGUGUCUAAUCCUAAAGGAGUGCAUGAAGUAAGUGUCAGUUCACCACAGCAGCAUGGAGAGGUCAAAGCCAUCAUGACCUUGUGAAAAGCGAAAGAAGUCGACAACAAAAUGGAGAUGCCAGUGACAAAAACAACUCAAAUUGUACCUGUGAAUUUUGAGGACCCAUCAUUAGAGGAGAAAAAAGAAACCAACCCACGAGAAUACGUUCCUAAUGCUCCAUUUCCUCAGAGGUUAGCUAAAGGAAAGAAGGGAAAAUCUAUAGAUGAGAUUUUUGAAAUCUUUAAACAGGUAAGUGUUAAUAUCCAUUUGCUUAAUGCUAUAAGACAAGUGUCAACUUAUGCCAAGUUUCUUAAAUACCUUUGUACUAAAAAGAGAAACAUUCACGUUAAAAAAAAGACAUUUUUAACAGAAAAUAUUAGCUCUAUACUCCAACAUAAAAUUCCUCUAAAAUACAAAGAUCCAGGCUCCCCCACUAUCUCAUGUAGUAUAGGGAACUACACAAUUGAGAAUGCUUUGUUGGACUUAAGAGCUAGUGUAAAUCUAUUGCCUUACUCAAUAUUUGUGAAACUUGGACUGGGAGAAUUACACCCAACUCUAGUUGUGUUACAGCUUGCAGAUCGGUCCACGAAAAUAGCUCGUGGUAUUGUGGAGGACGUACUUAUCCAGGUAGACAAGUUUAAUUUUCCUGUUGAUUUCAUUGUAAUUGACACUUAACCAGUCCAGGAUUCAAGGAAGCACAUCCCCAUUAUCCUAGGCCAGCCUUUCUUGGCAAUUACCGAUGCUUACAUUUAAUGCAGGACUGAAAAUAUGCAGUUGUCCUUUGGCAACAUGACUAUGGAGCUAAACAUCUUCAACAUUACCAAACAACCUCUCAAUGCAAAUGAUGGAAUUGUUGAUGUGGAUUUAAUAGAAGAAAUAGUUGAUAAUACUUUUUUUCAAACCUUAGUGAUGACCCUUUACAAACAUGUUUAACUUAUAUUAGUUUUGACUUUGAUAUUGACAGAUCAGUCGAUGAGGUCAACGCUCUACUUGACUCAACACCAUCCAUGGACACUAAUAAAUGGAAGUCAAUAGUUCAACAACUAGCACCAUCAGAGAAAAAACUCAACCCAUCAUCAGAAUCAUCACCGAAACUUGAGCUCAAACCAUUACCCAACACUUUUGGAAUAUGCGUUCUUGGAAGAAGAAAGCACUGUGCCAGUAAUCAUUUUCAUCAUCCCUAAAUGAUGAACAAAAGAGUAAGUUGUUGGAAGUUUUAAAAGAGUACAAAGGAGCAUUAGGAUGGACCAUAGCCGACAUAAAAGAUAUAAACCAAGUAGACUGCAUGCAUUGCGUUCACCUUGAUGAAAAUGUUAAAUCUACUAGGGAAAUGCAACGUCGAUUGAACCCUAACAUGAAAGAAGUUGUUAGAACUGAAGUCCUUAAGCUAUUAGAUGCAUAUAUCAUUUACCCAAUUUCUAAUAGUUCAUAGGUCAGUCUUGUGCAAGUUGUCCCCAAAAAGUCAGGAGUCACAGUAGUUACCAAUGCUGAUAAUGAAUUGAUACCCAGUAGAGUGACUACAGGGUGGCGUGUAUGCAUUGAUUAUAGAAAAUUGAAUUUUUUUUCAUACGUAAAAACCAUUUUCCUUUACCAUUUAUGGUCAAACGCUUGAUAUAUUAGCAGGCCAUAAAUUUUAUUGCUUUCUAGAUGGCUACUCAGGAUAUAAUCAGAUUCCCAUAACACCAAAAGAUCAAGAAAAGACCACAUUCACUUGUCUUUUUAACACUUUUGCAUAUAAGAGGAUGCCAUUUGGAUUAUAUAAUGCACCUGCUACAUUUCAACGAUGCAUGUUAAGCAUUUUUUCUGAUAUGGUUGAACGAUUCCUUGAAGUCUUUAUGGAUGACUUUUCUAUCUUUUGUGAUUCAUUCGAUCAAUGUUUAAAUCAUCUAACACUAGUUCUGCAGAGAUGUAUAGAGAAGAACUUAGUCUUCAAUUGGGAGAAGUGUCAUUUUAUGGUAAAAUAAGAUAUUGUUCUCGGUCACAUCAUUUCGAGCAAAGGCAUUAAGGUUGAUAAAGCCAAUGUGGAUCUCAUUUCCAAUUUUCCUUCACCUAAAACACUCAGAGAAGUAAGAUAUUUCCUUGGGCAUGUUGAUUUUUAUAAACGUUUGAUUAAAGAUUUUAGCAAAGUUUCUAGACCCUUAUGCAAUCUACUUGCUAAGGAUGUACCUUUUGUCUUUGAUGAUUCAUGUCUUGUGACAUUUGAAAAACUAAAGCAGUUGUUAACAUCAUCACCCAUCAUUCAGCCCCCAAACUGAUGCAUCUGAUUAUGCAGUAAGAGCAGUAUUAGGACAAAAAGUUGAUUGAAUUCCCCAUGUUAUUUACUAUGCUAGUAUAACAUUGAAUGAUGCACAGUUGAACUAUUCAGCCACUGAAAAAGAAAUGCUAGCAGUAGUAUUUGCAUUAGAGAAAUUUUGAUCUUAUCUCAUUGGUUGUAAUAUAAUUGUAUUCACAUAUCAUGCUGCUCUUAAAUAUCUUCUCACAAAGAAAGAUGCAAAAGUUAGACUAAUUCGUUGGAUGUUACUUUUGCCGGAAUUUGACUUAGAAUUCAAAGAUAAGAAAUGCAUAGAAAAUGUUGUGGCUGACCAUCUCUCCCGUCUCAAUUUUGACAUAAUUACAAAACCAUUAACAUUGAAUGAGUCAUUUUCAGAUGAACAAUUGAUGAGUGUGGACGUAUUACCAUGGUAUGCUGAUAUAAUUAAUUAUCUUGUUACAAGUCAACUUACAAAGCAUUGGACCAAGUAAGACAAGGCCAAAUUUUUUAUAGAAAUAAAGAAUUUCUUUUGGGAUGACCCUUAUCUGUUCAAGUAUUAUGCAGAUCAAAUUGUUAGACGAUGGGUCCCAGAAAAUAAAUUUCAAAAUAUCCUUUCAUUCGGCCAUGAACAAGCUUGUGGAGGUCAUUUCAGCGCUAGGAAAACAACUACUAAAGUUUUACAAUGUGGUUUCUAUUAGCCAACUAUAUUUCGAGAUGCCUACACUUUUUGCUCUUCAUGUGAUAGGUGUCAACGAAUGGGGAGCAUUACACGAAGGAAUAUAGUGGCACUAAAUCCAAUUUUAGUGGUUGAGAUUUUUUAUGUGUGGGGUCUCGACUUCAUGGGACAUUUUCCCCCUUCUUUUGGCUAUCAAUACAUAUUGAUUGUUGUUGACUACAUAUCGAAAUGGUUAGAAGUUAUCCAUGUAGAACCAAUGAUCACAAGGUGGUGAUAGGAUUUUUGAAAAGUAACAUUGUUUCACACUUUGGAUUCCCUCGAGCAAUAAUCAGUUAUGGUGGUACCAACUUUUACAACAAAUCAGUCAAAACUCUUUUGACAAAGUAUUCCAUCACUCACAAAGUGACGACCCCAUAUCAUCCGCAAACCAGUGGCCAAGUUGAGAUCUCCAAUCGGGAAAUAAAGUACAUAUUAGAAAAGACGGUGAGGCCAGACGGAAAAGAUUGGUCAUUAAGACUCGAUAAUGCAUUAUGGGCAUAUAGAACAACUUUCAAAACCCCGAUUAGGAUGUCACCCUACAGGCUAGUGAAUGGAAAAGCUUGCCACCUACCUGUGGAACUCAAGCAUCGUGCGUACUGGGCCAUCAAGAAAUUCAACUUUAACAUGCAGCAAGCUAGCUUAGAAAGAAGAUUAUAGCUGGCAGAACUUGAAGAAAUUCGCAAUGAUGCAUACGAAAAUGCCAAGAUUUACAAGCAAUGAAUGAAAGUCUUUCAUGACAAGAAAAUUAUGAGAAACUCUUUCACUCCAGUUUAGAAAGUGCUUUUAUUCAAUUCUCACUUGCACCUAUUCCCAGGCAAAUUACGCUCUCGAUGGUCUGGCCCUUUUAUUAUUCACGCUGUUUUUUCACAUGGAGCAAUUGAAAUUAAGGACCCAAAGAAUGGUGUCACUUGUAAAGUUAAUGGUCAGAGAUUAAAGCCAUAUCUAGAGUACCAACUACAUGGAGAGGAUACCGAAAUAAAUUUGAGCAACCCAUAAAAUUUGAAUUGAGAUUUUUCUUUUUUUUCGGUGAUUUAAUUUUUUUUUUUUUUUCUAUUCUUUUGCUAAUUGAAAUUAUUUUUACAUAAGCGUGUUUUUGUAACCAUUAUGUUUUCUUUUAUCAUUGUUAAUCAUGAGUGCUUCAGCUGGACAAUUCUUCUUAGACCUUCUUGGACGACUUCAACGUGUAAAAUCUCAUCUCAGAAGCCGGAUUCAAUUUUGUAAAACACAUCAUAUUUGGGAUGUACAACCACCAGAGUUAGUAUCCCAUGUUAAGGCUUUAGAAAGACAAUUCAAAGACAUUGAGGGAGGUAUCUUCGACAUCCAGUUGGAGCUUGAGGUAAAUUCAAUAAGAGGACGAUUGUAAUUUUCUUUGUGUGUUUUAGUUUGUUACCCCGGUUAAGUGGUGGAUAACGGUACUAUGUGAUAUGUGAUUUUUUUAGAAAAAUAAAAUUAUGUGAUUUUUUUAACAUUGGAUGACAUGAUGACUUUCAAAUUUUAGUAUUUUUCUGCUGUACGGCCAAGGCGGAUGUACGGUAUCAGAAUGCCCUCCUUACAAUCUAUAAAGCUCGGUCCGAACUUAUGCGAUUGCUUGUGAGGAAUAACAUACAUGCUGACAUCCGCUGGUUAAUUAAGGCCAAAGUACGAUUGGCAAGUGAGUAACCUCCUAAAUUUAUUGCAAACAUGCUUGGUUGUGGUAAAGGAAAUUACGUAAGAAAACGAAAAGCUCGAAAACUUUUUGUUGCUUGUCAUAAGUAUGCUAGAAUGAGAUGUGAUAAAAAACUAUGUUAUUUAGGAAUGGUGUCUAAUAACAGCGAAGAUAAGAUUCAAUUCAUUAGGGAUGGCUUGAAUAAGGAGCCAUUGGAUGAUAUCCGUUUGUCUCUUGAAACGCAUCCCAGUGGAUAUGUACAAGGAGCAAUUCUCCAGUUAUGGCCAUUAUUCCAAAAAGAGUGUGCACGAUAUAGUCUCAAGAAUCUGACUAUAAAUGACCUUGUUUUUCAGUUUAUAAGAAAACUGGAUGGGAAGCCUAUUCUCAACCGAUAGAGGGCGUUCAAGCCGUUUCUGGACGUAAAACCAGAAAAAGAUGUGAGCCACAAUCACAACUAUCUGUAAAUAUCCUUUUACUUCACUUUUGUUUUAUCAUUUGCAUUAUUGUCUUUAAUAAUUUUAUUUUAUCAUUGUUUGUUUUUUUUCCUUUUCACUGUUUCUUUUUUGACUCUCGAGCCAUGUGCUUUACACAUUAAUUGACACAGACAUGCUACCUCAUACACAACUGUGACCCACUGUCACCAAGAUUCUUAAAUAUGAUUUUUUGUUAAGCACUCACAAAUUACUUUUGAGAAGUAUCCCAAUGGUAGCUAUCCCAAUUUAAAUAUGAUUUUUUGUUAAGCACUCACAAAUUAUUUUUGAGAAAUAUCCCAAUGGUAGCUACUCCCAAUAAACAAUUUAAGAACAUUUGUGUGCUUUCUCGAUUUAACUAUGGCAAACACAAAGAGUUCGUUGAGGCAGCCAUAGAUCUUGGUCGAAGCAUAGCAGAGAGAAAAUUAUCACUUGAUGUAUGGAGGAGGUAACCAAGGGUUAUCAAAAUUGGUCUCAGAAGCUGCUUUUGUCAGAGGAAGCCAAGUGUUAGGCAUCAUCCCAAGAGACCUAAAACCUUUGGGCAGUUUGUCUGACUCACCGACUGAAGAAGAGUUAGUCAUCUUAGGUAUGCAAGAGAGAAUAAUUGAAAUGCUAAAUCAUGCUGAUGCUUUUAUUUUCUUACCAAGAGAUCUUGCAACUCUAGAUGCACUUAUCACAUUAGCAUCUUAGGCCCAUCUGAACAGUCACCAGAAACCCAUCGAUUUGUUAAAUGUCAAUAACUUUUAUGAUGACUUUAUCGUAUUUCUUAACCAUGCAAUAAAAAAUUAUUUCAUUCCUUCCACAGUGAAAAAAAAUUCCAUUUGUGCUCAUACUCCUGAUGAGCUACUUGAUCUGUUACAAGCUUAUCGACCAGAGCUAGAUCCCAGGACCUUGGUGUUAAAGUGUCCAAAUAAUGAUGGUAACAGUAGCCGCAGUAAGAAGUACAAAUUAAAUUUAACUCUCCACUUGUAAAUAUUUUCUUCUGUGUUGCACCACCCAGGUGAUGUCUUCUAAACUCUACUUCUUUCCUUUAAAACAUUGAGAACAAUAUUUCGUUCUGGUUGGGGGGAGGGAAUAGUUGACAAUAAUGGAAUCUUGGUUAAGUUUUUAUUGAUUUUUUGUUGUAAAGACUAACCGUGGCUAACUUUUUGUGUUGAAGAUGGCUGAAUAUGGCGUGUAGUGACUCUAGAAACGCAUCUUCUUGGUUUGGAAGUAAAAAAAAACAAAAUACAAAAAAAAAAAUCCAGACAUUUUCUUUUUCUUUAUUAAGUUUUGAUAAUCAUUUUUUUUUCUAACUUCUUCUUUCUAAUUUCUCCUUUAUAAAUAUACACUUUCAAAUUUUUGAGUCGAAAAUGGCUGAAUAUAAAGUGUAGUGACUCUAGAAACAUGCUCUUCUUAGUUUAAAAAAAAAUUUCCAGACAUUUUCUUUUCAUGUUUAGAAUAUGUUUGGGGGUAGAAUGUCGUUUGAAAAAUAAAAUUAUGUGAUUUUUUUAGAAAAAUAAAAUUAUGUGAUUUUUUUAACAUUGGAUGACAUGAUGACUUUCAAAUUUUAGUAUUUUUAUUAUCUUUGGUCUUAAGGGAUGUUAUGCCAUGUUUGCUACUCUACAUGUUGAUGUUGGAGACAAAUGUGAGUUGCAUGAAGGAAUGCCCAUGUCAUAAUGAAUACCAAUGAGUUUUUGAGCCUAUCAUUUUUCUUAGAGAGUAACCAUUUUUGCCCAUUAUUCAUACAACUUAGCAGUUUAUUAUUUUAUACACGAUCUCUAGAUUUCUUUUGAGUUAAUCCUUUAAAAAAAUUGUAAAAUAAAAAAUAUAUAUAAUAAUAAAAGAAAAAAGUGUGUUGCUACAUCUGAAGGUCCAUCUAACCAGUAGAUAUGGAAGAUUAUUUAGAGCCCUAAAAGAUUAUGGAAAUGUCAUCUUUAACCCGUUUGAGCAUUUCUAGCCAUCCCUUUUGUGAAAUUUCCAUAGUUAACCCUUUUGAGCCUUUCAUAUAAAAAAAAAUAUUUCUUUGUCAACUUAUCAUCUUGACCUACUCCGAUUUAGAGUAUUACCCGAUGUUUUAUAAGUUUCAUCACCUAUUUAUGUUUGAAAAAAAUGUAAAUAAUUAUUUUGUUCAGAAAAGUUGUGCCACACAAAAAAAAAACAAAACAAAUUAGUUAAAAAAAGAGAAAAAAUAACAAUAAUAAUAAAUAAGCGAAAUUCACCUUGUAAUUUCUAAAAGAUCUCUACUUUUCUCAAACAUAUACUUUGCUUUCCUUAUUUUUCCUCAUUUGUUAGCCAUAUCCCUACCCUACGUUACAUCCUAAUAAAAGUCCUUCUUGAUUUUAGGAAUUUAUAGUCUGAAGUAGAAGCUAGUUAUAUGGCUAAAAAGAUGUAGUGAUGCAUAAAAAAAAAUUAAAUAAAUAAACACAUUGGGUUAACUAGCAUUUUGUUUGACUUAAGAUCGUGUUAUUUUUUAGCUGUGGGCAUAUUCCUUUCAUCUUGGUGAGAGUGUGUGAUAUCACUUCUUUAUUAUUUUCUCUCAAUUUACCAUUCAUUGGAGUGACUAUUUUUAUUGAGUUUAAUUGCUUUGUGAGAGUGUCACUACUACCGGUGAGAUUUUGGGGUUUGACAUGUCAUUCUUGAAAGUGGCUUGAUUACUAUAGCUAUGACAAAGUCUGCUGGACUGAUGCAUGUGGAUGGUUGAUGUGGGAGUGAUAUUUCUUUAGACUGGAGAUAAUGCUUAUACUUUUAUUUGAUUGGUAUCAUUAGUUUGACUGAAUAAAUACGAUUGUUUUUAUAAAAAAAAUCAUUUUGGGUUUGAAUUUUAUUUUUGCUUAAUUUUCUAGGGACUAGCAAUAAGCUGGUUGGGGGGUGCGUUGAGUGUUAGAAAAUGUAUAUUUAUAAAGGAAAAAAUCAUCAUUUUACACUCCAAGUUUCACUAACAUCCCCACUUUUAUGUAUUUAAGUCUCUUGUGAUUUAAUUAUGUGUGUUGUAUUAUAAUUGUGAGGUACAAUUUUCUCACUUAAAUACAAUAUAUUUUAUUUUAAGCUAACAAGCCCCUAAAGUUUAUAAUAUUUAAUUUUAAGGAAUGAUGACAUAAGCAAUGACAUAAGAAAUGAUGACAUAAACAAUGACAUAAGUGAUGAUGUAAGUAGAAAUAUGUAGAGAAAGUUAAGAAUUCUAGAAUUUAUUUAGUUAUUUAUGAAGGUUAAUCUUAUUUAUGAAGGUUAAUCUCAACCAUUGAUCAAGAGUUAUGGUGGCAAAAUCCUAACCAUCCAUUAGCCUUAAGAAAUUCUAUAAAUACCCCCCACCACCUCUUAUUUUCAAUGCAACCUAGAAAUUUCAUUUCCUUCUACUCUAAGUCAUAAUAAUAAGAGUAGAGGAAUCCUUAACUUAGGAAGAUCUAGAGAAGUCAAGAUCAAGAGGUAAGUAACACUUCAAUUGUAAUGUAAGGACAAAAUUCUUUUCAUAUAUAAGUUCAGUUUUAACAAUUCUUUUAUAUUAUGACGGCUAUUACAGUGUGACUAGUUAUAUCUUUAUAUGGUCGGCCCUGCCGCCUAAUAUGUAAUGUUAUGGUCGGCUCUGCCGCCUAAUAGGUGAGGUUAUGGUCUGUGAUAACUCUAGGAAAUGAGAGUUAUUACAUCAAUUCUAGACUUGAAUCAAGAUCAUUUAGAGAACAAAUAAGGUAUUUUUAUUACAUUUUGAUUACAUUUUGUUUAAACAUUCAUUUUAGUUGAGUAUUAAUAAGUUUUGUUUAAAUCAUCGUAAUUUGUGCUAAAAACAGAUGUAUAAUUGUAGGUUCGUGGAAAGUCUUAAUUCAUAAGGGGAUGUUGAGACAUCAGAUGAGCAAGAUGAGGAAAGAAGAUGGCCACAAAAAGAAGAAAAGCACAAUCGGGAACAAUGCUGUGCUAUUGAGGAUGUUAGAGCAGCCUGUGCUGUAGCAAUCUGGGAGCAAUGCGGGAGAAAACUUAGGCGCGGGUCAACGCAUGUUUAGUAAUUUAACGCAUGCAUGCUAAUGGGCUUGUGUUUACCCUAAUUUGCAAUAUAAAAGGGAGGCAUGCACCACAUAGAAACGCGGCAAGAAAGGGAAUUAUCAUUAGAUUAAUUACAAGGAACGAAGAAGAAGAAUAUCAUAAUUGAAGAUUGUUGUUUCGGCAACAUUGGAGAAUCGUGCAGAAUUACUUGGCCUUGAUUUUCACCGUGCUCAACUUAUAUUUAUCUUUUUCCACUAAUUGAUUUGAUGAAUUCCGAGAUCAAUAUGUUUAUGUUUAUUUUUCUCAUCCAGAUUAUGAACUAAAUUCACUUGUAGUUGAGUGACAAAUAAUCCAAUGGGUUCUUGACUGUUCUUAUAUGUUGUUGUGGUAUUACUGUAGCAUUUUACUCUAAUAGUUUUUAUUAAUAUAACUGCUAUUUCGGUUGACCACCCAUUUAAUAGUUCCAGUUAAGAUAGAGCAGCAAAAGGGCAUGUAUUAGCGGACAUUAUUAGAGUAUUACUUGUUCUUAAAUCGAGUUUUCUAGAUUAUGUUAUCUUGAAUCCCAUAAGGCCAAUACUUGAAGUUAAGAUUUGUGACACUCUAGACAUAGGUGUUCACCUUCUAGGGUAGAGAGAUUAAAGGUUAUAAUGUCGUACCAUAAAUAUAUGAGCAACUGGUCAUUGUUAGUAGAUUUAAGGGUGUGAGAUUUCCAAUAUGCGAUAGCUGCGGAUGCAGAUUUAUGCUACCCAUUGCUGCAGCACUUAUUGUAACAACUGGUGCUCAAUUGAUAAACAACAAUCACCCCAUUAGGAGAGUUUUAUCAUUCAACUACUAUACUCUCAAUUGAAUCUUAGACACAUUUAACUUAGUUUAUUUCGUUACAGUAUUGUUUUAUUCCAUCUCUUGCAAUUAUUAGUUAUAAUAUAAUUAUUUGACAAUUGUUUGUUGCGGUCUUUAGUUGAUUUGCACUAUUAUGAUUUCUUUAGCAUUUUGAGUAACAUCAAUCCCUGUGGAGACGAUCUUGAAUACUUAUCACUUUAUUACUUGUUGUGUAUACUUGCACAUUGGCAUUGAUAAUAAUUGAUUAUAUAAAUCAUCCAACAGUCAGCCAUGCCGCCUAAUAUGUGAUGCUAUGGUCGGCCCUGCCCCCUAAUAUGUGAUGUUAUGGUCGGCCCUGCCCCCUAAUAUGUGAUGCUAUGGUCGGCUCUGCCGCCUAAUAUGUUAUAUUUAUACUUAAUUAUGCUAUGGUCGGCUAUGCCGCCUAUACUAAAGACUCUUUUUUUUUUAAUAAUAUUGUGUGUUGAUUUUGUUAUGCAUUGAGAAAUUUCAAAUGUUAAAAGUUGCAUUGGAUGCAUGCAUAUCAUGGACUACAUUAUGAAGAAGACGUUUCAGAAAAUGAAUUUAUGAAAAAUAGGUGAUUGUACUACCAAGUGGCAAAGUUCUAAGGAGGGCAAUCCCUCAAAGCUAAGUUGAAAGAAAUCUUUGGGGGACGGCGAUACGUAACGCCAAAAAGAUCAACUAAUGAGGCCUAAGGGCAUAUUGUUUAAAGAGUAAACGUGCCAGCCUUGUAGUGCAACAUACCUAGGGUCCAAAUAAAGUUGUUUUGUAUUUUUUAAGUUUAUUUUAAGAUAGGAGAGCAGUCAUAUGCUCCAGAGUAAAAGUCCAACAAAAUUGAAAGAUCCAGGGAGUUUUACAAUACCUUGCUCCAUAGGGACUAGGUAUGCUGGCAGAGUACUUUGUGACUUGGGAGCUAGUAUUAAUUUGAUGCCAUUAUCUGUAUUUAAGCAGCUGGGAGUAGGGGAGUGCAGACCAACAACAGUCACUCUGCAAUUAGUUGACAGAUCUCAUGCAUACCCUGAAGGAAAGAUAGAUGAUGUACUGGUGAAGGUUGACAAAUUCAUCUUUCCAGUGGAUUUCAUUGUAUUGGACUUUGAAGCUGAUAAAGAAGAACCCAUUAUACUUGGAAGACCUUUUCUAGCAACUGGAAAGACUCUGAUAGAUGUGCAGAAAAGAGAGCUUACCAUGAGAGCAAAUGAUCAGUAAGUCACAUUUAAUGUACUAGAGGCUAUGAGGAACCCUGAUAAAGUAGAAGAUUGCAAUUUUCUAAGUGUAAUGGAUCUUGUUGUAGCAGACAGAAUGGAUAGAUGCUGCAGUAAUGUACUUGACAAAGUCACCACCUUUGAGGAUGUUGAAGAGGAAGAUGUUGCAGCAAUCCAAACAGAUUGGGUGGACAAACAGCAAUCUGAUAGGCACCACAAGUUUAUUGAACACCUGAAUCUUUCAGACAGGGAAGUAAAAACAACUUUACCAUCUAUUGAAUCACCUCCUAGUUUUGAAUUAAAACUGUUACCUUCACAUUUAAAGUAUGCUUAUCUUGGUCCAAACAACACACUCCCUAUAAUCAUUUCUUCCACUUUGGAUGUAGGUCAAGAACAGAGCCUAGUAGACUUGCUGGGAAAAUAUAGAAGAGCAAUUGGAUGGACCAUGGCAGAUAUAAAAGGGAUAAGCCCAUCCAUAUGUAUGCAUAAAAUCAUGUUAGAAGAUUGUUCCAGCAAUUCGGUGGAGCACCAGAGAAGGCUGAAUCCUAUUAUGAAAAAAGUGGUAAAGAAGGAAAUCAUCAAAUGGUUGGAUGCUGGAAUCAUAUACCCAAUAUCAGACAGUUCAUGGGUAAGCCCAGUUCAAUGUGUUCCAAAGAAAGGAGGGAUAACAGUAAUGGCCAAUGAGAAGAAUGAACUUAUUCCUACAAGGACAGUAACUGGAUGGAGAGUCUGUAUGGAUUACAGGAAGCUCAACAAAGCCACCAGGAAAGACCAUUUCCCACUUCCAUUCAUAAAUCAGAUGUUGGACAGACUUGCUGGAAAACAGUACUACUGUUUCUUAGAUGGGUAUUCAGGCUACAACCAGAUUGCUAUAGCUCUAGAGGAUCAAGAGAAGACUACAUUUACUUGUCCCUAUGGAACAUUUGCUUUCAGAAGAAUGCCAUUUGGGCUAUGCAAUGCUCCAACAACUUUUCAGAGAUGCAUGAUGUCUAUAUUUUCUGAUAUGGUAGAGCAGACUUUGGAAGUUUCAUGGAUGACUUCUCAGUUUUUGGAAAACCAUACAAUGAUUGUUUACACAACUUGAAAGAAGUUCUUAAAAGAUGUGAGAUGGCCAACUUAGUACUCAACUGGGAAAAAUGUCAUUUCAUAGUGCAAGAAGGAAUAGUGCUGGGUCACAAGAUAUCCAAGGAUGGUAUUGAGGUAGACAAAGCCAAGAUAGAGGUAAUAGAUAAACUGCCACCUCCAACUUUAGUAAAGGGUAUUAGAAGUUUUUUGGGUCAUGCUGGAUUCUACAGAAGAUUUAUUAAGGAUUUUUCCAAAGUAGCUAAACCACUGUGUUCAUUGCUGGAGCAUGACAAACUAUUUCACUUUGACAAAGAUUGCCUUCAAGCAUUUGGAGAAUUAAAGAAAGCUCUUAUCACUGCUCCAGUAGUUACAUCUCCAGACUGGACUUUACCAUUUGAAUUGAUGUAUGAUGCUAGUGAUCACUCUGUGGGAGCAGUAUUAGGGCAAAGGAAGGAUAAAGUUUUUCACUCUGUCUACUAUAUAAGCAAAACUCUUACUCAAACUCAGAUCAAUUAUACCACUACAGAGAAAGAGUUGCUAGCAGUAGUAUUUACUUUUGACAAAUUCAGAGCCUACUUAGUAGGCACUAGAGUGACUGUAUACACAGACCAUGCAGCAAUCAAAUAUUUAAUUUCAAAGAAGGAUGCCAAGCCAAGAUUAAUUAAAUGGAUCUUAUUGCUUCAAGAAUUUGAUCUGGAAAUUAAAGAUAGAAAGGAGACUGAGAAUCAAGUAGCAGAUCACCUGUCACGGCUGGAUGCAGACACAAGCACAUUGACCAGCAAAGACAUCACUGAAACUUUUCCUGAUGAACAACUGUUGGUAGUACAGAAAGCACAAAUGCUGCAGCAGUCAGAAUCUCCAUGGCAUGCAGAUUUUGCUAACUAUUUAGUAAGUGGGUUACUACCACAUGAGCUGAAGUUUCAAGAGAAAAAGAAAUUUCUUCAUGAUGUUAGAAGUUAUCAGUGGGAUGACCCACAUUUGUAUAAGCUGUGCUCAGAUAAAGUAAUAAGAAGAUGUGUUGCAACAGGAGAGAUUCCCUAUAUACUGGAGUCAUGUCAUGCUGUAACAUAUGGAGGAUAUUUUGGUGGUCAUAGAACAGCCGCCAAAGUUCUGCAAUCAGGUUAUUACUGGCCUACUAUUUUUAAAGAUGCUUAUGAAUUUGUUAAAUGUUGUGACAGGUGCCAAAGGACAGGGAACAUGACUAAAAGACAGGAAAUGCCAUUGACUAACAUUCUAGAAGUGGAAGUUUUUGAUGUCUGGAGAAUAGAUUUUAUAGGACCCUUCCCACCAUCCUUUGGAAACUUAUAUAUCCUUGUUGCUGUAGAUUAUGUCUCCAUGUGGGUAGAAGCUGCAGCAUUACCUACUAAUGAUGCUAAAACAGUGGUGGCUUUUCUUCAGAAAAAUAUUUUUUCCAGGUUUGGCACUCCUAGAGCAAUUAUUAGUGAUGAGGGCACACAUUUUUGCAACAAAAUCUUUGCUGCAGCAAUGAUGAAAUAUGGAGUCAGACACAAGAUAGCAACAGCAUAUCACCCACAAUCCAAUGGUCAGGCUGAAGUGUCCAAUAGAGAAAUAAAAAAGAUCUUAGAAAAAGUGGUGAACCCCACAAGGAAGGAUUGGUCUUUACACUUGCAUGACUCUCUAUGGGCCUACAGAACAACAUACAAAACUCAACUUGGCAUGUCUCCUUACCGAAUUGUUUAUGGCAAAGCUUGUCAUUUACCACUAGAGCUAGAGCAUAAAGCACAUUGGGCAUUAAAGAAAUUAAACUGGGAUAUGCAUGCUGCAGCAGAGCAAAGGAAACUUCAACUCUAUGAGCUUAAUGAAUUACGGCUAUUUUCAUAUGAAAAUGCAAGAAUCUAUAAAGAGAGGACCAAACACUGGCACAAUAAGCAUAUUCAGCAUAGGAAAUUCCACUCUGGUCAAUUAGUGUUGCUCCACAAUACAAGACUAAGAUUAUUUCCGAGAAAGCUCAAGUCACAAUGGUUUGGCCCGUUUAAGCUGUUAAAAUCAUAUCCUCUUGGAGCUGUUGAUCUUCUAGAUGAACAAACUGGUCACGAGUUCAAGGUUAAUGGACACAGGGUUAAGCAUUACAUACAUCCAGCAGCAGAAUGUUCAAAGGAGGUGUUACUCCUUAAAGAAACUAGCUAUUAAACAAAGAAGGAAGGUCAGGCUGAAGGACCUUAAAUCAAGCGCUUCAUGGGAGGCAGCCCAUUGAGGAGAUAGCCACUUCAAACCAAUUUUGAUAUCCUUUGGUUUUGUAGACAACUUUCCCUCUUUACCAUCUUAUUUACUUUUUGUUUUCCUAUGAUUAGCCAUUUAUUUUCAUCCUUUUACAUUAUUGCAUUCUUUAUUUUCGUGUUAAUUUGACCUCUUUAUUUCUUUUAAUCGUUUUAGAAUUAAUUUUAGUUUGAAGCAAGUGUGACAAUUGAAUUCCAUAUUGACAAGUGAGAGUGUAUGGUGGCAGAAUUCAGAGGUGAACCACGUGUUAGAAGCUUUAGUAUGGAGUAUGUAUCCGUUAUUAGAACAAGCGCAUGGGUGAUGCAGCAACUAAUUUUACUGUUACAGUAAAUUAAAAGCUGGAGCCUUGCACUUACCGUUGGAGAUAAAAUCGUGACAGAUGGAUGCAUGGAUAUGGAUAGAAAUUGUGGAAACAAAUCUCUGAAAUUAAAGCUUUAAUUUCACUGGCCGAUAAUUUUGGGGAUAUGCACAUUUAAUUCAAAUAUUUUAUUCCUUCAAUUAUCUCUAGUUACCGUAUUUAUCUUCAAAUUAAAGUCCAUUAUAAAAAGGAGUCACUGUGUUUAGUGCUCUACGCCACUACUCCCCAUCUCCUUCGUAAAUUCCAACUCUCCUAAUUCUUCACCUCUCUUUCUCUUUUUACUCUCAGGAACAGUAGCCCCAAUGUGUUACUGCUACAACAAUGCCGAGAUAUAAGAAAACAGCAAGCCGCCUCAAAGAUCCGUCACAAUUCCAGAGUUACCACACCGAAGAAAAAUAUGAAGAAUUCAUAGAGCCGCGUAGGAUUCUGGAAGAAAAAGGGUUUCAAUUUCGAGACCAACUCACGGGAAUUGUGCAAACAAUUCAUAAUGCUAUAGCAAAGCGAGGAUGGUUAAAGUUUUGCAAUCACCCUCGAGAACCUGUGUUGCCUGUAGUCAAAGAAUUUUAUGCCAAUUUGGUAAGCUCUGAUCAGCACAAUAUUUGGGUAAGAAAUACACUUGUCCCAUUAGAUUCCCGUGUUAUCAAUGCUUUUUCUAACUUACCUGCUGAAAUUACUUGUGAAUAUGCUAAGUUGCGUGAUAAGUUAACCCCGAAAAAGUGGAACACCAUUUUCACAACUCUUACAAUCGAAGGGGCGUCAUGGGCUAAUGAGGAAGGGCGUGUAGUUAAUAGGAUAGAUUUGAAACCUAAUGCUAAGGUGUGGGUGAAAUUUCUGAAAUCUAGACUUAUGCCCACCACCCACACUACUACAGUUUCGCAAGAAAGGUUGGUCUUGUUAUAUGUCAUAGUUCGAGGGCUUCCUAUAGAUGUAGGUAGCAUCAUUACGAAAGAAAUCCGAGAUUGUGCAGUCAAAACUCAUCGAACUGCUGCCUUGCUAUUUCCCUCACUCGUCACCAGCAUUUGUGUAGUUUCAGGUGUUCGUCUUGAUGCCAGAGAUGAACAUAUAAAAAAUGAUGGUGCCUUUACAGCACAUACCAUUGAGCGAGUUGCUGGUGAGAGUGCCGGAACAACCACUGAACCAGUUGUUGUCACAGGAGCAAGACGAGCUAUUGGCUUAGAACAGACUAUCCAGGCACUCAGCAACAGUAUAACUCAAUGUGUAGAAGCUCAGCAGAGAGAAAAUGGUCGGUUUUGGAGUUAUCUACAGCACUUGGACAACUAACUACAUCAAUUUGCUCGUACAUUAAAUGCACUCACUAGAAAUUCCCUGAUACACUGUUCCAGCAGUACAAUUUUGACACCAACACCACAGGUGCUCCAGCAGCAGCCAGUGAAGAAGCCACUGCUUCAGAUGAACUAGCAGAGGAAGCUGCCACUGAGCCACAAGCAGCAGUCGACUCAGAAGAGGCUGAACCAUCUGACCCACCUGAGGACGAAGGUGACAAGUCUGAGACUGAUAGCUCACCCUUAGAGGCAGAGGACAAUUCAGAGAAAGAAAGUGAGGAACCACUCAUCCCAGCCCAACCCAAAACCCAAGAAAAACACAUUAUUCAAGAAGAAGAGGAAGAAGACCCUGACGAGGAACCCUCUAUUCCAGUCCUUGCGAGUAAGGGGAAGGACAAGGGUAAAGCAAAAAUGGCAACACCUCCAGACUCUGCAGAUGAAAUUGAGCACGUUGAUGCCGAGCUCGCUGCUGCAGCGGCCAGAGCUAUGCCUACACCUGAGCAAUCCAAGCAACUACUUGCAGUUAUUGCUGCCAUCACAGUUGAGGGCCAGGCAGCUGAUGCAUUAACUAUAAAACCUCCCCAGCAAACUCCUAGCGAGCCUAUUCGUACCAGUCCAAGACAAUCUAGCAAACGAAAAGGCAGUACAUCUACAGGUACUGCUACGGCAACCCAGCCCCAACUUCUCUUGCUAGCCCCGUAGUGAAAAAGACAAAGACAUUGUCAUCUGCUUCCCCAAAAGCUUCACCAAAGGAUAAGCUGCGCAUUGCAUCCAAGAAGCACUGAUAGCAUUCCGUCAUGUGCUGCAAUCCCCACCACAGGGGAGUACUUUUUCCUUACUAGUUUAUUUGUUGUUCUUAAAAAAAAAAAUGAUUCUGUUUUUCAAUUUGUGUGGUAUUUUCUAAGGUCUUCCAUAUCCUUGUCAAUUUGUGUGCAUUUGUCAGUAUGCUUGUGAGGACACAGCAUCUCUCAAGUUUGGGGGGGUUGUUUUCGAAUGCAUGUGUUUAUGUUUGUGUUGUAUGAAGCUCUUCAUCUAAUAUUUGUCUAUGGAUUUGAAAGCCUAAUGAAGAUAAAUUGAGUGUUAAUCAAUAUUUAUGAGAAUGCCAAUAUUUAUGAGAAUGCCAAGUAGAGACAGUUAUAGAUAGAAGUGAAAUUCUGUCCUAACACUUAGACUUUGGUUGACUUGUAUAAGACUGCUAGAGCAGAGCCAAAAGAAUAGAAAAGAUCUUAAGUUUGGGGGGGAGAAGCAAGUUGAUUGACUGUGAUAUCUAUGAAAUAAACUCUGCUCCAAUGGCUCCAGUUGCUGAGUAACCAGAUCUGAGUAUGUACCCCAUAUGCAGAAUUGUGUCAAAGGUAGCGAGAGUUAUGAGCAAUGUUGUAGCAACUAUAAAACAAAAAAAAAGAAAAAGAAAAAAAAGAAGUCCUUUGUCUAAGGCAUUGAGUAGCCAGGUCUGUUCAUAAGCCCCAUGUUCAGCCUUGAGUAAAAGAUACCUCUAGAUAAGAUUAUACAGCAAAUAUUGUUGCAGCAACUCUGAUCUGGGUAUGGUUCGAGUAAUUGGGCGUCAUCAUUACAAGUGACUGACAUUCACAUGAAAGAUAAAUGUUACAAUAAGGAGGUUGAUUACUCUUCAGUUUAUCAAUGUUAAAAGCAUCACAGUUUGAGUAGGUGAAAUUUAUGCUACCCCAUUUAUGAAUGAAGUGUAUCACUGUUGAAAUUCAUGCAGACCUUAAUGAUGUUAUAGCAUAUCUGGAAUUCAAUCAAAGGAAGCACACACACACUAUGGACAGAAAGAAGCUUAAGUCUAGAACUGAUUUACUGCGGUUAUUUUGUAUGAUUAGAAUUGUGAUCUGAGGGUGGAAGAAUCCUUGCAAAUUUGAAAAAAGAGCUAAAGUUGUGUGCAUGAUUGUUUGCGGGAAGUGUUAGUAUGUGUUAUUACUUGAGGGCAAGUAAUAGUUUAAGUUUGGGGGUGUGAUAACUCUAGGAAAUGAGAGUUAUUACAUCAAUUCUAGACUUGAAUCAAGAUCAUUUAAAGAACAAAUAAGGUGUUUUUAUUACAUUUUGCUUAAACAUGCAUUUUAAUUGAGUAUUAAUAAGUUUUGUUUAAAUAAUAGUAAUUUGUGCUAAAAACAUAUGCAUAAUUGUAGGUUCUUGGAAAGUCUUAAUUCAUGAGGGGAUAUUGAGACAUCAGAUGAGCAAGAAGAGGAAAGAAGAUGGCCACAAAAAAAGAAAAGCACAAUCGGGAAUAAUGCAGUGUUGUUAAGGAUGUUAGAGCAACCUGUGCUGUAGCAAUCUGGGAGCAAUGAGGGAGAAAACUUAGGCGCGGGUUGUUGUGCAAAUUUUAAUGUACUCAUAAGCGCACGAAUCUAUUGUAGUAUAGAUCAAUGGUGACGAGUGUCGAUCCCACGAGGAGGUGGAUUUUAAUUAUGUGUAGAAUUAAUUUUGUAAAUGGGUGAUUGGAUUUGUGGUGGAAAUGAUUUGGAAUAUGCUAAAACUUAAAUUAAAAUGGCGAGAAUAAAUUCUGAAAUUGGAAUUGAAAUGGCGAGAAUAAAUUGAAGAGAAUUCUAUUGAAAUGACGUACUUGGGUAUCUGGAUCCGUAUCAACAUGCAUCAUGGGCUAAAUAAUCCUUAUUAAUGCCAAUUAAAUCAUGAGGGGGGAAUCCACACCUCAUGAACCACACUCUAAUCAAUAUGGUGCUAAGGGCUUAUCGUGCCAAAUAAUAAUAACCUUGUACUAGAGAGCCGGUGUAACCAAGGCGGUAUCUAGACAAGAUUAUUAUUAUUUGUCGACGAAAAGUCAAAUCAUCCACAAAAAUUAGAGGGGAAAAGAAAAUAAAUUUACUAAAUAAAGCCCAUGACACAUGUUGAGACUUCACCUUCAACCCAAGCUUGAAAGAAAAUUAGCUACUCAUAAUUGAACAAGGGGUAAAAUGGGAAUUUAUUAAAAUACGUAGAAAAUACAAGAUGGAGAAGGAAUUACAGAAAAUGGAGUCCAAAAAUGGAUUCAGAGGUAUCAAAUUAGGGGGGGAGGCCCCCUUUUUAUAGAUACAUGAAGUAAAUCAUGGCCAUCGGAUUAAAAACAGUUUGGACGCUCAGGAUUGCGCCACGUGAUCAGUCAACAGUACGCGGUUUGACCACGUGGAUGAACAGUAACACGGUUUGACUCGGGUGAACAGUGAUGCGGUUUGGUUGAAAAUAAUCCUGUGUGAUGCAUGUACCGUACGCGAGAUUUUUCGUCCACUGAUAUGCUUACAUGUGAAUAGUGCCAUUUUUCCUUUUAUGCUCCUCCUAAGGUUUUCGACCGUCCUGAGUUGAAAAGUGAUGUCCGUUUUAUCGUCUGAUCUCUCGUUUAUUGUGAAAUGACCAUGAUGCCCCUAAAAUACAUAAAAUACUUAAUUAAAAUCAAACACACAUAAUUAAAUUGCAAGAAGCUUAAAUACAUAAAAGUAAGGGUUGUUAGUAAAACUUGAAAUGUAAAAUGAUGAUUUUCUCCUUUAUAAAUAUACAUUUUCUAACACUCAACACGGGUCAGCGCAUGUUUCCUAAUUUAACGCAUGCAUGCUAAUGGGCUUGUGUUUACCCUAAUUUACAAUAUAAAAGGGAGGCAUGCACAACAUAGAAACGCGGCAAGAAAGAGAAUUAUCAUUAGAUUAAUUACAAGGAACGAAGAAGAAGAAGAUCAGAAUUGAAGAUUGUUGUUUCGGCAACAUUGGAGAAUCGUGCAGAAUUACUUGGCCUUGAUUUUCACCGUGCUCAACUUAUAUUUAUCUUCUUCUACUAAUUGAUUUGAUGUAUUCCGAAAUCAAUAUGUUUAUGUUUAUUUUUCUCAUCUAGAUUAUGAACUAAAUUCACUUGUAGUUGAGUGACAAAUAAUCCAAUGGGUUCUUGACUGUUCUUAUAUGUUGUUUUGGUAUUGCUGUAUCAUUUUACUCGAAUAGUUUUUAUGAAUAUAAUUGUUAUUUCGGUUGACCACCCAUUUAAUAGUUCCAGUUAAGAUAGAGCAGCAAAAGGGCAUGUCUUAGCAUACAUUAUUAGAGUAUUACUUGUUCUUAAAUCAAGUUUCCUAGAUUAUGUUAUCUUGAAUCCCAUAAGGGCAAUACUUGAAGUUAAGAUUUGUGACACUCUAGACAUAGGUGUUCACCUUCUAGGGUAGAGAGAUUAAAGGUUAUAAUGUCGUACCAUAAAUAUAUGAGCAACUGGUCAUUGUUAGUAGAUUUAAGGGUGUGAGAUUUCCAAUAUGCGAUAGCUGCGGAUGCAGAUUUAUGCUACCCAUUGCUGCAGCACUUAUUGUAACAACUGGUGCUCAAUUGAUAAACAACAGUCACCCCAUUAGGAGAGUUUGAUCAUUCAACUACUAUACUCUCAAUUGAAUCUUAGACACAUUUAACUUAGUUUAUUUCGUUGCAGUAUUGUUUUAUUCCAUCUCUUGCAAUUAUUAGUUACAAUAUAAUUAUUUGACAAUUGUUUGUUGCGGUCUUUAGUUGAUUUGCACUAUUGUGAUUGCAUUGGCAUUUUGAGUAACAUCAAUCCCUAUGGAGACGAUCUUAGUUAUGCAUCGAGAAAUUUCAAAUGUUAAAAGUUGCAUUGGAUGCAUGCAUAUCAUGGACUACAUUAUGAAGAAGACGUUUCAGAAAAUGAAUUUAUGGAAAAUAGGUGGUUGUACUACCAAGUGGAAAAGUUUUAAGGAGGGCAAUCCCUCAAAGCUAAGUUGAAAGAAAUCUUUUGGGGACGGCGAUACGUAACGCCAAAAAGAUCAACUAAUGAGGCCUAAGGGCAUAUUGUUUAAAGAGUAAACGUGCCAGCCUUGUAGUGCAACAUACCUAGGGUCCAAAUAAAGUUGUUUUGUAUUUUCUAAGUUUAUUUUAAGACCUUAAUAUGGUCAUCCAUAUGCAUCAUAAUUUAUACAUGCAUCAAAGUAUUAUCUUGCUGGGCAUUAGCUCACUAAGUCCUUACAUUGUAAGAAAUGAAGUUGGCACCAAGUCCUAACCAAGACGAAGUGCAUAUGGGCAUAAUAGACCUUGGGAUUUUAUAAUGGGCUCAACUUUAUUUCAAUAAAAAUAAACAUCUUAGUUUUGUGUAAAAUAAAGUUUUUAUACUAACGAGAAGAAAAAUCAAGAAAAGUAAAAAGAAUUUCUAGGAGCAUAAACCAUGCCCUCAAAAGUAAGGAGAGCAGUCAUGCUCCCCAUAAAUUAUACUCCAAUGGUAAAAAGCAGAAAAACUAAUAGAAUUCCUGAGAAAAAAGAAAAGCAAGAAAAGUAAAAAGAACAAGAGAAAAAAAGAAAAACAACUCUGCUGUACCGUACAUCCGCCUUGGCCGUACAGCAGUUUAGAAUUCGUAUUUAUAUUAAAAGUAACUUUGUUUUUAAGCAUUUUUAAGUAAAUAAUAUAGUAGAGUGUUACAAAUUGGUAUUAGAGCCCAAGGUUUAAAGCGAUUCUAUAGACCGACCAUAUGCACAAGUUAAAGGGGAAGGACAAGGCUCAGUUUUUUAGUUAUAACUUGAAAUUAAGGUAAUUAAGAAAAUCUUACAUUUGAUUUGUCUGACACGUAGAAACUAGAUUAAAAAUUCGUUGAGAUGUCAAGCACUAGGGGUAACAGAGGCAGAAGGGUGGAAGGAACUACAAGGGAGCAAUCUACAAUUGAUCGACUUACAAACAUUGUGGCACGACUCUUAGAAAGAGAAGUUAGAAGGGAUGAACAUGGUCAGGCAAUGAACAACGUUGUAAGCAAAUUUAGAAGAUUAAAUCCACCCACAUUUGAAGGCAGUGUAGAUCCUAUCGCAGCAGACCAAUGGUUGCGAACCAUGGAAAGAAUGAUAGAAGUAGCCAAAGUGCCAGAAGAAGAAAUGGUCACUUGUGUCUCCUUUAUGCUAUGAGGAGCGGCAGAAUACUGGUGGGACUCAAUUAAUUGAAUUCAUAAUGAAGAACAAUGCAAUGGGUGGAAUUUAAAGAACACUUCUAUAACAAAUACGUUUCAGAGACUGUUCGCUCCGCCAAAAGAAGAGAGUUUGUUUUUUUACAACAAGGAAUGAUGUUUGUGCUAGAGUGCAUCCGAAAAUUUGAUGAGCUCUCUUGAUAUGCUCCACAUAUGGUUGGAACGGAAGACUUGAAAAAGGACCACUUUAUGCAAGGAUUGAUCUCGCAAAAGACUUAAAGGUAGCUGGAGUUCGUGAUGCUUUCUUCAACGAUCUCAUUUAUCGAGCCUUGGUAAUUGAGAAAGCAGAUGAAGAAAAGAAGGAAGAAAAUUAAAGAAACAAAGGAAGUGUGGACCAGGGGAACUUUGUAAGACAACACUCAAAUAAUAAUAAGAGAAAGAGAACGCCAGUGGUCCAAGAUCAGAGUAAAAGCAAACGCCCGAAGAAUCAUCAGAAGGAGUGCUACAAAAACCAAAGUGCAAUCAAUGCGGUAGAACUCACCCUGGGGAAUGUUGAGAAAAUACCAGAACAUGUUUCAAAUGUGGAAAGCAAGGACACUUCAUUAGGGACUGCCCGGAAAAUAGUACGCAACAAGAAAAUGUUAAUGCUCGAGUAUUCACACUCACCAAGAUAGAUGCCGAAGGAAACCCCUCAGUAAUAUCAGGUGAACUAUCUAUCUUCAAAACUCCUACAUAUGUGCUAAUAGACUCAGGAGCUACACAUUCAUUUGCCUCAUCAGCAUUCAUUAAGAAAAUCGAAAAUGUCCCUAACAUAAUAAAUAAGCCUUUUAGUAUCAUGGUACCAUCGAGUGAAAUAUUAAACUCGGGACAAUUAGUUAAGGCAUGUGAGGUUAGCAUUAGUGGUAAUACACUAUAUGUUGACCUAAUAAUCAUCGAGAUGCAUGACUAUGACAUAAUUCUUGGCAUGGAUUGGAUAUCGAAGCACUAUGCCAAGAUAGAUUGCAAGAAAAAAGAGGUAACUUUUCGACCACCACAAAAGGAAUCAUUUACAUUUAAAGGAGAAUGCAAAGGGAAUAAAAUGUCUAUCAUUUCUGCAUUAAAAGCAACCAGACUAUUAAAUGGAGGAUGUAAGGGUUACUUGGCAAGUGUGGUCAUCGAAACAGAAGAGCAAAGACCAAAGUUGGAAGAUAUUCCAAUGGUGAACGAAUUUCAUGGGGUCUUUCUUGAAGAACUCACAAGAUUGCCACCGAAUUGAGAAAUUGAAUUCAAAAUCGAUUUGUUACCAGGAACUGCUCCAAUUUCAAAAGCGCCCUAUAGGAUGGCCCCAUCAGAACUAAAUGAGUUAAAGAGUCAAUUGCAAGAAUUACUAGACAAAGGCUACAUAUGCCCAAGCCAUUCACCAUGGGGAGCACUAGUAUUGUUUGUAAAAAAGAAUGAUGGAUCAAUGCGAAUGUGCAUCGACUAUCGAGACGUAAAUAAGGUGACUAUCAAGAACAAGUAUUUGCUUCCACGCAUUGAUGACUUGUUUGAUCAGUUGCAAGGAGCAGCAAUAUUUUCAAAGAUUGAUCUACGAUCAGGAUAUCGCCAGUUGAGAAUCAGAGAUGAAGAUAUUCCUAAAACAGCAUUCAGAACACGUUAUGGACACUAUGAGUUUGUCGUCAUGCCACUUGGUCUAACUAAUGCCCCAACAACCUUCAUGGACCUCAUGAACAGGGUAUUUAAAGACUACCUAGACAAAUUCAUAGUUGUAUUCAUCGAUGAUAUUUUGGUCUACUCACGAUCAAAGGAAGAGCAUACUGAGCACUUAAGGAUUACUCUUCAAACAUUGAAGGAGAAGCAAUUUUAUUCAAAACUCAAGAAAUGUGAGUUUUGGCUUGAGAAAGUAACAUUCUUGGGACACGUCAUGUCUAAGGAUGGAAUUUCAGUAGACCCCUCGAAGGUGGAAGCUGUAAGCCAAUGGUCCAGACCGACUAAUGCCAAAGAAGUCAGAAGCUUCUUGGGUUUAGCUAGAUACUACCGAAGAUUUAUGGAAAGUUUCUCGAAGAUCGUGAUGCCACUGACCCAGUUGACAAAGAAAAUGCUAAAUUUGUAUGGACUCCAGAAUGCGAGAAAAGCUUUGAAGAACUAAAACGAUGACUGAUCACUACUCCAAUCCUAGCCAUUCCUAAUAGCUCUGAGUAAUUUGUCAUCUAUAGCGAUGCCUCCAAAAAUGGCAUAUGAUAUGUCCUCAUGCAAAAUGGGAAAGUCAUUGCAAACGAUUCCAGAUAUGAGAAAAAUUAUCCAACGCAUGAUUUGAAGUUGGCAGCGGUGGUGCACACAUUAAAAAUAUGGCAUCACUAUUUAAUGGGGGUACAUUGUAAGAUUUACACUUAUCAUAAGAGCCUCAAAUACUUCUUUACACAAAAGGAGUAAAAUAUACGACAACGGCGUUGGCUAGAGCUUGUCAAGGACUACAAUUGUGAAAUAAACCAUCAUCCUGGAAAAGCAAAUGUGGUAGCAGAUGCACUAAGUAAAAAGUCAAGCCUAUCAGCUUUAAAGAUUCUACCUAAGCCAUUACAAGAUGACAUAUGCAAGGCAGAGAUUGAGCUAGUAAAAAGAAAAUGAGCCAACAUGACACUUUGUUCAACUUUAUUAGAAAAUAUUAAAGAGGGAUAGAAAAGCAAUUCCCACUUAAAGAACUUGAAGAUAGAAUCCAACUUAAAGGAGAUGUCAUUUAAAAAGUCAGAGAGGGAAAUCAUCUUGUUCAAGGACAGGAUAUGUGUGCCUAACAAUAAAGAUAUAAAGAAAGAAAUUCUACUUGAAGCUCACACAACUCCAUAUUCACUUUACCCUGGCACAACAAAAAUGUACAAAGACUUAAAGAAGCACUAUUGGUGCCCUGGAAUGAAGAAGGAUAUAGUGGAGUUCGUGGCAAAAUGUCUCACUUGUCAACAAAUCAAAGCAGAGCACCAGAGACCAGUAGGACUUUUGCAAUCCAAUCAAAUCCCUCAAUGGAAAUGGGAAGAAAUCACAAUGGACUUCGUCGUUGGUCUUCCAAAAACUACCAAAUGCAUGAUGCCAUUUGGGUCGUCGUCGAUCGACUUACAAAGUCUGCUCACUUUUUGCCUAUUCGAAUGACUUUUUGCCUAUUCGAAUGACAUACACCAUGGACCAGCUUGCAAAAAUAUAUGUAAAGGAGAUAGUAAGACUACAUGGUGUGCCCAUUUCUAUUAUUUCUGACCGAGAUGCAAGGUUUACUUCGACACUCUAGGAAAAGUUACAUAAGGCUAUAAGGACAAGAUUGAAGUUCAGUACAUCAUUUCACCCUCAAACAAACGGCCAAUCAGAAAGAACGAUUCAGACGCUUGAAGAUAUGUUGCGAGGAUGUGCUAUUUACCAUUGGUUGAAUUCAUUUACAACAAUAGUUACCGAGCAACAAUCGACAUGGCACCAUAUGAAGUUCUAUAUGGUAGAAAAUGUAGAUUGCCUAUUCAUUGGGAUGAGAUGGCCGAGCGAAGGCAUCUUGGACCUAAGUUAAUUACUGCCUCAUCUGAAGCGAUCGAGAAAAUACGUCAAAGAAUGUAGGCAGCUCAAAGUCAAUAGAAACGUUUUGCAGAUAAGAGGCAAAGGCCUUUGGAAUUUCAAGUUGGUGACAAAGUAUUUCUAAAAGUUUCCCCAGUAAAAGGAUUGAUGAGAUUUGGGAACAAAGGAAAAUUAAGUCUGAGGUUUAUUGGGCCAUUUGAAAUACUCGAUCGUGUCGGGAAUGUUUCCUACCGACUUGCCCUCCCACCAUCGUUAUCAAGAAUACAUAAUGUCUUUCAUGUCUCCAUGCUAAAGAAAUACAUCCCAGACUCCUCUCAUGUGCUAGAUUAUAAAACUCUUCAACUAGAAGGAGACCUAACCUACGAAGAAUGUCCAAUUUAAAUUCUCGAUAGAAAGAUAAUGGAGUUAAGGAACAAGAAGAUCCCUUUAGUUAAAGUACUAUGACGAAAUAGCUCAAUGGAGGAGGCAACAUGGGAAUGUGAGGAAGAUAUUAAGAAUCAGCAUCUUGAGCUAUUCAGUAAGAAAAUUUCGAGGACGAAAUUUUUUUAAAACAGGGGAGGAAAUUGUGAGGUACAAUUUUCUCACUUCAAUAUAGUAGAUUUUAUUUUAAGCUAACAAGCCCCUAAAGUUUAUAAUAUUUAAUUUCAAGGAAUGAUGACAUAUGCAAUGACAUAAGUGAUGAUGUAAGUAGAAAUAUAUAGAGAAAGUUAAGAAUUCUAGAAUUUAGUAAGUUAUUUAUGAAGGUUAAUCUCAACCAUUGAUCAAGAGUUAUAGUGGCAAAAUCCUAGCCAUCCAUUAGCCUUAAGAAAUUCUAUAAAUAACCCCCCACCACCUCUCAUUUUCAAUGCAACCUCAAAAUUUCAUUUCCUUCUAUUCUAAGUCAUAAUAACAAGAGUAGAGGAAUCAUUAACUUAGAAAGAUCUAGAGAAGUCGAGAUCAACAGGUAAGUAACAUUUCAACUGCAAUGUAAAGACAUUUUUUUUCAUACUUAAGUUCAGUUUUAACAAUUCCUUUAUAUUAUAAUGGCUAUUAUAGUGUGAUUAGUUAUAUCUUUAUAUGGUCGGCCCUGCCGCCUAAUAUGUGAUGCUAUGGUUGGCCCUGCCGCCUAAUGUGUGAUGUUAUGAUCGGCCCUGCCGCCUAACAUGUGAUGUUAUGGUCGGCCCCGUUGCCUAAUAUGUGAUGCUAUGGUCGGCUCUGCCCCCUACUAUGUGAUGCUAUGGUCGGCUCUGCCGCCUAAUAUGUGAUGUUAUGGUCGGCUCUGCGCCCUAAUAUGUGAUGCUAUGGUCGGCUCUGCCGCCUAAUAUGUGAUAUUUAUACUUAAUUAUGCUAUGGUCAGCUAUGCCGCCUAUACUAAAGACUUUUUUUUAAUAAUAUUGUGUGUUGAUUUUAUUAUGCAUCAAGAAAUUUCAAAUGUUAUAAGUUGCAUUGGAUACAUGCAUAUCAUGGACUACAUUAUGAAGAAGACAUUUCAGAAAAUGAAUUUUUGAAAAAUAUAUGGUUGUACUACCAGUUGGCAAAGUUCUAAGGAAGGCAAUCCCUCAAAGCUAAGUUGAAAGAAAUCUUUUGGGGUCAACGAUACGUAACACCCAAAAGAUCAACUAAUGAGGCCCAAGGACAUAUUGUUUAAAGAGUAAAAGUGUCUGCCUUGUAGUGCAACAUACCUAGGGCCCAAAUAAAGUUGUUUUGUAUUUUCGAAGUUUAUUUUAAGACCUUAAUAUAGUCAUCCAUAUGCAUAAUAAUUUAUACAUGCAUCAAAGUGCUAUCUUACUGAGCAUUAGCUCACUAAGUCCUUACAUUGCAGGAAACGAAGCUGGCACCAAGUUCUAACCAAGACGAAGUGCAUAUGGGCAUAAUAGACCUUGGGAUUUUAUAAUGGGCUCAACUUUGUUUAGUACUAAGGAGUUUCUGUAUGACUCUUAAUUUUUGUAAGAAAGUUUUGUUUGUUGUAAACUUUUAGAAUUUGUAUUUAUAUUAAAAGUAACUGUGUUUUUAAGCAUUUUUAAGUAAAUAAUAUAGUGGAGUGUUACAAUAAUUAAGUAUUUUUGUAUUUUAGGGGCAUCAUAGUCAUUUCACAAUGAACGAGAGAUCAAACAGCAAAACGGACAUCACUUUUGAACUUAGGACAGUCAAAAACCUUAGGAGGAGUAUAAAAGGAAAAAUGGCACUGUUCACGUGUACGAUACUGUCCAUGUUACUGUUCACGACACUGUUCACAUAUACGGAACGAUGAUGUGUCAUUGACCGAUGACGUGACAUUGCCUGAUGAGGUGUCACGAUCUUAUUGAACUAAAAUUUUUAUGUACUGUUGAUCAGUGACGUGACAGUAUGUUAGUGGACCGAAAAUCGUGCGUACGGUACAUGCAUAUGCGUGGAAUUAUUUAUAACCAAACCGCAUUACUAUUCAAACCACGUGGUCAAACCACGUACUGUUGACACAUGGCGCUAUCUUGAGCAUCCAAAUUAUUUUUAAUUCAAUGGCCAUUAUUUACUCAGUGUAUCUAUAAAAAGGAGGCUCCCCUUCUAAUUUGAUACCCCUGAAUUCAUUUUUGAGCUCAAUUUUCUGUAAUUCCUACUCCAUCUUGUAUUUUUUACGUAUUUUAAUAAAUUUUUAUUUUACUCCUAGUUUAAUUAUGAGUAGCUAAUUUUCUUUCAAGUUUGGAUUGAAGGUGAAGUCUCAACAUGUGUCAUGGGCUUUAUUUGGUAAAUUUAUUCUCUUCCCCUCUAAUUAAUGUGGAUGUUUUAACUUUUCAUUAAUAGAUAGUAACAAUCUUAUCUAGAUACCGCACUAGUUUAACCGGCUCCCUAGUACAAGGAUAUUACUAUUUGGCACGAUAAGCCCGUAGCACCAUAUUGAUUAGAGUAUGGUUCAUAAGGAGUAGAAACCCCCCUCAUGAUUUAAUUGGCACUAAUAAGGAAUAUUAAGCCCAUGGUGCAUGUUGAUGUAGAUCUAGAUACCCAAGUGCAUCCAUUUUAAUAGAUUUCACUUCAAUUUAUUCCCGCCAUUUUAAUUUAAAUUUUAGGAUAAUUUAAAUCAAUUCCACCAUAAAUCCAGUCAUCCACUUAGAAAAUUAACUCUACACAAAAUUAAAAUCCACCUCCUCGUGGGAUCGACACUCGUCACCAUUAAUCUAUUCUACAAUAGAUUCUUGCACUUGCGAGUUCAAUAAUAUUUGCACAACGGCGGCAACAGACUUUAUAGCAAAAUUCACUAGUAACUUAUUCAAGAAGGCCAAGAUUAGUAAAGCAAUAAUGCCAACCUGGAGAUUAUAUGUGGAUAGAUCAUCAAAUGAACAAAGGAGUGGAGCAUAGUUGAUUUUUGUCACCCUAGAGCAUACAAAGAUCAGUUCUGCCCUUAGGUUUGGGUUCAAGGCCUCCAACAAUGAGGCAGAGUACGAGGCCUUGCUUGCUGGUCUCAUGUUAGCAAAAGAGGUGGGGGCAGAGAAGUUGGAAAGUUUUAGUGAAUCACAAUUAAUUGUGAAUCAAGUCAUAUCCAAGUACCAUGCAAAGGAAAGUAGGAUGUUAGCAAAUCUACAAAAGGUCAAAAAGCUACUAAUGAAUUUUGUAUAAUACACCAUCACUUAGAUUUCAAAGGAAGAAAACAACAAAGCAGAUGCCCUUGCAAGGCUGGCAUCAACCAUAGAUGUAGGUUUAAAUAGAUUAAUCCUUGUUGAGUUUUUACAAAAUUCGAGUAUUAAUCACGAAGAGAAUAAGAAGAUUAAUCUUGUGAAUACAACUGGGAAUUGAAUAGAUCUUAUCAUUAGUUACUUAAGAGAUAAGAAGUUGCCCGAUAAUAAAGAUGAAGCAAGGAAGAUCAGGUUAAAGUCAACACGAUACGUGAUUUUGGGAUAUGUGCUAUACAAGAGAGGAUAUUCACUAGCUUACUUGAGGUGUCUAACAUCUAAUGAAGCAAACUACGUGAUGAGAUAAAUCUAUGGGGUUAUUUGUAGCAACCAUUCGGGUGCAGGGUCAUUGGCCCAUAAAGUCAUUCGCCAAGGGUACUUUUGGCCUACCAUGAUGGAAGAUUCACAGAAAUUUGUGCAAUGGUGUGACAAAUGUCAAAGGUUUUCCAAUGUACCACAUCAACCCCUAGAAUAGCCUACCUCAGUUGCUAGCCCAUGGCUAUUCGCUCAGUGGGGGUAGACAUCAUCGGUCCAAUGCCUACUGGCAAGGGACAAACAAAAUUUGCAGUUGUGGCUGUAGACUAUUUCACAAAGUGGGCAAAAGCAGAACCCUUAGCAUAAAUUACAGAGCAGAAAACUACUGGAUUCAUAUGGAAGUCUAUCAUAUGUCGAUUUGGUAUUCCCUAAGCUAUUGUGAUGGAUAACGGGAAACCGUUUGAUAAUCCCCGUUUCAGGGGGUUAUGUGAAGGCCUUGGGAUUAAAAUUUUUUUCUCUUCCUCGACUCGUCCUCAAGCAAAUGGGCAGGUCGAAGCUAUCAACAAAAUAAUUAAGCAUUACUUAAAGACCAAGCUAGAAAAGCAUAAAAGGGCUUGGACAUGAAUUACCAUUCGUAUUGUGGACUUACAGAACCAUACACCAAGGCAACAGAAGAAACCUCAUACUCCAUUGCAUUUGGGACAGAAGCAGUGGUCCCUGUAGAGAUUGGCAUGCCUUCUUAUAGGGUGUAGUAUUUUCAACCUGAACAAAACUUAGAACAACUGAACCUCAGCCCAGAGCAGCAGUACACAAACAAAGGGUAGCUCCAUACUUCAAUUCAAGGUGAAGCCAAUAAGCUUUGGGUUGGUAAUCUAGUUCUCAUAAAGAUAUUUCAGAGCACAAAAGAGCAAAAUACUGGCGUGCUAGGACCAAAAUGGGAAGGCCCCUAUAGAGUAGUAGAAAUUGUCCGGCCGGGGACUUACAGGCUCGAAGACAUGAAUGGAGUUAUGCUUCCACAUCCUUGGAAUGUAGAACAUUUGAGGAUUUACUAUCAGUAAUGAAGCAACAUUAGUCAGUUUUCUUUUCUAAAAGUUUAGCCAAUUAAUAAGGCUUUCUUAAGCCAUUAGGAAGAUUCUUUUUUACGCUGAUAGAAAGUUAUUACCAACUUGCAUUUGUGACAGUUUAAUAAUAAAGCACAUCAUUAGCUUAUUCUAGAAUUUUAUAUUAUUGUUUAAAAUUUUCUUUUAUUUGAAAGAGAGCAGUUGUGGUGCAAAACUGUAAGAAAUCAACAAAUAUGUGCAUAAAAGGUGAAAGGUCAUGCUCUUUUAAGAGCAAAAAGUAUGCUUCCAAUAGUAAAUGGGGAGCAUCAGUUAUGCUUCCCGGGAAGCAGAAAUCAUGCUUCCAAGAGAGAAAGAGGAGGAAAAAUUAAUAAGUAUUCCUGCCCUCUUGGGAAAAAGAAAAAUCAAGAAAAGUAAAAAGAAUUUCUAGGAGCAUAAACCAUGCCCUCAAAAGUAAGGAGAGCAGUCAUGCUCCCCAUAAAUUAUACUCCAAUGGUAAAAAGCAGAAAAACUAAUAGAAUUCCUGAGAAAAAAGAAAAGCAAGAAAAGUAAAAAGAACAAGAGAAAAAAAGAAAAACAACUAAAAACCUUGGGUGAUAAUAGAAAAUGCAGCAUCUCAGAUAUAAUUGAUAACGAGCAUCAUCAGUCUUCUAGAAAAUGGUAAUUAAGUUGAAGGUAGCGGCUCUCAAUCAUAGCCUUAGCCUUGGCAUCACCUUUUAGAAAUUCUUCAUCAAAGAUAUUCUUAAAAUCAGUAGAAGCUUUGAACUCUUCAACAGCUAAAGUUUUCAUACUUGGAAUUUGGAGGUUCAAUUGGUCAAGAGAGUUGAACAAUUCUUGAACUUGGGACUGGAACUGAGCUAAUUCUUCCUUUGCAGCAUUAAGUUCCAACUUCAAUUAGGCCACAAGAGCUUUCUCUUCGCUUAGACACUUCUCCAGCUCAUCAAUCUUUUUUUCUAGAAGCUUAGCCCGAUUCAAGUAAAGCAUUCAUCUCCAGCAUCAGGGACUUUAUCUUUUUUUUUUUUUUAUUUGAACAACACAACCAAGCUACAAGAAAAUGAACACAGUUGGGAUCCAACUUCAUAUUGGUAAUGGUAACAUAAAAGCAAUAUUACAAAAGCGAUAUUAUUACUACUACCUGAGAAACGUUAGCAAGCAUGGCUUCAAUAAGACCAGAGUUCUCCAUUUGCCUCAUAUUAUCAGCAAAGACAUAUUGAGGCCAAGAUUGAGCAAAAGAACUUAGAUGUGCUUGAGAAAGAUCUUCCCAAGUGACAUUAAAGUCCAUUAAAGAUUAAUGGCCCUAAAACAUGACAAAGGUCCAAAGAUUACCAGUCAUGAGAAAGUAUUGACACAUAUGAAUAUGUGUCUCCAUGCAUGGGCUUUAGCUGACACUUGUCACAAGAAAAGUGUCACCUAACCUCUCCAAUUGACUCUAAGGUUGCCUAUAUAAAGGCCAAAGCCCCCCAUUUAAAGGUAAGAGAAAAGAAAAAAAAAGCAUAAAAUAAGUAAAAAACUCUGCCCAUCUCAUCUAGAAUUUCUCUCUCUAAAAAUUGAGUAAAAAUAAUUGACUUGAGCGUCAGAGGGUUAUCGUCAGCUUGCCGGCACCCUUUCAUAAUUGUUUCUUUUUGUGAAACAAUUAAUCACAAGAAGACAUGUGAUUUGAGACAUUCGCUUUAAGGAAAAAAUAAGCCACAGAACUCGAUUUAGAAGAAAGUCCAAAACACAAAUCAAUCAUUGUACAUUGAGCAAAAAUUUGCAUUAACAAAUAUGAAGAAAGAAAUUAAGAAAACGUACUUGCUUACAGUCACAAAUAUAAAGAUAAAAAUUGUAGAGAUUACCAUAAAGAAAAUUGUAAAUUUGUUUUCAUACAAAAGACAAUUUAGUAUAACAAAUUCUACAGAUAUGAAUAUAUUUUUAUAUGCACACAAAAAUUUAUCUGCUCUUUCUGUCUGAAAAAACGUUUAAUAAGUUCUAAACAUUAAAAUGUGGAAUCAUGUGAUUGGACAUACUCAAAAUGUGGCCUGUUUAUUAAUUAUAACACUACAUACAUACGAUAUAGCCUUCAUUUUUACACUUAAAAUUUCCAAAAAAAUAAAUUUAACUUCAAUUAAAUUGCACUAAAGAUAGAAAGUUAAAAGCCCAAUUCAUUAUUAAACAUGGAAUUACUUUGUAUUAUUUAGUUCACAUUUUGUUAGAAUCUUCCAACCGUUGCUUUAAAGAUAAUAAAUAUAAUGUCAAUGUAUGAAAACUUAGUAAUUCAUGCAAUACAAAUUUAGAAUCAUUAUUUUGGACUUGCAUGCAACAUUUACUAUAUCGUUCUAGCAAAAUAAUUUCCUUUUGUACAAAUAAAAUUGAACAUUGACAUUGAAAUGCUUUAUAGAAAAUGCAUUUAUAAAAAAAUUUAUAAAGCAUUUUUUUCAUUCACCAGUAUUAACUACAAAUAUUUAUUUUAUUUUAAACUACCAAAAAGAGGGGUUAGGCUAGAUCCAUACAUGUCAUGUAAAUCUGAUAAAAUUAAAAUACAUAUAGAAGGGGCCAUAGACCAAAACCUCACUAUAAGAAAACAGGCAAUAGAUGACGGACAAUUUAUGACAGAUUAUAGGUAUAUCAUAAAAUUACGACAAAAUUGUGAUAGAAUUUUUAAUCUAUCAUAGAUUUAUGAUGGGUUUGUGAUAGAAAUAUUUACUAUCAUGAAUUUAUGAUGGUUUUAUGAUAGAAUUAUCAUCACCAUCAUUGCAAAAUAAAACAUCCCAAAUAAGAAAAAAAACCAUACUGCUGUACGGCCAAGGCGGAUGUACGCCACAUUUGACCCAAAUUUGAUGUAUUAUUUUAUUUAAAAAACAAAAGAUGUGUUUUACUAAUUAAAAACAAAUGCCACCAAAACGCUACCAUUUUAAGUACUUGAGCUUUCUUUCUUUUUUCUAAGUGUUUAACAUUCACAUUACUGAUGAGAAAUCCAAAUCCCUAAGUACUGUUUCUUUUGUUCCAUCGUGCCGUUCACAAACCCUUUUCUGAAACCCCUGAUUCUUGCCGCUCUUCUACCAUUCACACAUUGUCAUUGCCUUUAUACAAAAUUUAGCCUCCCCCAUUUAAGCCAUCAACCUCUUCAGUUUCGCUUUGGCUCCUAAUACCGUCAAUUUUUUUCACUUUGUUUCAAAUUUUCGUAAUUAAAUAAUUGUCUCUUCAUUUUGAAACCAUACGUCAAUGCCUUCGCAGCAUAAAGAGCACCAGCCAAGCAAACAAAAUUCAGCCAGUUCUUAAGGUAACCCUAACCCUCAUUUGGGGAAUCUUUGGUAUUAUUUGUCUUGGAUAUUGGAGGAUAGAUAGAUCCAUGUGGGUAAAAUUGAAGCUGUGUGUUCUUCUAAUAUUUUUUAUUAACGGUAUUAUCUAUCUUGCAGCGUGAAUCUUUCGUUAAACACAUUGUUUUGAUUCUCUUUGCCUUAUCCUCUUUAUAUAAAUAUAUGCAAAGACUUGACUAUGUUGUAAAUGUUUCUAUCAGAUGCACUUUGGUUUCUUCACUUAAUUCUUUGUUCAACGAUCUAGUUUUAUCACGCUUUACAAGGUAGGUAACAUUUUUUCUUGUUACUGUAUAUACCCCACAUGCUUAUGUGAUUGCUCUUUGUAAUAAGUUUGUUUAUUUCUUCAGUAUUUUAUGCCAAAUGCUUUGUUGUUGGGUUUAAAUUAUUAACUGUUUCAUUUAUAUUUGUUUAAUAACAAUUUGUAUCUAUUUUGAUGGCAUUUUGUUGUUUUUGGAAAUUAUGUUAAUAGUGUGGGUACAAUUCUGGAUCAAACUUAGAUAAAUGUUUGUGCACUGAAUGUGACUUGCUUGGAACAUAAAUAGUUUUUUAGGGAUUCACUGUAUAUAGGCGAGAAACCAGUGACAUAUAUUCUGAUGGUCAACCCGAAUGGGGUCUAUGUCAGUUUGCACUACUGGUGUAAAAAGUCACGUACAAGUGUUCCCCUAACAUAACCUAGUCAUCCGUUUAGCAUAAGGCACCCAUACACAAUACCAGCUAAGGCUUACCUCACACAACAACAAUUAUUCCAGAAACAUGGUACGCUCACUCAAAUGGGCUUUAUUUAACUCAACCUUAGUGUAUAAUUUAUUUCCAUAUCAAAAUUUGAAGCCAUUUAGACAACUCUACAAUAGGGUCUCACGAGAUUAAACUAAACCAAUCAAAAUUGCCUUUUAAUUUACAUAGAAAUAGCUGAGAUUUAGUGAUUUAUUAAAAUUAAAAUACUCAAUAUAUUGGGAUAAAACUUUCUAGAACAUAUAUAGAUCUAUGAUUAAAUAACAUAUUAAAUUCCGAUAUCAUUGAGCUAGUGUUUCAUAAGAUCAAAUGUAAGAGAACACCUCUGUUAAAGGGGCUUCCAGAUUUUUUUUAUCAAUUAUAUUUGUUGUUCCUCACUCACAGAUCAGGAGGUUUAAUAAAUACCUAUAUGGAGUUUGUUUCUAGUGGGAAUGCCCUUAUUUUUUACUUUCUUCAUGCGGAGAAGCUUUCAAAUCCCACGGUUUAAGAGCGUGUGUGUAUAUAUAUAUAUAUAUAUAUAUAUAAUUUAUAUAUAACUUUAUGAUGAGAAAUAUGCAUCAUAAAGUCUGUCAUAAAAAAUUUCCUGCGAAAAUUAAUAAUAAAUAUAAAAAUUGACAAUUUAAUUUUCCGCUAAAAAAUUAAAAAAAAUGGUGUAAAAAUUUAAAUUAGUUUAAAUUUAAAUUUAAUUAUUUUUUUCAUAUUAAAAUAUUGUGUGACAGAUAUAUGAUUGUAAAAUGCCAUCAUGAAUUCAUGACGGAAAAUAAUUUGUCAUAUAUUAAUGACAAUGACAUAGAUGACGGAUGAAAUGUCUGUCAUAAACAUCCUUGAUUAGUUUAGUCACAUUUUGAAACAAUAAAACUUUCCAUAAUAGUCCAACCACUACAAGAAAAUAGACAAUAGAUGAUGGAAAAUAACUGUCAUAAAAGGAGGUUUAUGACAGUUAUUUUCCGUCAUCUAUUGUCUAUUUUCUUGUAGUGGUUGGACUAUUAUGGAAAGUUUUAUUGUUUCAAAAUGUGACUAAACUAAUCAAGGAUGUUUAUGACAGACAUUUCAUCCGUCAUCUAUGUCAUUGUCAUUAAUAUAUGACAAAUUAUUUUCCGUCAUGAAUUCAUGAUGGCAUUUUACAAUCAUAUAUCUGUCACACAAUAUUUUAAUAUGAAAAAAAUAAUUAAAUUUAAAUUUAAACUAAUUUAAAUUUUUACACCAUUUUUUUUAAUUUUUUAGCGGAAAAUUAAAUUGUCAAUUUUUAUAUUUAUUAUUAAUUUUCGCAGGAAAUUUUUUAUGACAGACUUUAUGAUGCAUAUUUCUCAUCAUAAAGUUAUAUUUAAAUUAUACUGCUGUACCGUACAUCCGCCUUGGCCGUACAGCAGCNNNNNNNNNNNNNNNNNNNNNNNNNNNNNNNNNNNNNNNNNNNNNNNNNNNNNNNNNNNNNNNNNNNNNNNNNNNNNNNNNNNNNNNNNNNNNNNNNNNNNNNNNNNNNNNNNNNNNNNNNNNNNNACAGCAGAUACACACAUGAUUAUAAUUUAUUUUUGAAUUCUUGUUUACAAAUUUAAUUAAUUAAUAAAAAUGAAUAUCAUAAAAAAAAAGUAAAAACAAUUAAUACAACAUCCGUUCAAUCCAACAAAUUAAUUUUAAAAUAAAUACAUCUAAUAUCAAAUUUCAUCACCAUCAUUGCAAAAUAAAACAUCCCAAAUAAGAAAAAAAACCAUACCAAAAUAUAAACUCAUAGUUAAAUUCCAAUUAAACACCAAGAAAAACAAUUCAAACUCCAUCCACCAAGCCAAGUUGCCCAACAAAACUUCUAGCACCAAUAUCAUCUUCCAAUAGCACUCUAAUACCAGCAUCAAAUAAGGUAAAAGUCACAGAUGAUACUUGUAUAAGCAAAACCAUCCACAUUAAUAAAGAGUACAUAUCGCCUUUUCUGUUGCUGUAAAAGAGUCGCAUUAUGGUCUGUCAGCUUAGUAAUAAUGGAGAAGUAAUUCCAGCAUAUUAUUUCUAUCCAGCAGGGCCCAAAUCCUCAUCUUUAGGGGCUAAGAUAUCGAAUGAGAUAAUAAAUAAGUAAAAGGGAAAUCUGAGGGAUAGUGAAACAAAAGUAAACCCAAAACUAUAAGGAUAAAGAACAUUUUUUCCCACUACUAAGAGUAGUAUAAGAUGUAAUUGCAAUUGUUGCUGCAAGGAUUAUUUGUCUUUCAGAUUGUGCAAGUGACGCUUCAUCCCUUUCCUUUUUAAGUCUAGCAAUUACAUGACAAGCUGCAUCAUGUUGAGGACAAAUCAAUACAAUCAAACAGAUGAUAUGUAUCAUAUACACUAAAUGCCGAAUAUAAAGAGAUAAUUUGUGAAUUAACUUUAACAGGCAUAACCUCAAGUGCUAUUACCUGGUACAAUGCAUGGCUUAUCUCUUGCCUUGCUAUAUGAUGUUGUUACUCCAAAGCAAAAUUAGAUAGCAUCAAACCAUCCCAUUCCUACAAUUAGACAAACAAUGUAACUGCUAGGAAAUAUAAUCUACAAUUAGACAAACAAUGUAACUGCUUCAAACCAUCCCAUUCCUACAAUUAGACAAACAAUGUAACUGCUAGGAAAUAUAAUAAAGAAUCACAUAUUAAAAUGUAAAAUUCAGUAUCAAUUAAAAUUGUGAAUUUGAAGAAGUGUCACUAAGAAAUCAGCAAUAUUACAGUUAGAAAAAAUGAUAAAAGACAUUAAAUUAUGUUUACACGAUUAUCAUUAUUUAUAAAAGAAGUAUUCACUUUUCAAAUGAAAAAAAUUAAAAGAGCACAGAACAAGGGAUCUCAAAACAAAAAUCUUAUAAUAGCUCUAUCUUGCAAAAUAUACUGGAUAAAUCUAGCAUAAGAAUAGUUGGCAAGAAAACUCUAAAACAAAAUAUCCAUGUUCUACAUUCUAAAUUAUUAUAGAAUAAAGAGACCUAAUGAACACAAAAACAAUAUGAUAUUAUGAAUGAAAAACAUGGGCUAAAAUCUGGAAAACAUGUUUCAUGCAAAGAAAAAGAUCACCAUAAAAAUAAGAGGUUAUUACAUGCUGAUUGAAUUGGAAUAUAAUCUAAGCUUUCACUUGGCAAGAAAUUGGUAAUGUGCUAAAGCACAAGUUCAUGAAAAAACAUAUGAAGUCAAAAGUCAAAUUCUUUUUAAGUACUAACAAAUUAAAAACUCCUUCCAAACAAACUUAAACAUUUAACACAGCAGACACAAGGCAAUAAAUCAUAAUCACAUACAUUUUGGAACAUUACAAGCAUCCCAUGAAUGCUAGCAGACAUCAAUGGUCUGCGCUUCUUAAACUUCAUGGCAACCCAUUUAGCAAAAGACAAAAAUUAUCAUGCAAGAUUACAUUAAAUAAUGAUGACGAAAACUUCCAACAAACCAAGAAAAGCAACCAUCAUAAAUUUCUAUAACCAUUUUCUCCUAAAUUAUGUAGAGAAAAAUAGUAAUUUAACUAUAAAAAUUUCUAAGACACAUUUAAUCAAAUACCUUCUCCCGUAUUAUAUAGAUAAAAAUAAAAUGUUAACUAUAUGAAUCUCUAAUAGACAUUUAAUCAAGCUCCUUACAUGUGCAAAAAUCUUUCAAAAUUGUAAACCAAUUAUACAUGUUAAAUCUUCAAUUGACAUUCAAAUUUUCCCAAAUCAUGAUUUCUUAGACAAGAACGAGUAAAAUUUACAAGAUAAUUGAACAUGACAAUUUCAAGAAAAAGCCAAACCCUAACCAUCACAACAACCACGAGCCACCAUUACCUUACCCCUCCACAACAAAUCCAAUACCAUGCAAAUCAAACCCAAUCAAUUUUUGCACCAAAAUCCCAUUAAUUUUACUAUUUAGAAAAAUAAACCCACAAGUUUUAAUACAUACCUGAUGUCAAUUUUAAUUUUACAAAAAUCAGCAACCUUACUUGGAUAUGGAUUGAUUCAUUGAGGAAAAAAAUUAAAAAAACCAAUUGUUUCUCACAGUGGAGGUAGAUCUGCUUGUGGAGAUGACGAAAAGAUGAAAAAACUGAAAAACAAUGUGAAACGAGAGAGCAAACAAGUGUUACAGCUUGAAUGGAGGAAGAAUGGUGGCAUUUUGAAUGACAAAAUAGUGGAGUUUUUAUGAUUUAUUCAGAUUGAAAUUUUAAUUCUAGGGUUUCAAAUGAUGAAAGAGAGAGGCAAAAUGGAGAACGUCCAACACUUAGACAAAAUUUGUGUGUUUUAAGCAAUCCUAUGGUAAAUUGUAGCCUUUUAUUCUUUUUGUUUUUAUUUUUUAAUUUUUAAAAAGGUGUUGUUUGAUUUUUUAAAUAAAAUAAUACAUUAAAAUUUGGUCAAACACAAUCAAAAUCAUAAUUCUAUCACAAUUUCUUGAUGUAGCAAAUUUCUAUCACAAUUCUAUCAUCAAUUCUUGAUAAAUAAUAAUUAUUUCACAAAAUCAUCGCUAAUGCAUGAUAGAACUAUAUUCUGUCACAAGUCCGUCAUGCUUUUAUGAUAUAUACGAUUUUACCCUGAAUCUGUCACAAGUUGUCUGUCAUCUAUUGUCAGUUUUCUUGUAGUGAACAAUUCUCAAAUUUUUUGGAGAAUCCAUAAUUAUCAUUCUGUCACUUCUAUAAUUAAUUUUCCAGCAACUUAAACAUCACCAAACCACAUGCUUAAAGCAAUAUUAGACAUGUAAAACAAACAACAACCUUGCUUUUGAGUUUUGAAACAAAAAACAUCACCAAAUCAUAUAACUUGAGAUAAUUAGAUCACUCUUAAGACUUUGACCAUGUUUGCAUUGGCAAAGAAUAUUAGUAGAACAAUUUUUUUCUUUUAAUAAUAUAAUGUUAUAAAUCUCAAAUAGUCUAUGUGUUCUUUGUUGGACCAAACAUGUGAUCAUGAUAUUUUUUGAACUUAAGUCUUAUUCAUAUCAGAACAACAUUUAGAUAAGCAUGUGCCAAGAAAAAUUCAGUUUAUGUAUUCUUCCAUAUGUUUUUCAUUUUUUUUUGGAUGUUUUUCAUCUUCAUUUGUUUAUGUUGCAGCAAAGGUAUUUAAGUCAUUGUUAAUUUGUACCUUGCAUAAAUGUAUUGGUAAUAUAUUCUGAUUUUUUAUUUAUAUUCUACCACCUUAAUGUGUCAGGAUCAGAUAUAAUUGAAACUAAAAAUGGAUAAGUCAUGGAUGCAUUGUAGUAAAAUGGCAAAAGAGUAUGAAGAUAGGGUUGAAACAUUUAUGAGGUUUGCUAUUACUAAUGCCGAAGGCAGUAGCGUCAUUAGAUGUCCAUGUACUAAAUGUAUGAAUAUAUCCUUUCAUACACAGAAGUGAAAUGAAAAUUAUGCAACCCAAAAGGGGGUGAAUUGGGAUUUUAAAUCUUGUGCUAAACAAUUCGCACAACAAUUUAAUCUAUUGCCUUAAUUAAAUAAAAAAUAAUAAAUUCAAUAAUGCACAAUAAUAAAAGAAUAAGGGAAGAGAAAGAAAACACAACAAUUUUUAUGUGGUUCGGCAAUCCCCGCCUACGUCCAUGCCUCCAAGCCAACCAAGCUUGAGGAUUUCACUAUCCAAGCCUCCCAAGGCUUCAAGUUCUUACAAUUGACUUCCAAGAUGUCAAUGAACUUUUACAAUCAAGAAAUUAUCUCCUCAAUCUCUUCACCCCAAGUGUUUCUCACACUUGUACACUCACAAUUUGAUGAGAAAUGAAAAUUACAACAAAAACUCUAUUUAAGAGUAGAUAUGCAAAUGAUAGCAUAAUAAUGAUUCAAUAAAUGAUGAUUUGUGAAAUAGAAGCUCAAUAUGUGUUAUAUGAUCUUAUUUAUGCUUGCAUAGACUUUUAAUUGAAGUUGGAGUUGGGUUUUUAUAGCUAAAGUCUAAAACCUAGCUGUUAUAGGUAAAUUUCCGCACCCAAGCAGUUAGCCACUUAAUUUGGCUAGCUAGCCGCUCCAGUAUAGUAAAUUAACUGUUAAAUUUGAAUUUGCUAUAGUAACACUAUUCAUAAAAUUAUAUUUUGCCCAAAACUUUUUAUAAUUAUACUAUGGCCAAAAACGUCAUGAAAUUUUGCAAACAUGUCCAAAUUUAGAAUUUCUAAAUAAUACUUGUCAUUCCCCAAACUUUUUGAAAUUAUGCUAUAGCCCAUCAUAUAAUAAUAUUUUUCAAAGACGUCCUUUUCAAAAUUUAACAAAAUAUUCAUAAAUAUCAAAGUUCUCAAAUCCUUUCAAUUUAAUCCAAAAUUUGAAAAUAUGAGAUUUUCCUCAGGUGGCUAGCCGCUAGCCCUUAGGCGCCGCUCAUUCUCUGUCCAAUUUUGGAUUUCAAGUGUUUGGAUUACAGUCGAGUCCUCAAACUUGCAUAAAUUAUAGUAUGGCUCAAAAUGUUUCAAAUGUUUGCAAAUAGGUCCAACUCUAGAAUUUAAAAUAAUACUUAUUAAAUUCAAAGAUUGUAAAACUUUUCAUUUUAGUCCAAAUUACUCAAAUCCACAAAAUAUUUUACCUUAUAAAUAUAAAACCUUUUAAUUUAUGAAAAGUAAUUAUUUAAAUAAACUCUUGAGCUUUUCAAAUGUUAAAUCAUACAUCAAUUAAAUCUUACUGGCUUUACAAGAAUUUGUCGUAAUAAUAUGUCCGUUGAGCUCUAAACUUUAUUCUUGAUUUCGCCAUUGUCCGUUGAGUGUCUUGAAUUUCAUUUCACUUGCAUAAAUAUUAUCCUUCCAAAACUAGUGAAAAUGUGAAAUGCAAUAUUUAUUAAAUUACUUAAGAUACAUGUUUGUUAUCAUCAAAAUUACAUUAUGUGUAGCCCUUUAGGCUAACAAUAAGGUUAUUCACGAACAUCUGUAUUUUCAUGGCUUUGAUGUUUCUUACACAACCUGGAGUUAGUAUAGGUAAGAUGUCCAUGACACACCACUUCCUAAUGUAGAAGUAAAUGUUCUGUUUAAGUUUAUGGACUAUGAUAAUGGUAACACAGUAGAUAUGGUUAACGAUGCUUAUAAGGAUUGUGUUGUAGAUCCUAAAGCAUUUAAAGAACUUCUAGAACAGGCUGAGAAGCCUUUAUACCCAGGAUGCAUAAAUUUCACUAAGUUAGGCACUUUGGUUAGCUUGUUCAAUAUAAAAGGUAAAUUUGGGUGGUCUAACACAAGUUUUACCGAGUUGUUAGGUCUUCUAGCCAAGUUGCUGCCUGAAAGUAAUGAAAUUCCUAUGUCUAUAUAUGAGGUAAAAAGACAAUGUCCGUUUUAGGCUUAGAAUAUGUGAAAAUACAUGCUUGCCCAAAUGACUGCAUACUCUAUAGAAAUGAGUAUGAAGGCCUCUUUGAAUGUCCUAGUUGCGGUUUAUCUAGAUGGAAAAAAAAAAGGAUGGUAGUGCUUACCAGUAUAGGAAAGGGGUUCCUGCGAAGCUUUUAUGGUAUUUUCCACCUACACCUAAAUUAAGCGCAUGUUUCAGUCCUCACAAACUGCCAAAGACUUGACUUGCCAUGCAAAUGAGAGAGUCGAUAAUGGUAAGCUCCGACAUCCGAUAGACUCACCAUCAUUGAAAUUAGUAAAUAACAAAUGGCUAACUUUUGCAUUAGAUCCUAGAAAUCUUCGCCUUGCCUUAUCAGCUGAUGGAAUAAAUCCACAUAGCUCUCUUAGUAAUACAUAUAGUUGCUGACUAGUUAUUCUAGUAACGUAUAAUCUUCCCUCAUAGUUGUGUAUAAAACAGAAAUUCAUGAUGUUAUCCCUACUAAUUUCUGGUCCUCAACAACUAGGCAAUGACAUUGAUGUGUACUUGGCUCCUUUGAUAGAAGGUUUGCAAACUUUGUGGGAAGUUGGGGUAGAGGGUUAUGAUGCCUAUAGAAAGGAGUUUUUUAAUAUGUUGGCUAUGUUAUUAUGGACUAUAAAUGACAUUUCGGCAUACGAAAAUCUAACUGGUUGCACUGUUAAAGGAUAUAAUGCUUGUCCAUAUUGUGGUGUAGACACUACUAAAUGUAGACUCAAACACAGUGGAAAAAAUGCAUAUAUCGGUCACCGUCGUUGGCUUUCUUAUGAUCACGAAUUUCGUGACCAAUAUAAAGCUUUUGACAACACAAUAAAGAGAGAGUUUGCUCCGAAACCGUUGAAUGGUGAGGGUGUUUUACGGCUGGUUGAUUCUAUUGAUUAUAAAUGGGGGAAGAACAAGCCAUUAAAACAUAAAAGUUCCAACAAUGAUGACCACAUAUGGUGGAAAAAAAAAUAUAUUCUAUAAUUUAGAGUAUUGGAAGCAUUUACUUGUGCGUCAUCAAUUAGAUGUUAUGCACAUUGAAAGAAUGUGUGCGAGAGCAUUUAUGGAACACUACUUCACAUUCCAGGAAAAACCAAAGAUGGUUUUAAGUCAAGGAAUGCUCUUGUGGACAUGAAAAUCAGGGAUGAACUAGCACCAACUUCAAAAAAAAAAAAAAACAAGUGCAUCUUCCUUCCUGCAGCUUGUUACACAUUAACUAGAGAUGAAAAGACAAGAUUCUGCAAAGCUUUGAAAAGUAUUAAAGUUCCUGCUGGAUAUUCCUCAAACAUUAGAAAUCUUGUGUCAAUGAAGAACCUUAAACUUCUAGGCCUUAAGUCAUAUGACUGCCUUGCUCUUAUGCAACAACUUCUCUCUAUUGCCAUUAGGUGUGUCUUGCCAAAGCAUGUGAAAGGAGCUUUAAUCAGGCUGUGCUGUUUCUUCAAUUUGUUGUGUUCCAAUGUGGUUGAUGUGACAACAUUGAAUAAAUUACAGGCAGACCAUGUGGUGACUUUAUGCUUGUUAGAAAAAUAUUUUCCUCCAUCUUUCUUUGACAUUAUGGUAUACUUGACUAUGCAUUUAGUCAAUAAAGUUAGAUUAUGUGGUCCGGUUUAUCUUCGGUGGAUGUAUCCCUUCGAGAGAUACAUGAAAACUCUUAAAAGUUAUGUUUGAAACCGCAACCGUCCUAAGGGUUGUAUAGCGGAGAGUUAUAUUACGGAAGAAGCAUUAUAAUUUUGUGCAGAAUACAUGUUAAACAUGAGUACAGUUGGGGUUCCACCUGGACAUGUGCAAAAGCUAUCAAAAGAUAAGCCACUGUGUGGUGGGAAAGUGGUGCAAAUUCUUGCAAAUUUGCUAGAUCAAGCACACUUGUACAUCUUGCAUAACACACAAGAAGUGGUAUCAUACAUUACGUAAUUUGAAUUAGCAUGAGAAAGCUGUCAUGGUUGGCUAUGUAUGGAGAUAAGUGUAUGGCCAAUAUGGAAUUCAUCACUUUGUAAUAUACAAAAAGGAUGUCUCUGUGAGAUAAUAUGAAUUGGCAUGAGAAAUCCUUGGCCAAGGUAAAAUAUGUUUGAAGGAGUUCAAAUUAUAUUUUCAUGCCAAGUUCAUUUAGAUUUAUUUUGAGAUAAAGUAUAAAUGCUUAACACACUAAAUCAUUAGCCGUGCUUUUCUCUGGACAUGGAUGAUGAAGAGACUAAAACAUAGAGAUACAAUGGAAUAGGUUCUAUAGAUCCAAUAAUUCUUGUUAUUUGGGUGGUUGUGAAAUACUGCUAGGUGUCACUCAUGACUUGUAGAAACAUUAAGAUCAUUAUUGGUAAAGCGUAUUACCAAUGUAUCUUAAGGUCAUUAGAAAAGUUCUAAUUGAUGACUAAAAAGUUUAGCAUCAUUUAAUGAAUAAAGAGUUAUCAUUAAAAUAGUUCUACUACCUUAUAACAAAGAACCUAAAAGAUCACACACCUAAUAGAAAUGAAAAAGGAGUUACUAGAAAAUGAGAAGUUAAAUUUCCUAAUUUUAGGAAAAUCAGUAUUUAUAUUAUAAUUCAUUAAGAAUGAAUAUAUAUAUAUAUAAAUAUAUCUUAAAUAUGAUUUAAGAUAGAAAUUUAGAUGUUCCAUAAAUAGUUUAAGGAACAAAAUAAAUUUCAUAAAUCCUCNNNNNNNNNNNNNNNNNNNNNNNNNNNNNNNNNNNNNNNNNNNNNNNNNNNNNNNNNNNNNNNNNNNNNNNNNNNNNNNNNNNNNNNNNNNNNNNNNNNNNNNNNNNNNNNNNNNNNNNNNNNNNNNNNNNNNNNNNNNNNNNNNNNNNNNNNNNNNNNNNNNNNNNNNNNNNNNNNNNNNNNNNNNNNNNNNNNNNNNNNNNNNNNNNNNNNNNNNNNNNNNNNNNNNNNNNNNNNNNNNNNNNNNNNNNNNNNNNNNNNNNNNNNNNNNNNNNNNNNNNNNNNNNNNNNNNNNNNNNNNNNNNNNNNNNNNNNNNNNNNNNNNNNNNNNNNNNNNNCAAGUAAAUUUAUAAUUUCAACCUUUACUGCUGUACGGCCAAGGCGGAUGUACGGUACAGCAGCCGUUGAAUGGUGAGGGUGUUUUACGGCUGGUUGAUUCUAUUGAUUAUAAAUGGGGGAAGAACAAGCCAUUAAAACAUAAAAGUUCCAACAAUGAUGACCACAUAUGGUGGAAAAAAAAAUAUAUUCUAUAAUUUAGAGUAUUGGAAGCAUUUACUUGUGCGUCAUCAAUUAGAUGUUAUGCACAUUGAAAGAAUGUGUGCGAGAGCAUUUAUGGAACACUACUUCACAUUCCAGGAAAAACCAAAGAUGGUUUUAAGUCAAGGAAUGCUCUUGUGGACAUGAAAAUCAGGGAUGAACUAGCACCAACUUCAAAAAAAAAAAAAAACAAGUGCAUCUUCCUUCCUGCAGCUUGUUACACAUUAACUAGAGAUGAAAAGACAAGAUUCUGCAAAGCUUUGAAAAGUAUUAAAGUUCCUGCUGGAUAUUCCUCAAACAUUAGAAAUCUUGUGUCAAUGAAGAACCUUAAACUUCUAGGCCUUAAGUCAUAUGACUGCCUUGCUCUUAUGCAACAACUUCUCUCUAUUGCCAUUAGGUGUGUCUUGCCAAAGCAUGUGAAAGGAGCUUUAAUCAGGCUGUGCUGUUUCUUCAAUUUGUUGUGUUCCAAUGUGGUUGAUGUGACAACAUUGAAUAAAUUACAGGCAGACCAUGUGGUGACUUUAUGCUUGUUAGAAAAAUAUUUUCCUCCAUCUUUCUUUGACAUUAUGGUAUACUUGACUAUGCAUUUAGUCAAUAAAGUUAGAUUAUGUGGUCCGGUUUAUCUUCGGUGGAUGUAUCCCUUCGAGAGAUACAUGAAAACUCUUAAAAGUUAUGUUUGAAACCGCAACCGUCCUAAGGGUUGUAUAGCGGAGAGUUAUAUUACGGAAGAAGCAUUAUAAUUUUGUGCAGAAUACAUGUUAAACAUGAGUACAGUUGGGGUUCCACCUGGACAUGUGCAAAAGCUAUCAAAAGAUAAGCCACUGUGUGGUGGGAAAGUGGUGCAAAUUCUUGCAAAUUUGCUAGAUCAAGCACACUUGUACAUCUUGCAUAACACACAAGAAGUGGUAUCAUACAUUAGGUAAUUUGAAUUGGCAUGAGAAAGUUGUCAUGGUUGGCUAUGUAUGGAGACAAGUGUAUGACCUAUAUAGAAUUCAUCACUUUGUAAUAUACAAAAAGGAUGUCCCUAUGAGAUAAUAUGAAUUGGCAUGAGAAAUCCUUGGCCAAGGUAAAAUAUGUUUGAAGGAGUUCAAAUUAUAUUUUCAUGCCAAGUUCAUUUGGAUUUAUUUUGAGAUAAAGCAUAAAUGCUUAACACACUAAACCAUUAGCCGUGCUUUUCUUUGGACAUGGAUGAUGAAGAGACCAAGACAUAGAGAUAUAAUGGAAUAGGUUCUAUAGCUCUCCUCCACUUGUUGCCAUUAGCCAUUCUUGCACAUGUGGCAAUAAUCCCUCCAAAAAGUAUUGGCAUUUGUGCCAUUUCUCGUACCCAUGAUGUGGACACUUCAAAAGUAGCCCAUUAAAUCGCUCCCAUGUUUCGAAAAACUGCUCGUCUUCUCUCUGGGUAAACUCUAAGAUUUCCCUGCGAAUGGCAUUGGUUUUAUGCACUGGGAAGUAUUUAUUCAAAAAUUUUGUUACCAUUUGUUCCCAUUAUGUAAUGUUAUUAGCAGGCAAUAUAUUGAGCCGUGAACAAGCUCUAUCCUUUAAAGAAAAUGAGAAUAAUCUAAGUUUAACAUCAUUGUCUGAAAAAUUCUCAUAUUUAAAAGUUUGACAAACAGCAUGAAAAUCAUUCAGAUAAUUAUAUGGGUCCUCAUUUUCUAAGCCAUAGAAUGUUGAGAGACAAUUUAACACACUAGGUUUUAGUUCAAAACUCCUAGCAGCUACAUUUGGGUAUCUUAUGCAUGAUGUGCUCAAAUUAGCUAAGGGACUGAAGUAGUCCUUAAAUGGCCUCUCCUCUGGUGGUUGUUGUUGUUGUUGCAAAUUCAUUUCACUUUUAUUUUUAAUUGCAACGUGUUUGUGUGGACGAAGUGUUUUUUCAACUUCAAGGUCUACAAGCUCAAGAUUAGGUAAUAAUAACCUUCGACCAUGCAUGCAAAGAACAAAAAAAUAAAUGGAAACAAAACAAAUAAAAAUAAAAAUAAAAAAGAAGGAGAAAUUACGGUACUAACCUUAUUACGCUAUUACAACCUUACUAUAACACUCUAAAAAAAAUACGUGAAAUAAAUUAACUAAAAAUAAAUUAAUAAGAUAAACAAAAAAUUACAAAGAAAAAUAAAUUGAAAAUUAAAUUACAGAAUUUUAAAGAAGAGAAAAAGAAAAGAAAUUCUUACCUCAAACUGUAGAUUCACUUUUUUUUCUUUUUUCUUUUUUAAUAAGAGAAAAAAUUACAAGAAUACAAUUAAAAGAAAUUAUUUACAAAAAUAAUUUCUACAAAUUAAAAUAACUUACCUCCCCGGGAACGGCGCCAAAAACUUGUUGUGCAAAUUUUAUUGAACUCGCAAGUGUACGAAUCUACUGUAGAAUAGAUUAAUGGUGAUGAGUGUCGAUCCCACGAGGAGGUAGAUUUUAAUUAUGUGUAGAAUUAAUUUUCUAAAUGGGUGGUUGGAUUUGUGGUAAAAAUGAUUUGGAAUAUCCUAAAAUUUAAAUUGAAAUGGCAGAAUUAAAUUAAGUGGAAACUAUUAUAAUUGAAGCACUUGGGUAUCUGGAUUCGCAUCAACAUGCACCAUGGGCUAAAUAUUUCUUAUUAAUGCCAACUAAAUCAUGAGGGGGGAAUCCAUACCUCAUGAACCACACUCUAAUCAAUAUGGUGCUAAGGGCUUAUCGUGCCAAAUAAUAAUAAUCUUGUACUAGGGAGCCGGUGAAACCAGAGCGGUAUCUAGACAAGAUUAUUACUAUUUGUCAAUGAAAAGUCAAAAUAUCCACAAUUCUAGACAAGAUUAUUACUAUUUGUAAGGGCUUAUCGUGCCAAAUAAUAAUAAUCUUGUACUAGGGAGCCGGUGAAACCAGAGCGGUAUCUAGACAAGAUUAUUACUAUUUGUCAAUGAAAAGUCAAAAUAUCCACAAUAAUUAGAGGGGAAGAGAAAUUAAAUUUACCAAAUAAAGCCCAUGGCACAUGUUGAGACUUCACCUUCAACCCAAGCUUAAAAAGAAACUUAGUCACUCAUAAUUGAACUAGGGGCAAAAUAGAAAUUUAUUAAAAUACGUAGAAAAUACAAGAUGGAGAAGGAAUUACAAAAAAUUGAACUCAAAAAUGAAUUCAGGGAUGUCAAAUUAGGGGGGAGAGUCCCUUUUUUAUAGAUACAUUGAGUAAAUUAUGGUCAUCAGAUUAAAAACAUUUCGGACGCUCAAGAUUGCGCCACGUCAUCAAUCAACAGUACACAGUUUGACCACACGGUUUGAACAGUGAUGUGGUUUGGUUGUAAGUUAUCCUGUGUACAUGCAUAUACUGUACGCACAAUUUUUGGUCCACUUAUAUGCUGCCAUGUCAUCGAUCAACAGUACAUAAAAAUUUUAGUCCAAUAGAAUCAUGACACCUCAUUAGUCAAUGUCACAUCAUCGAUUUGUCUAUGUAAACAGUGUCGUGAACAGUAACGUCGAUAGUACCAUACAUGUGAAUAGUACCGUAUAUGUAAACAGUGCUAUUUUUCCUUUUAUGCUCCUCCUAAUGUUUUCAACUGUCCUGAGUUCAAAAGUGAUGUCUGUUUUGCUGUUUGAACUCUCGUUCAUUGUAAAAUGAUCACGAUACCCCUAAAAUACAUAAAAUACUUAAUUACAAUAAAACACACAUAAUUAAAUUACAAUAGACUAAAAUACAUAAAAAUAGAAGUGUUAGUAAGACUUGAAAUGUAAAAUAACGAUUUUCUCCUUUAUAAAUAUACACUUUCUAACACUCAACAACAUACAUAUUUUAAUUACUUGAUUUGGGAGGACUAGAAAUAAGUUAAGACAUUUCCUACAUUCUGUUUUUCACCAAAAUCUAUCCGAGUUACAUGAUAUGGUCAUGAUCGAGAUAUUGUGAAAAGCAGUGGUAAAGCUAAGGUUUUAUAUUAAAUUAGACUAAAACAAAAAAAUAACAAUUAACUGAGAAAGCGGUAAUUUAUAUAAUUAUAUUUGAUAAACUAAAAAUAAAAGUAUCUACAUGAAAUUUUGAAGGUACUAGCAGGGGCAGCCCAGGAUAGCCCUCCGCUAGCUUUGCCACUGAACCUAAUAAAAUAAAUGGAAAAAAAGGAUCUAAGUUUUAAAUAUUAGGGAAAUAUGUUUUUAACAGUAUGAUUGAUUAAUUAAUCAAUCAAUUAAUUACGUAUAAUAAAUUACGACUUGAUUUUAGACGGCUAGAUAAUAUAAAUUUCAUUAAGAAAUGAGUUUAUUCCUUGGGUAAAUGCUCAUUUAGUUUUUAUAUUUUGACUUAAGUGUAUAUUUAGUCCAUAUAUUUAAAAUGUACCUUAAGACACCCUUAAUAUGUUUAAAGUGUUUCUUCUUCAACUUAUAUCCCUAACCCAUCAAAUUCAUCGAAUGAAGAAGCUGUCCGUGAUAAUGCAUGAUUACAGUACUUAUGUUCAUGGAGUAAAAAACAAUAAUCCUUCUAAAUUUAGCUUUUAGAUUUGGUAAAUUUAGCCCUUAAAUUCAGCUACGAGUAGAAGGAAUUUGAUUAGAUAAUAGCAGUUUUAAAGUAUUUGAGAUUAUUCAAUUAUAAGAAUAAGAUGUCUUGUAAUAAGACUGCUUGUGUAUUGAAAUAUAUGGAUUGUGUAAUAUAUAUUGAUAAUAUUUAAAUGUUAUGAAAGGUUUUGCAAUAUAAAUUGAUUUUUGUUGUUAUUUCUCAUUGCCUUUUAAUUUUAUCAACAAAUCAAUGGGCAACAUGUCAUUUUAUAUUUUUAUUUUUUAAUUAAUAAAUAUAAUAUUGAUACCAUAGUAACAAUAAUCACAAACACUAAUAUAGUAUUGUAAUGUUCUGAUACUAUGGUGUCAUGAUUUUGGUGAUACUAUAAUAAUAGUAAUCACUGAUACUAUACUCGUGACACCACAAACAAGUGUCACUAUUUUUUGGACUGCCAGAUUAAUGACACAAUUAGGAAGUGUCAGUAAUUACUUUUAGUGUAAUCUAGUAGUGUAAUUACUGACACUAUUCUAAUGUCAGUAAAGACUAUUUUUCUAGUAGUGUAAUUUAAUUUUCCUUUUAAGUUAAUCAAGGGAAGUAAUUUUCCUGUAUUAUAAAUAGAGAGGUCUCUUUUUUUUUUUUUUGGUUACAAAGGGGCUCUCAACAAAGAGCUAAGAAGCUAAGAAGAAACAAUAGAGAGGUCUCUUAUUGUUUUAAUAAUCUCAGCUUCAAUUAUCCAAUAAAACCGCUCUUUUAUAACUCCCUCUCUAAUCUCGCUUAAACGCGUUAUUAAAAAUCUCAUUGAAUUGUUUGGAUUAGAGCAAAAUUCUCCUCAUUGAGUUGUUUGGAUUAGAGCGAGAUCUAAUCACCCUUUGAUUAGAGCCUAAGCCUAAGCUAAUCACAUUGACUUGUUAGCAUGAAUCUCCCGAAGCUCAGCUAGUAAGAUGCGUCUAUUUAUGAAGAGAACACUUGAAUAAACAAAUGACAAGCAGCACCAACAAUUCUCAAGCUGAACCUUUUCUGUCACCGGUUGAGCAGUACAGGAGAGAACACUGUCAUUAGCAAUAGAUUCAUCCAUUAAAGCCCAAAGUUUGAAGUAGGAUUAACAGUGACCGCUAGUGAAGAAAGAUGAAUACGAUGCCGAAACCACUUGGGAUUGAAUUAAAAAUCCACCCUCGGUUCCGCAAUACCAGCAAAUGAAGGAUUAUGAAUAAAACGAACAUUGGCUAAUUCAUUGAGGACGCAGGAUGUCCUCAAUGGCUUUUCUGUAGCCCUUAAACGCCUUUUCUGAGAUUUGACAUUACAAUCUUGAAUCCAUCAAUUAUGAUGGAUUGGCUAAUUCAGAAUAAAACGAACAUUGGCUAAUUCUUCUUUUGAAUUCAGAUUAGCCACUCCCCGAAUAUUCCAAACUAAGAAUUUCAUUGAGGACGAAGGAUGUCCUCAAUGGCUUUUUCUGUAGCCCUUAAACGCCUUUUCUGAGAUUUGACAUUACUAUCUUGAAUCCAUCAGUUAUGGCUCUAAUAAAGAGUUUUGAGUCUGAGAAGGAUCUUCUCUUGAUUUUAACUCACCUCAGCUUUUAAAGGUUUUGUGCCGCUUGCUCAAUUAUUAUUUUGGGGCCUUUUUUCCAUGACUAGUAGCAUUGCUCUUGUUCAAGCUUUUAAUCCUAUUUAUAAAGCCCAUAGGCACUGGCUUUUUUCAAGAAGAACACUUUCUAAAUAGUAUGACAGGUGGCAUUUAUCUGUUGGAUAUAUACACACAUAAAUAUAUAUGUAUAUGUAUAUAUGUAUAUAGAGUUUUCACAUUAUUGGGAAAUUUUAAAUUCGCGUGAAAGUUUGUGACGACAUCUGCACUUAAGUGUGUGUGUGUGUGUUUGUGUAUACUUUCCCGUGACAUCAGAAUGAAAUAAAGUAAAAUUCGGCAUUUCACAACUGUUAAUAUAUUUUAACCAUUAUUUGUUCAGUUAACAAUAGCAUGGAUCAUAUCCUGUUAAUGCGAAUUCGUGAUUUAUUCAUUCAUCUAAUUAAAAAUAAGAUUUCCUUUGUUGAGAAGUACAAAAUUAAAAUAAUAUUUGGAAAUUGAAACAUUAUUACUUUAUUCCUUUUCUAACAGUUACCAUGGACUUAAAAAAAAAGAAUAGUGUUAUUAUUAAUUAAGUGCGAAUAAUAUCACCGGCAAUGUCAUAAAUACGAAAUUUGAUUACAUAAAUACUAGAAUCACUUGAAGUGAUUUAAUGAUAUUGUAUUUCAUUGAUAAUUAAUAUAAAGGAUAUUGAUAACACUAUGAAAUGAGAGUUAUCAUGACACUUUUAAAUUUAAAUCAAGAUUACUUAGAGAGUAAAUGACAUGUUUUUAUUACAUUUUAGUUAUAUUUUGCAUGAAUAUCAAUUUUAGUUUAUUUUUAAUAAAUUGUGUUGUUUUAGAAUAAUUUGUGUGCUUAGAUCGUAUACAUAAUUGUAGGUGACCGGAAGCUCAAAUUUCAAGGGAGGAAUGUUGUUGCAAUAGGCUUGCAAAGAUAAGGAAAAAACAUGGUUAUAGAAUAAUUGAAACAAGUCUGAAACAAUGUAUCUGUUGAAGCCAUUACUGUAGCACUCUUGCUGUAGCAAUUUUGGAGGAUUAACAAAGAAGAUUUCGCAAGAGAUACUUAGAAGAUUGCAAUCUGGAGUUUUUUAAAAUGGAAGAUACGCACCCUAAACAUCUGGUUGCCCUAAUUCUAAGCUAUAAAAGGAGCAUACACGCAAAGAAAAGAGGAGAGUCGUCACCCAAGCAGAAAAACCGUAAAGAAACAAAAGAAAAACAGAAUUCAAGAGAGAGAUUGAAGGCUGCACAAGAGGAGAAAACACAGAGAUCCAUUGAAAAUCAGUCCUUCUUGUUCUUUUCUUAUUUAUAUUUAUUCAUGGGGAUGUAUUUGAAGGCUAAAACUCUUUUAUUUAUUUUUCUUUCGCAAACCAUGAACUGAAUUUGAUUGUAGUUGAGUGAUAAACGAUCUAAUAGAUGUUUGACUGACAUAUGCGUGUUGCUCUAUGUUUGUUGCAGCAGUUUGUCUUAAUUGUAUUUGUUUUAAUUCCCUAUUUUGGUUGAUCACCCAUUUAGUGGAUACUAGCUAAGAAGGAGCUUUAAAAAGGUCAGACUUAGUGGAACAAAUUAAGACAAUACUUGGUUUUAGAUUGGGUUUCGCAAUUUGAGUUAAUCUCGAUUUGAAUAGGGUCAUACUUAAUCCAAGAUUAGUGAAGAACUAGACAAAAGGAUUCACCUUGCAGGGUAAUUAAAACCUAGAACGCAUAUUGUUAUAUCUAAUAGGAAGGGAAUAAUGUUGUUUUUCCCUGGUUAACCAUAAAUAAUUUGGCCAUUCUGACUUCCUUAACCUCCUUGUGCAUUUACUGGUUGUAUUUUUCCUCUAGGGUUCAAAUUCCCAAUAUCUUACAAAUCAUCCAUAGCUACAGUAGCUUUUGAAUUUCUUUACUCUUUUCUCAAUCUCCUUGCAGUUCUUUCAAUUUCUGGAUCAAACUGGAAUUCAACAAGUUUAUAGUUGUGCAUGAAAGGGUUGUUAGAUCACUUCUAUCAACAAAAUAAACAAAUUAAAAUACAAUAAAAAAUUAGCACUGUUUAAGAUUAAUUUCACAAAUCACAAUGAAUAAUUAAUCUCUCGCAACGUCACCAAAAACUUGGUGUGUGCAAUCUCUAACGUUAUGGGUGUCAAUGUACAAAGUAGCAAACGGACGCGCUAUCGAUGACUAGAGGGAGAUAAAUAGAGCGUGGCCCUAAUGAGAGUUACAAUAAUGGUAGAUCAAAAUCAAGAAGUAAAAAGAAUGUCAAAUGCUACAAUAGUGGCAAGAAAGAGCAUGUCAAGAAAGAAUAUUUGAACAGCCAAAAGAGAAGAGAGGGUAAAGAUCUUGAGUCACCAAAUGCCCAGAGGUGUGUAGCAAGUACCUUAGAUGAUGGUGACGUUUUACACAGUGAGUUAGCAAUGGUUUCAGCUGCUGUACCGUACAUCCGCCUUGGCCGUACAGCAGUAGAUUCCAUUUACCCUACAAGGUGAAUCCCUAUGUCUAGUUCAUCAUUAAUUUCAUAUCAAGCAUGCCCCUAUUCAAAUUGAGAUUAACUUAACUUAGGAAACCCAAUCUAAAACCAAGUAUUGUCUUAAUGAGAUCCACUGAGUCAAACCUUUUUGACGCUCUUUCUAAGCUAGUAUCCCUAAAUGGGUGGUCAGCCGAAAUAAAGAAUUAAAUUAAGUGCAAUUAAGACAAAAUUCUAUAGCAAACACAAAGCAACAAACUUAUAUCAACCAAUCAUCCAUUAAGAUCGUUUAUCACUCAACUACAAUCAAAUUCAAUUCAUGAUUAGCGAUAGAAAAAUAAAUAAAAGAGUUUCAACCAUCAAAUACAUCCACAUGAAUAAAUACAAAAUAAGAAAAGAAUAAGAAGAACUAAUUUCUGAUUGAUCUCUGCAAUUUCUCAUGUUUUGCAGCCUUCAAUCUCUCUCUUGAUUUAUGUUUUCUUGUGUUUUUCUUUGCGGUUUUUCCCUUGGUUGACAACUCUUCCUUUUUCUUUGUGUGUGUGCUCCUUUUAUAGCUUAUAAUUAGGGCAACUAGAAGUCUAGGGUGCGUAUCUUCCAUUUUUGGAAACUCCAUAUUGUAAUUUUCUAAGUAUGUCUUGCAAAACCUUCUCUAUCAAUGCUGCAGGACUGCUACAGCAACGGCUACUGCAUGUUACUUGAAAUUUAAACUUCCGAUCACCUGCAAUGAUGCAUAUGAUCUAAGCACAAAUUAAUCUAAAACAAACUCAAUUUAUUAAAAAUAAACUAAAAUGGAUAUUCAUGCAAAAUAUAACUAAAAUGCAAUAAAAGCAUGUCAUUUACUCUCUAAGUCUUACCGAUUCAAGUCUAAAAUUGUCAUGAUAACUUUUAUUUCAUAGAGUUAUCAAUGAUAUGUGAUGCCAUUCGGGUUGUUCAAGCAUCAAGUGAUUCAUGCGCUUGAUGAAUUAAGUUCUUGAGACUUUUUACUGCAAAUUUGUCAUAAUGUAUUUUGAUGAUAUAUUGUUUUAUUCUGAUGAUAUGGUAGCGUAUUUGGAGCAUUUGAGAAUAGUUAUGGAGGUGUUGUGGAGAAAUAAGUUUUAUAUUAAUCUGAAGAAGUAUAACUUUCUACAGAGUAAUAUAGAGUUUUUAGGUUUUAUAGUUGGUGUAGAUGGAGUUAGAGGUAUUAAGUCAAAGAUACAAGCCAUUUGAGCUUGCGCUUAAGACUGUGGGUGAAGUUAGAAUUUUUAUAGGAUGGCAAUGUUUUAUAGGAGAUUUAUUCAUGAUUUUAACAUUAUAGCUGCACCUAUUAUAGAAUGUUGAACAAAGGGAAGUGCAAGUAAGAGGAAGAGGAAGAAGCAAGUUUUGCUUUAUUAAUGUAAAAGUUGUCCAUUGCACCUGUAUUAGCCUUGCCACACUUCAAUAAGUUGUUUAAGGUCGAUUGUGAUGCUUUUGGCAAGGGUAUUGGGACUGUUCUUUCCCAAGAAGGCGACCAAUUAAGUAUAUGAGUGAGAAGCUAAACAGAGCAUGGCUGAAGUGGUGUACUUAUGACCAAGAGUUUUAUGACAUCCUUAGGGCGUUAAAGUCAUGGGAGCAUUACUUAGUUUAGAAGAAGUUUGUGCUUUACAGUGAUCAUUAAGCCUUGAAGUACUUUAACAGCCGGCAAAAUCUGAGUAAGAUGCAUGUGACCUGGGUAAGCUAUAUGAAGAAGUUCACUUUUAUUGUGAAGCAUAAGUCUGGGCAGUAGAAUAAGGUGGUAGAUGCACUUAGCAGGUGAGCAAAUUUACUGGUAACUCUUGUCAAUGAAGUUAUUAGUUUUGAUUGCUUGAAGGAGUUGUACGUUGAAGAUGAAGACUUUGCGCAAAUUUGGGAUCGUUGCAUCAACCAUCAAAAUGCGAAUGAUUUCCUAAUUCUAGAUGUGUAUCUAUUCGGUGCUAGUUAAUUAUGUGUGCCUUAAAGCUAUUUAAAGGAACAGAUCAUCUGUGAGUUACAUGGCAAAGGAGGUAGACAUAUUAGAUGAGAUAAGACUAAAUGCUUAUGAAAGAGCGUCAUUAUUUGCUGUAGUUGAAUAGAGAUAUGUGAAAGAUCGUGAAAAGAUGUUUUGCUAAGAAGGUAAGGGACACGUGCAAAGUAUAGAAUUAUACAUGCCAUUACUUGUUCUAGAAAAUAUUUAGUUAGACUUUUCAAUGGAUUUUAUGUUAGGAUUGCCAAGCACAAGGAUAGGUCAAGAUUCUAUAUUGGUGGUGGUGGAUAGAUUUUCGAAGAUGGCGCGUGUUAUUGCUUCUAAAAAGACUGAAGAUGCCACUUUAGUUGUGCAUUUGUUCUUUUGAGGUAUUGUGUUUGCAUGGUGUUCCAAAGACUAUCCCUUUUGACAGAGAUGUGAAGUUCAUCAAUAAGUUUUAACGUUAUCUCUAGGAUAAGUUUAGCGCACAAUUCCAGUUUAGUAGUGCUUUUCAUCUACAAACAGACAGUCAAACAGAGGUUGUUGAUAGCUCUAUAAAAUGAGAGUUAUCAUGGCACUUUUAGACUUAAAUCAAUACUACUUAGAGUAAAUGAUGUGUUUUCAUUGCAUUUUUGUUAUAUUUUGCAUAAUCAUUUAUCUUAGUUUAUUCUUCACAAAUUUUGUUUGAUUUAGAAUAAAUUGUGUGCUUAAAUCAUAUGCAUAAUUGUAGGUGACCGAAAGCUCAAAUUUCAAGGAAGGAAUGCUAAUGCGAUAAGCUUGCAAAAGAUGGAAAAGAACUUGGCUACAGAAAAAUUGAAACAAAUCUGGAACAGUGCAGUUGCUGUAGUCAUUGUUGUAGCAACCAUUGCCAUUGUUGUAGCAAUCCUGUAACAACGAAAGAGAAAAUUUUACAGAAUAUUACGAUCUGCAGUUUCCUGCUGUACCGUACAUCCGCCUUGGCCGUACAGCAGAACGGCUACUGCAUGUUACUUGAAAUUUAAACUUCCGAUCACCUGCAAUGAUGCAUAUGAUCUAAGCACAAAUUAAUCUAAAACAAACUCAAUUUAUUAAAAAUAAACUAAAAUGGAUAUUCAUGCAAAAUAUAACUAAAAUGCAAUAAAAGCAUGUCAUUUACUCUCUAAGUCUUACCGAUUCAAGUCUAAAAUUGUCAUGAUAACUUUUAUUUCAUAGAGUUAUCAAUGAUAUGUGAUGCCAUUCGGGUUGUUCAAGCAUCAAGUGAUUCAUGCGCUUGAUGAAUUAAGUUCUUGAGACUUUUUACUGCAAAUUUGUCAUAAUGUAUUUUGAUGAUAUAUUGUUUUAUUCUGAUGAUAUGGUAGCGUAUUUGGAGCAUUUGAGAAUAGUUAUGGAGGUGUUGUGGAGAAAUAAGUUUUAUAUUAAUCUGAAGAAGUAUAACUUUCUACAGAGUAAUAUAGAGUUUUUAGGUUUUAUAGUUGGUGUAGAUGGAGUUAGAGGUAUUAAGUCAAAGAUACAAGCCAUUUGAGCUUGCGCUUAAGACUGUGGGUGAAGUUAGAAUUUUUAUAGGAUGGCAAUGUUUUAUAGGAGAUUUAUUCAUGAUUUUAACAUUAUAGCUGCACCUAUUAUAGAAUGUUGAACAAAGGGAAGUGCAAGUAAGAGGAAGAGGAAGAAGCAAGUUUUGCUUUAUUAAUGUAAAAGUUGUCCAUUGCACCUGUAUUAGCCUUGCCACACUUCAAUAAGUUGUUUAAGGUCGAUUGUGAUGCUUUUGGCAAGGGUAUUGGGACUGUUCUUUCCCAAGAAGGCGACCAAUUAAGUAUAUGAGUGAGAAGCUAAACAGAGCAUGGUUGAAGUGGUGUACUUAUGACCAAGAGUUUUAUGACAUCCUUAGGGCGUUAAAGUCAUGGGAGCAUUACUUAGUUUAGAAGAAGUUUGUGCUUUACAGUGAUCAUUAAGCCUUGAAGUACUUUAACAGCCGGCAAAAUCUGAGUAAGAUGCAUGUGACCUGGGUAAGCUAUAUGAAGAAGUUCACUUUUAUUGUGAAGCAUAAGUCUGGGCAGUAGAAUAAGGUGGUAGAUGCACUUAGCAGGUGAGCAAAUUUACUGGUAACUCUUGUCAAUGAAGUUAUUAGUUUUGAUUGCUUGAAGGAGUUGUACGUUGAAGAUGAAGACUUUGCGCAAAUUUGGGAUCGUUGCAUCAACCAUCAAAAUGCGAAUGAUUUCCUAAUUCUAGAUGUGUAUCUAUUCGGUGCUAGUUAAUUAUGUGUGCCUUAAAGCUAUUUAAAGGAACAGAUCAUCUGUGAGUUACAUGGCAAAGGAGGUAGACAUAUUAGAUGAGAUAAGACUAAAUGCUUAUGAAAGAGCGUCAUUAUUUGCUGUAGUUGAAUAGAGAUAUGUGAAAGAUCGUGAAAAGAUGUUUUGCUAAGAAGGUAAGGGACACGUGCAAAGUAUAGAAUUAUACAUGCCAUUACUUGUUCUAGAAAAUAUUUAGUUAGACUUUUCAAUGGAUUUUAUGUUAGGAUUGCCAAGCACAAGGAUAGGUCAAGAUUCUAUAUUGGUGGUGGUGGAUAGAUUUUCGAAGAUGGCGCGUGUUAUUGCUUCUAAAAAGACUGAAGAUGCCACUUUAGUUGUGCAUUUGUUCUUUUGAGGUAUUGUGUUUGCAUGGUGUUCCAAAGACUAUCCCUUUUGACAGAGAUGUGAAGUUCAUCAAUAAGUUUUAACGUUAUCUCUAGGAUAAGUUUAGCGCACAAUUCCAGUUUAGUAGUGCUUUUCAUCUACAAACAGACAGUCAAACAGAGGUUGUUGAUAGCUCUAUAAAAUGAGAGUUAUCAUGGCACUUUUAGACUUAAAUCAAUACUACUUAGAGUAAAUGAUGUGUUUUCAUUGCAUUUUUGUUAUAUUUUGCAUAAUCAUUUAUCUUAGUUUAUUCUUCACAAAUUUUGUUUGAUUUAGAAUAAAUUGUGUGCUUAAAUCAUAUGCAUAAUUGUAGGUGACCGAAAGCUCAAAUUUCAAGGAAGGAAUGCUAAUGCGAUAAGCUUGCAAAAGAUGGAAAAGAACUUGGCUACAGAAAAAUUGAAACAAAUCUGGAACAGUGCAGUUGCUGUAGUCAUUGUUGUAGCAACCAUUGCCAUUGUUGUAGCAAUCCUGUAACAACGAAAGAGAAAAUUUUACAGAAUAUUACGAUCUGCAGUUUCCUAAUCUGGAAGACACAUGACCUAGGCUUCCGUUUACCCUAAUUUUCAAUUUUAAAAGGAGCACACAUCAUAAGGAAAAGAGGGAGCCGUCACCCAAAGAGAAAAACCACAAAGAAACAAAAGAAAAACAUGAUUCAAGAGAGAGAUUAAGGGCUACAAAAGAGGAGAAUUUACAGAAUUCAUUCGGGAACUCAGUCCUUCUUAUUUUUCUCUUGUUUUCUUAUUUACUAUUUAUUCAUGGAGAUGUGCUUGAUGACUGAAACUUUGUUCUUUAUUUUUCUUUUGCAAACCAUGAACUAAAUUUAUUUGUAGUUGAGUGAUAAACAAUCUUGAUGGUUUAUUGAUUGAAUUUAUAUGUUGCUGCAUGUUUGCUGUAUCAUUUUGUUUUUGUAGCAUUUAUUUUUAUUCAUUAUUUCGGCUGAUCACUCAUUUAAUGAUGCUAGCUAAGAAAUAGCCACAAAGGACCUAUCUUAGUAGAACAUAUCAGAGCAAUACUUGGUCUUAGAUUGGGUUUCCUGAAUUGAGUUUUACUUGAGUCCAAAAGAGUCAUGCUUGAUCUAAGAUUAGUGAUGAACUAGAUAUAGGGAUUCACCUUGUACGGUAAUUAUAACCUAAGUGUGUAAUGCUAUAUGUUAUGUUGGCAUAACAACUGAUCACUGUUAGGUUGCAUAUAGAUAUAAGACAUCCAACAAGCAACAGCUGAGGAUACAUAAGGAUUUUGCCCAGUACUGUAGCAGAUGCUGGAGAAAUCGGACAAACAUUAGAAAAAUAGUCAAAACAAUUUAGAGAAUUUAUCCACUCAACUACUCUAUAUUCCCAUUGGUUUUAUCUUUGAGUUUGACCUGAUAAUUUACUUUGUUACAUUUUAUUUAUUGCGUUUUUAUUUUAAUUAGUAUGUUAGUUUUAUUAAUUGUUUUAUUUUAAUUUAGAACAAAAUCAACACUGUUAAAAUUAUUGUAGCAAAUCUGAUAACAUCAAUCCCUGUGGAGACGAUAUUGAAUACUCAUCAUUAUAUUACUUGUUGUAUACACUUGCACAUUGACACCAAUACCAUUUGAAUUUAGUACUAAUAGUGGUCAAUCGCACUUUGGGCAAUAUGUCACGGUGUGUUUGUGCUGACAAGCAACGAAACUGGGAAUCCACCAUACUUCAAGUCAAGUUUGCUUACAAUAGCAUGGUCAAUCUAGCAAGACCCCUUUUGAGAUUGUCAACACUUGUUUCCCACGCCAUGUUUGUGAUCUGGCUAUCAUGCCUACAAGGGUAAGAGGAAGUAAAACAAUAGAUAAUUGUUGGUAUAAAUUCAAAUGCUAGUGGUGUCAAUGUGCAAGUGUACACAACAAGUAAUAUAAUAAUAAGUAUUCAAGAUCGUCUCCACAGGGAUUGAUGUUACUGAAAUUGAUACAGCAAUCUUAACAGCGCAGUUUUCCUUAAAUGAAAAUAUAUUAACAAUUAAACUAAUACACUACGUAAUAAAAUGCAAUACAUGACUAAGCAGAAAACAAACUUUAACGUCACACACAUAAAGAUAAAAUCAAUAGGAGUAAAGUAGUUGAGUGAUUAAACUCUCUUAAUGGUUUUGACUAUUUCUUUUAAUUCUAAGUUCAGUUGCUAGAGCAUCUGCUAUAACAUUGGGCAGAAUCCUUAUGUAUCCUCAGCUGUCGCAUGUUGAAUGUCUUAUAUCUAUAUGCAACCUAACAGUAACCAAUUGUUAUGCCAACAUAAGAUAUAGCAUUACACAUUUAGAUUCUAUUUACCCUACAAGGUGAAUCCCAAUGUCUAGUUCAUCACUAAUUUUAGAUUAAGCAUGGCCCUUUUGGAAUUAAGUAAACUCAACUCAGGAAACCCAAUCUAAAACGAAGUAUUGUUCUAAUAUGUUCCACUAAAAUAGGCCCUUUUGUGGCUCUUUCUUAGUUUGUAUCAUUAAAUGGAAAGCUUUACCAAAACAAAAUGCUAUAGGAAAUAUGCAGCAACAUAUAAAUUCAGUCAAUUAAAAUUGUCUAUCACUCAACCACAAGUAAAUUUAGUUCAUAGUUUGUGAAAAGAAAGUAAGCAACAAUGUUUCAGCCAUCAAAUACAUCUUCGUGAUCAAAGAAUAAACAAGAAAACAAGAAAAAAAUAAGAAAGACUAAAUUCCAAUUGAUUCCCACAAAUUCUCCACUGGUGCAGCCUUGAUUCUUGCUCUUGAAUUCUGUUUUUCCUUUGUUUCUUUUAGGUUUUUUAUCUAGGUUGACAACUUCUCUUUUCUUUUGCGUGUGUGCCUCUUUUAUAGCACAAAAUUAGGGUAAACGGAGGUUUAGGGCGCACAUCUUCCAGAUUAGGAAACUACAUAUCGCAAUCUGUUAUUUGCUUCGCACGAGAUUUUUUCUAUCAAUAUUCCAGGAUUACUACAGCUCUGGUUGCUACAGCAUCUGCACUGUUCCAGACUUGCUCUAAUUCUUCUAUAGCCAUGUUCUUUUGUCCUUUUUGUAAGCCCAUUGCCACAACAUCCUUCCCAUUAAAUUUGAACUUCCGGUUACCUACAAUUAUGCAUAUGUUUUAAGCAGACAAAUAUUUGAACUCAAACAAACUUUAUUAAACUUAAACUGAAAUGGAUGUUAAUGCAAACUGUCAUUAAAAUGCACUAAAACACAUCAAUUACUCUCUAAGUAAUCUUGAUUUAAACCUAAAAGUAUCAUGAUAACUCUCAUUUCAUAGAGUUAUCAAUAAUAUGGUAGAAAAGGCUCUUUAGAUCCAUGUUGAGGUUGAAGCUCACUUAUAGGCUUCCAAUGCUAAGUACAAGGCUAAGGCAGACAAGUACUGACAUAAGAAGGUGUUUUAAGAGGGUGAUUUGGUGAUGGCGCAUUUGUGGCAUAGUCGAUUCCUUAGUAUUCAUGCCAAGUUGGAAAAGUGAAAGUACAAUCCAUUUCAUAUGGCACAAAUACAUUAAUGACAAAACUUAUGUGCUUCAGCUACUGGACAAUUGGAAUAUCUCUCACACUUUCAACGUGACUCAUUUGUUCGCAUAUCAUCCAGAUGAUGAGGAGUUGUAUCAGACUAACUCGAGAAUGAGUUUUUUUUUUUCAAGUGAGGGGGAUUGAUGUAGGAUGAUUGUGUAUUACAGGUAGGAUACCUUCCGGAGGCCAUAACCUAGGCUACAGGUGUUCAUUUUCAACAUGUAAUUAAUGCAACGGAAAUUUAAGGUUCUAAUAUUCCGUUGAUUCUAUAGAAUACUGGUAUUAAAGAAUAAACUAAAUUCACAUUGAUUCGAAAAAGAAUUCUACGAAUUUAGGGGGUUAAGGCUCAUUGAUUUUGCAGAAUAUCGAGAAUUAACUAAAUUCAAAUACUCACACAAAAGAUUUGAAAAUUAAAAAUAUUAUUGAAAAUCAAAAUCUGCCUUUAAAGGCUACAAGAGAGAGCUACUUAUAUUAGUAAUACUUAUCCUAAAUAAAAGUCCUAAAUCUUAGUUAAUAAGGAAACUAAUCCUAGUAUAAUAUAGACCCCUAAGCUUACGAUGAGACGUAUCAAAUCCAUAAAGCUUGCAUUUGUUCUACCUUGUGGUCGAGCCAAAAAUUUCAUUUCAUUCCUAGAAGUUUUUCAGUUUUAAGAUUUUUUCCUAUUUUUCCUGAUUCUUCUAGGAUUUUUAUCUUUUCUUCUAGAACUCAAAUUUGAAUGCCAUUUGUUUCCUUUUCUUAUUUUUAUUAGGAGAUUUUUAUUAUAAAAGAAUAUUUUAAAUCUACCUAUUUUGGUAAAUUUGCGAUAUUUAGAAUUAUUAUAUAAAGGAGUCUAAAACGCUAGUUUUAUAUUAUUCCGAAUUAUUCAAUAAUGAUAUAAGACACACACACACAUAGUAGUCAACCUAUUUCCAAUGUUUCCGUUUCAUCACUUAUGCAACAGAACAACAAGCAAAUGAUAUAAGACAUCACACACACACACACAGAGCCUAGAAGAAUCAGGAAGCUUCCCACACCAACCUUUAAGAUGACUUCCUAGUCACUGUCGGCUGCUUGAAUUUAUUUAUUUAUUAUAUACAUUAUAAUUAUUGGCAAUAAAUUGUUAUUGCCCACAAAGUAAAGGAACAUACAUAUUGACUUUAGAUUACAACGCCUAAUACUAGAGUCACCUAAUAUUGCCCACAAAUUAAAGGAGAAUAUGUAUGUACAUAUAUAUUUGGAUGGAAAUUUUUCAAUCUAGGAUUUUAAAGUGCGGGAAAGUUCAAGAAAAUUUUGAAACUGUGCAGUUUUAAAUCUUAAUUUCAUAAUUCUAUUAAACCUCACAGUUUUAAUAUUUUCCCAAAUUUUUCCGUACUUUAAAAUUCUGGACUGAAAAACUACUAUGUGUGUGUGUGUGCGUGCGCAUAUAUGUGUGUGCGUGCGCAUAUAUACAAACCAAUUACUGUAGCCAUCAUGUGAGCCAUUGAAAAUUGUUUCUGAAAACCGCCACAUUUUGGCAGUUCUGGCCACAUUUUCCAAAUUAAAUUAAUAAUAUUUUGAAAGAAAAGACUAUUAUUGCUGAUAGUUUGUCUUGGAAUUACCUACGCCCCAAUCACCCACCUCGGCACACUCGGCUACUUCAUUCUCUAUAUAUACCCCACAUGCGUACGUAUUAUAUCAAACCAGAAUCAAGAACUCGCAAAACCAACUUAAUUACUUUGUAAUUUUGAUUCCGGAAGAAGUUAUCUUUUCUAUUUUGAAGAUUAUGGAAACUAUCUGCGCAGGUUUUUUGAGCAAUUUUAGUUGAAUAUCAUUUAUAAUUCUUAUUUUAAUAUAUUUAUGAUUAAUUCUUCUAAUAUGAAUUUUUCAGUUAAUAAUAAUUGGUCAGAGGGACUCGUCCUGCUAAUUCUUCUUCUCAGUGUUGCUGAUGAUGACAAUGUGAAUGACAAUCUUGAUCUUCUUGUUGUCCCUCAAUACGGGAGAAAUGCCGACUACACUGGUUAAUUACACUGUUACUCUUUUAUGUUAUGUUUAAUUGUAUAAAAUAAUAAGUAUUGUUACUUAUCGUUUUGUUAAUUACGUGACUGUCAGUUUGGUUCAAUUCAACUGAUAAAAUCUCUAUAGACAUAAGAGAUUUUAUUUGUUUAUUUACGUGUAUUGUGUAUUCCUAAAAAAGGAAAUAAAUAAAUAAAUAAAUAUUGUUGUGUGUCUAUGAGUUAAUAUUUAGUCUAUCCUUGUUUGCUUAAUUAACUCUCUCUUCUUGAUUAUCUUUUUCCAAAACAAACUCCAAAUAAUGGUUAACUAAUUGUUGCAGCUAGCAAGUGAUCUUAGAUCAUAAUUUAUUGAAAUAGACAAUGCAAGUAAAUUUAUAAUUUCAACCUUUAAAACAGUCAUGCCGUUUAGUAGGCUUAGGUUAAUCAACAAAAUCUUCGGCCAUAAUCACUAUUAAUUUGUUAAUUAUUUUGUUAAAUAAUGCGAAGUUACAAAAUUUUGUCUCUGAAUGUUGAGUUAAAAGCCUUUAAUCAUAUAUAUGAUCCCAUCAUCUGAACAUUAUUUGUUAAUAAUUAUGUAGAAGAUCUAUUAACUAAUGGAUUGAAACAAAAAAAAAAACCGAAACCCAAAAAACCUCUCUCUAACUUUCUCUCUCUAAAAAUUAUCUCAACUCAUCUCUGAUGCCCUUCUUUCUUCAUCAUCCCUAAAUGGCUUUUAUGGCCCCUUCGGCCGCCAGUGAUGGCGAUCGGUCAUCACCGGUAAACACACUACCCCCGAGAAGAGUUUCACAGGUUCUUGGAUCCACCUAGGAAAUCUUUUAGGAAGCCACCAAAAUUCACCAACGAACCACCACCUGACCUAAGGCUACCAUCACCACCAGAACCUAAGCCUAGACGAUCAAAGAGAUUGCUCAACCAGUGGCAAACAGCCCAUAAUCCACAUAUACAAUUACCACAUACCCUUACGAACCACCCUGAAGGAGAGUCACCACCAACAUCCACUGCCUCUAUCCUUUCUAAACCUCGUCAGCAAUCGAUUACGGUGAAUGAUCAAGAAGAAAUGUCAGAAGAUCAUGAACAAGGCGCUCCACCUCUCCAUGCAAAUAGCUUCCAUGGCGGCCAAGAGGAUGACGAAAAUCGCCGUGAGGAAACAAAUCAGUCACCCCCUCAUAAAGGUGAAAACGGAAGUCAAUCUCCGACCAAAGGCUUCACCUCCAACCAUGAACAAUCGCAACUUGGUAAAUCACAAGAUCCAACCUCCAUCGCCCUUGUACAAGAUCCACAACAACUCACGGCUGUUAACCUUGUAACCACCGUGAAUAGCCAAGAUGAAGCUUCUCAACCACCCUUGGAUUGCACACCUUUUGGUCCAAAAACGGCAUCUCCCAAAAGUCAGCAAAGAGAACUAGCUUUAGUCCCACUCACAUGCAAAAUUCCCGAAAUUCCCUCACAAAUUUUGACUACAUGCAAUCAUAUCCACUCCACCACCACCCACCAAUUAUUGUCCCCCACUCACACUAAGCCUCAUGACUCCAAUCACUCCGCUUUGUCUUUUUUCCAAGAUUUAAACAACACCAAUUCCGCCUCCCAACAAAUUCCACGUGAAAACAUCACAGGCAAUGAUUUGUGGCUCCCACCACUCAUAUAUUAUCCCCUUCACAUGCCUCGGCCCCCACCACAAGGAAUGGCAAAAAGCGGAUCUAGACCGAGUUUUUCAAGUCCAGCUCAAGCUGCCUUAAGUUUAGUAUGAGGGUCUGGACCGGACUCGGGUCGGAUUUGGAUUUUAUUUAUUUUUAAAUUUUUUUUAAAUUAUUGUAAAUUUAAAAUAAAUUAAUAAUCAACAAGUUAUUAUAAUCAUAGAUAAAUAAAAGAAAAUAAAUAUUUUAAAGUAAAAUAAUAAAUAAAAUAAAUAAAAGCUCAUAACUUUAAUUUUUUUUUCAUAUUGAAUUCUCUUAUUCGAAUGCUCUAUUAAUUAAUUAACACAAAAG
rnacentral:lncRNA from 1 species